rnacentral:lncRNA from 1 species
AUCUUUUGCAAAACUGCACUUUCACUGGAUUUGCAUGCACAGUGGACCACAGCGAAUGCUUGAGACUUAUAUAGAAGAUGCACGACAUAAGUUAGAGUUGGUUUAUGGUGAGAAAGAUUAAAUGUCAUUCAGUUGCUGAAUUGAAUGUGGAAGCCUCACAUCACCUGCCUUCCUAAAGAACUCUUUAGUACUUAAUGAGUGUGCUGUUAUUAUAAGUGUGAAGAUGGAUGAUCAAGAUGCCCCUGAGCGAGAUUUUUUUCAACUGAAGCCUUAUUAUACAGAUGCAGGGUAACUUUUGUCAUGGCAUUGCUUAAAAUUGUUUGUUCAUACUCAUGUCACGUGCAUUUGCAGACACUAUAAGGCAUUAGACCUGAAUUGCUAGAUUAUGAGAAAGAUUUCUCAUCCUUAUUGCUUUAUUGACCAUUUUGCACUCAUCAUUUUUAUGUAGACUUACUUGAAAAUUCUUAUGGUUGAGCACUAGCCGUAUUCCACCAUCUCCUCAAGAGUACCCUAUUUUAGGUCUCAAACAGACUAUAGUCAGUUUGAAGAGAACUCAAAGAACUCGGAAAAUAAUUUAAAGUGUGUAGCUACAUUUAAAGAAAAGUAUGUGGAACAUGCUCGGCUUAGACAACUCCAAUAAUUAAUGCAGUCGACUCUACAAUUUCUUUUUUCUCCUGAAGGGAAAAUUCAUUUAAUUUUUUUUUUAGGGAAAAAGAAAGAAGUUGGCUCCGCACGGUACUAAGCGAAUUAAGGGGCACUCACCCCGCAAUUUACAUAUAGGCCCCUCCUUUGAACGCACUCUGUACGCAAUACAAAAGGAAAAGAGUCCCGAGCACUCAAACCGGUCAAACCUUUAUGUGCAGUGAUAAGGCCUUCGAGAUAGGAAAUUCAAUCAAAAUAAGAAGUUCUCCAGUAAAGGAAAUUCUCGCUCCGAAUUGAUGAUCGUCGAUCGUCGCGAUCGAUCCGAUUGAGCUCCGAAUUGAGAUCACUGCUACUGCACCGUCGCUCUCCUCGUCCCCAAUUGCAAAUCGCUUCAGGUUCGUCGGUCCCGAUUUCGUCCUCUUUUGUUUCGCACUCGACGGUUCUCCAGUCCUUCAACCUGUCUCCCGUUAUCAAAGAUUUGAUUCUUUUUGCUGCAUCUGGGUGUGAAUUUCUCCCAAUUUUCUCCCUCUUCCUGUGCUUGAAAGAUUCUCGAGCGAGUGAUGUGGAACGUCGUCUGCUUUUGCUUGUUUUGUUGAUGCUUUCUAUAAUCUCUCGUUAUGGCUGUCUGCACUUUUUCUUUUUCUUUUAUAUGUAUGUCGUUCCGGCUCGGGCAUGCGUCGACCCUUUUUGUAGAAUGAUGUGAUGAAUGUUCAGGCGGAUAUGUCGGGGCAUGUAUCUGGUCAGUCGGGUGCUCAGUUGCAUGGGGUGUCCCAGCAAAAUGGCAACGUCAUCCCAAAUAUGGUAGCUGCAGGCAGCGGCGCUUCUCAUGCUGCGUUUGGCGUGGACAUGGAUACUCUUGGAGCUCGGCACUAUAUGCAGGAGAAGAUGUAAUUUAGUUUAGAGCACUUGUUCUUGUGCUUUAACCUCCUGGGUUCCACUGGUCCUUGUUUGCUGAUUGAACUUUUUACUGUCCCUUUUAAGCUUUUUUCUCUUAGCACAGCAGCAUCAGCAGCCAAUUGAUGAUUCUCAAAUACAUAAGCUGAAAGAUAUUGCUCAACGCCUGGAAGACGGUCUCUUUAAAUCUUCUCACUCAAAGGUCCCAUUUCUCAUCAUUUCUCUCCUCUUCUUCUUUGUAGAAGUACAAGAAGCGGCUUAUGAUUGCCCUUUAUUGAGUUUUUUUUUAGUGUUUUACAUUUUACAUUUGCGAAAGCCAAUAAUCUGUUCAUUUCUCUUGCCUGGUUUCACCUAUUUUUUCUCGUUAUUAUCAGUAUUUCCUUUCUUUUUGGUAAAUAGUACUUGACAUUCUUUUGCUACUUGAAAAUUACAAUCAUGUAGGAUGAGUAUAUGAAUUUAGGCACAUUGGAGUCCCGGUUGCAUAGUUUGAUCAAGCGUCCACCUCCUAAUAAUCAAAAUCCAGUCAAUCCUAAUGCAAUGACGGUGAUGAUUCCAACCCUUGGAUUGUCGCAUAAUGGGAGUUCGACCAUGAUGGCGAAAUCUUCAGUGGAUGCCCCUAUGAGUUAUAUGGCUGGGAAUAGCAGCAUGCAGCCAACAAAUGCAAACACAGGAAGCCUUAUGUCAGGCCUUAUGCCAAACAGAAUUUAUCCAAAGGCAUGUGCUCUCUAUAAUUUCUUGUUAUGGUUGUCUGCGCCGGUGCCUGGUGGUAUUGGGUGUGGUUUGUUCACUGUGAAUAGAGUUUUAAUGUAUGUGGCACAAGCUCAGGCAUGUGUAGCGAGUUUGAAUGAUUACAGGAAGAGUGAGAGCUUUUGUAGAUUGAUGUGAUGAAUGUACAGGCAGAUACGUCAGGGCAUGUAUGUAGUCAAUCGGGCACUCAGUUGCCUGGGGUGUCCCAGCAAAGUGGCAAUGUUGUCCUGAAUUCAGUGGCUGCAGGCAGUGGUGUCCCUCAUUCUGGGUUGAGUGUGGACAUGGAUCUUCUUAGAGCUCGGAACUAUAUGCAAGAGAAGAUGUAAUCUAAUCUAGAGCACUUCUUCUUGUACUUUAACCUCCACAGUUCCAUUGAGUCCUUGUUUGCUGAUUGAACUUUUUACUGUCCCUUUUCAGCUUUGUUCUCUUAGCACAGCGGCAUCUGCAGCCAAUGAAUGACUCUCAAAUUCAGAAGCUGAAGGAGAUUGUUAAACGCCUGGAAGAAGGUCUCUUUAAAUCUUCUCGCUCAAAGGUCUUCUUCCUCAUCAUUUCUCUCCUCUUCUUCUUUGUAAAAGUACAAGAAGCAGCUUAUGAUUGCCACUUAUUGGUUUUUUAUUUUUAUUUUUAUUUUUUAUUGUUACACAUUUUACAUUUGCGAAAGCCAAUUAUUUGUUCAGUUCACUUGCUUGAUUUCACCUAUUUUUUCUCGUCAUUAUCAGUAUUUCCUUUCUUUUCUUUAUUAUUAUUUUUUUUUGGUGAAUAGCACUUGACAUUCUUUUGCUAAUUUAAAAUUACAAUUAUGUAGGAUGAGUACGUGAAUUUAGGCACAUUGGAGUCCCGUUUGCGUAGUUUGAUCAAGCGUCGUUCUCCUAAUAAUCGAAAUCCAGUCAAUCCUAAUUCAACCAUAACAAUGAUUCCACCUCCUGGAUUGUCGCAUAAUGGGAAUUCGACCAUGAUGGUGACACCUUCAAUGGAUGCACCUAUGAGUAAUAUGGCUGGCAGUAGCGGCAUGCAACCAAUGAAUGCAAAUGUGGGAAGCCCUACGUCAAGUGGUGUCAUGCCAACACAGGAAGCCUUAUCGGAAGCCUUAUGUCAACUUGAAUUGUAAAUGAACAUUUUCAUUCAGAUGUAGGCCUUAUGCAGGAUGCGUUGUUAUGUUUUGAAAGUUGGGGUAUAAUUUGAACGAUUUUUCUUUCCUAUUUCCCAGUAUAUCGAUGAAGAUAUAAACACCCACGCACUUUCAUUUAGAAAAAACUACAUAGGCUUCAAACAGAAUUUACUGGCCCUGAUGAUUAAACAUUCACUUGGAACUUAGACAAUAAAAAGAUGAGAAUGCAAAACGGUAGGGGAUUCAUUCACAUUUCAGAAAAUGUUACGGCUAGAAAAUUCAACUUGUCAUUUCCUAUGAUUGAACAAAAAGAAGCACGACAUACCUAACCUGUGGACUUAGCAUGUAAGAAUGAAUCGCAUUAAGUACCCCAGCUACUAAAGAUUUUUCUAGUGAUCAAACAUACUUGCUUUCAGAGUAAAUCCAGCAUUAGAUAAAUCGCCAUCUCUGCACAUGAUGCUGCAUUUCCCAUGACGUCACCUGGAAUUCUGGCUACUUUUAUUCCAUUUUUGGUGGCAACAUUGAUAUCAACACCUUCAUGAAGAUGUAAAUGUUGGGUACUAAAUUCAGUUAAAAGCUAAAAGAACAUAGUGAUAAUAUUGACAAAUAAACCUAAAUAAACCUAAAUCCCCCUGCCCAACAUACACAAGCAAGCAGGGGUAGACACCAUUUAGACCGACACCAAAUUGUAGUAUAAGCUUCAAUUGUUUCACUCAAGCUAUAGUAUCUGACUCGAGGCGCUUGUUCUUCACCAUCUCCUAUAACAUGAUGCACAUCAUCAGGGGCUACCUAAUUGACCUACAAAAAUGGAAAAUGGAUGAAUGGAUGAUCUUCAAGGUGCAGGUAGAGACAAAUUUGGAAACAUAUGAAACAGUAAGUCCUUACCCUGCCCAUCAAUUGAAGCACACUAAUUAACAAGCAUAUAUUUACAUUUAAACAUAAGACCAAACCGAAUGUGCAAAGUUGAAGAUGCUCUUUUAUUGCUAGUUUGUUAUUUAUCCAAAGGCAUGUGCUGGCGACAAUCGGAUCGUUUCAGCAAGUUUAAAUAGGACCCCCAACAAGAGCAUAUUGGUUUUUAAUUCAGCCUAGUAAAAAAUUUCAUCACCUACAUCAGUGUCUCAAAGUAUGCAAUUCUACUAUGUUACAAUGAUCAAAGGCAGAAAUGGGAUAUUACUUUCAGUGCAGUAGGUAGUUGAAAUCUGGCUCUACCGAUGAAUGCGAAAAUAAUUGGACGGCAUCGAGACCUCAAAGUUGAUGCAAUCAAAAUCCCUUCAUACCACUCAAAACACAUCCAGCUAACUCCAUCAACCACUUCCAAAUGAGAAAGAGCAACAUUAGGUAUUUCCCUCCACUUCCUUUNNNNNNNNNNNNNNNNNNNNNNNNNNNNNNNNNNNNNNNNNNNNNNNNNNNNNNNNNNNNNNNNNNNNNNNNNNNNNNNNNNNNNNNNNNNNNNNNNNNNNNNNNNNNNNNNNNNNNNNNNNNNNNNNNNNNNNNNNNNNNNNNNNNNNNNNNNNNNNNNNNNNNNNNNNNNNNNNNNNNNNNNNNNNNNNNNNNNNNNNNNNNNNNNNNNNNNNNNNNNNNNNNNNNNCACAGACCCUGUCACUGGAGCAACAACUCUUCCUUGGGAAAGGUAUUCUAUCUGAGGAAUAAAUCAAUCUAGGAAACCAUUCCACUCGUACCACCACGUGAGACAAAUGAUGUGACAUAUUUCAUUGGUAUGAAUCUUAUCUUAUUCGACUGUCGCUUGAAUGUAAUGAAAAAUCCCACAACUCAUCACGACAUCAGGUGCAUAUUCAUGCUAUGGCAUUGGAGAAAAAACGUAUUCUCAUCGUCCUCCAACUCACAUUGAAACCUUUCUUCGCGAGUUUGAAGUUUUUUCGACCGGAGCUCAAUAGGUAGGAUUAUAACAUCAGGACGAUUGAUCAACUUUAACACCAUCCACCCCCCCCCCCCCCGGGCCUGUCCUCAAUUCUCCAGCAGCUCGAUGUGGUUCACGAUCAUUCAAACCCAGCAGCACUUUUUCUUCUACUGCGUGUUCCCCAAUAUCAACUUAGUAAGAAUUGAAUACCAGUGAUUUUCCAGUUCCCAGCACUUUGGCUUUCCUAAGAUAUUUAUUUGCCAAGACUUUCCUACUAGCAUCAUAUAGUGGGACCUGAAUGAUCCAAGGGGGAUGUAAUAAUGAGCAGAAAAGUUAUUCCAGGACCUAUAAAGAAGGGGUGCUUAGGGCCUUAUAACUUUUUUGCGUAGUGAUAUGCACUUAGUGUGAUGCUUGGGUCACAUAAUGAACCAUUAUCUGAAAAGAAAAUAAGUGGUUCAUGUUGGAUCAGCAAACAAAGUAGCCAGCCCAGUUUAAUCUAAAGAACAGUGGCUUAAGGAUGAAAACAUCCUUAAAAGUGCUUCGGAAUGACCUGCCUCCCUAGGUAUCCGCGAACUUCAAGCUGCAAAAAACCAUCAUGGUAUUUCUUGGCCUUUUGAGUUACUUGUGUGGUGUACAAAACCUGCCGUUCUACAUGACAGGGAAGUGUCAAUCUCCAAGUAGGACAUGCUCAGUUAAACUAACACAAAAAUAAAGGAAGGACACUGCCCACAAAAGAACAUUCACAUUCUCAUGUGUGUCAGAAACGACUGAAGAAAAAUAAUGAAUCUGUUAUUGUAUUCGUUAUUUCCAUAACCUCAAGCUAAAAGAAGGCAGUAAAUCCACGGCAAUAUCAAGAACAUAGUCAGCUGGUUAAUGAAAACUUCAUUAGAAAAUUUAUUGGCAAGUAGAACGAACAACUUGCUAAGUAAUGAAAACUUCAUAAGAAAAUGUAAGCAUAAAGAAUAUCCUGAGGAAUCCAUGUAACUCGGUUCAUUGCCCUCCUCUUUUGCAUGAAGUUCUCGUACUUAUGAGUCAUUCUUAAGUACCUAGAGCACAGUGCUAGAGCUAGGAAAAUCUCAAGAACGUAACCGGUCAAGGUGAAUUAUGGAUUUUUCAAAUGAAUGGACACACUCAGACCUUCUGUGAAGCACAAAGCUGAAAACUCAAUAGAUGCAGUGAUAUGGGGGGUAGUGGCGGCCUUUAUGAAANNNNNNNNNNNNNNNNNNNNNNNNNNNNNNNNNNNNNNNNNNNNNNNNNNNNNNNNNNNNNNNNNNNNNNNNNNNNNNNNNNNNNNNNNNNNNNNNNNNNNNNNNNNNNNNNNNNNNNNNNNNNNNNNNNNNNNNNNNNNNNNNNNNNNNNNNNNNNNNNNNNNNNNNNNNNNNNNNNNNNNNNNNNNNNNNNNNNNNNNNNNNNNNNNNNNNNNNNNNNNNNNNNNNNNNNNNNNNNNNNNNNNNNNNNNNNNNNNNNNNNNNNNNNAGUAUUAACUUCAAUAAAACAACGAAUUGAUUCAUGGCAUCUGCAAGUUCAAGGCCUUGCGGAAAUCAUCCCACAUCUCAUGAACAUCCCUUGGACUUGCAUCCUUAAAGCUCUGAAUCACAAUGUGUUUGCAAUAUCAUUCUGGUGAGUAUGGAGUAUCACCCAAUUACAUCAAUUGCAGAGCAGCUGAAUGAUAGGGUCCAUGGGAUAUAAACAAUGAGGGAGAAAUGUUAAUAAUCUAUUGGAAUUUUAAGACUUUAGGUUAGGAGGCAAGGUAUAUUACCUUCAUACAAAGACUAAACAUGUAAAAUAAACACUUUAUAGAACACUAGGAAAUGAAUCGAAUUGAACUGUAUUCCGGGUACCUUUUAAGGCAAAUUUAACAUUAAUAACAUUAUGCUGCUGCUUUUGCAUAUUAAUUUUUGAAGAGAAUUGAAACUGUUUCCACACGCAUUUAGAUCCCUAAAAAAUUCAUCGUUUGCUUCAUUGUUGCCACGUUCAACCAAAUGACCAAGAAAUUCCAUCAUCUCCCCAGGGCUUACUUCUUCAGCUUUGUUCAGGAACCUGCCAUCUAAAUGUUUCCAGCUCAUAUCAACAAGAAAACCUCGUAAAAGACCCAAAUAAGUUUUCAAUCAUCUGAGCCAUAUUUAUCCUGACAAAAAUUUUUCACUAAUCUGCUGAGAAAGGUAUACGUCAUGAAGAGGAAAACCAACUGAUAAAGGAAGGAAGAGCUGAAAUUUAAUCCAGCAACAACAUAGCUGGUAUUAUCUAAGGGUAAAAAUCAGGAGGAGAUGAAGACUGUAGAGCUUGACCUGCCUAGUCAUAGAUCCACUGCUCGUACAACUUAAGAAGCCAUCAUGACAUUUCUUCGACUUUUGAGUUAAUUGAGUUGUAUACAAGGCGUAUCAAUCUACAUCAAAAGGAAUAUCAUGUCAACUGCAGUGCCGAGACAACAAUAACACUCUCGAAUAUAACUGCAUAGAGAACAUUGAGACCAUUUUUCUAAGGGAAGUUUGGAUAUAUGCUAAAAAGCUCCAAUGAUUUUCAAGAGAAGCCACGAAAAUAUAUGAAACCACCUUGAUUGAGAAGAAUUAAUAUACGAAGCAUCAGAGCUGAGAGAAUCUUUAUUGAUCUUGAAAAGACUCUGUAUGUAAUAUAAAGAUGUGCAGAAACUGUAUCCCAAGGAAAAUCAAGAACGGAUUCACAAUCCAAGAGAUACAUCAAGAGAAAGACACGGCCUGGCAUGGGCAUAGAUGAGUCAGCAAAAGUCCAAACUCACCUGUCAUGCUUGAUGUCCUUGAGUUCGGACUCGCCUGCAAUAUGCCAUAUCUGUUCAUUUCAAAAAACAUAACAGAACGCGUGCUAAGUUGUUGUCACCGGCAUUUACAUUACUCUUAAGAUUCUUUUAUGUGUGCUUACGUUACUCUUUCCCUUUGAACAACAGCGAUGAAAUUGCUGGAUGGAGCGAGAAAGCAUAUGAUUAGAACUUUCAACCUUGUCCUUGUGUUUUACAGAAUGCGGAUGCGUGAAAUGUUCGUAGAGGAUGGAGUCCUUUCUCAGCACUCCGAAGCACCACCUACGAUAUACCUUACCAAGCACGCUUCCUUCACAAGAUUUAUCCGUUGGUUUAUUAGGACACAAAAUUUGGUGUUGGCUCGUGCUUAGUAACUUUCUCUCAGUUUCAGAAGCUAAGAAUCUGCGAUACUACAUGACGAGUGGCUUAAAUGGCAAAAUGUCUAUAGGCUAAAGUUGUAUGACCCAUUUUCUGGUUUAACUACCAUAGCAUAUUGCACGUAGCAAGAUUGGUCUAUCAGACAGAAAAUUCAUGAGUUACAGAACAACUUUUCUUGUUCUUCGGACAUCUUGAGGACACGAUCUUUUAUGACUGAUUCUCUUAUGAAUUGACAUUAUAUCCCCCACAUGAACAUCCUGUACCCGUUGGCAACCCAAGGAUCCACUUUAAUUUAUACUCAUGUUGAGAGGAAUAGGAGAACUGAUAUCGAGCGAUAUUCAUGAACAACUGUCUCUUCAAGGCUUUGUUUAGCAUGCGGAAGGCAAGAAAGGACUGCAAGCUAUACAUGUUCUUGGACGAGAACUAAGUAGAACAGGGGAUAAAAGAAAGUGGAGAAACCCAUAUCACAGUUUCUUUGCACCACAAGUAUGACCUAUGCUGUAUUUGUUAUGGUAGCUUAAGCUAGCUUAAGAUUUUGAGAAUAAUUUAAUGCAAUAAGAAACCGAAUGAAAAGAAAGUCCUGAUAAAAUCACAAUUUCUACAAGGAAUUCCUUUGGAAGAUUGUUGCCGCUCUAUAGUUUAUUGUUCACUCUUGCCUGUUAUUACAAACAGGAAAGGUAAAUAAUAAAGAAUGUUGUGGAAGCUGAGACACUGUUUCCUCUUGGUAAUUAUAUAAAGAUAGGCUCACAGUUCAGAAAACACAGCUAAAACUGGGCAGCCCUUGGAAGGAACAAAUAAAAUGGCUUAAGCAGCUAUUUAUCACAGUCACAGGCUGCUUGACCCUCAGUUUGAUCACUAAGAAGCUGCUGUUACAUGAUCUGCAUGCUAAGACACAGCUAAAACUGGGCAACUUUCAAGGGCUGGGUAUAUGUUAUCUAACGGAGCAUCUAAACCGAGCAUCUUUCUCGAUAGGAAUUGAACAAGCAUUGUCUACAAAUGAACAGUCUAUGAUGCAACUUUGACCUGCCAUAUAGAUAUUUGAAGACAUGAGAACAUACACAGUAUUAUUUCUGCUUCCUCAGCCGAAUUUCUUCACCAUGCGUUCACUUAUCUUAAUUUUAACUAAUAUCUCAGAUCAACGUGGGUGGCCUCUUUCCAUUUUGAUAUGUAAGCACAGUGAACCUCAAUAUGUUGAAUAGCGCUGCAAAUACAUUGAUUAUGUCGUAUAAAUAUGAAGUGUUUCAGACCAAACACCUAUAAAUGAACUUGGCACUAAAACACUCCCCAUAAAAACAAGAGCUCGAUCGUACAAAUUUCAAAUGCGAUAGGCACGAGAUUUUUGAGCACUCCAUUCAGAUUCUUGAGAGUAGCAAUACAGUCAAUUGAGCAAUGACCAUUGUUCAAAAUCCAAUAUCAAAACUGGGACACUCAGCCGUCACUUUCAAUUGAUCCCUAUCUCCUUCAGGGGUCUUCAAUUCAUCAUCAGCAUCACCCCAAGAAUGCGUGAAAGAGAUGCUUUUGAUGCAAGGCUUGUUGCCACAACAUUUGGGGUCAGCUUGCUCGUGAGAAGGCUGGAAGCGAUAAUUGGACCAGAUGUAUAUGCUAGUCAUACAGAAUUCAAUGCAAUUGAGAAUGUCCACUAGGUGAAUACAGAACUAGAUUUUGGUUUCCUACCAGCAGUUGCUACCUGCAGCUAAUUUGUUUCCGCUUGUAUCGUAGUCUGCACCAAAGAGUUUCAACAAACAUCAAAACUCGUGAAGUUCUAAUGGAGUUUUAAGAUGCUUAUAGUCACAUCCUUGCCACCAAUGGUUAAAAAAUGGAGCUGAAAGAAUUGAUUACCGUAAAUUUAACAGUACAAGUAGCUGUGGAAUAGGUGGGAGUUGCCAAUUUCAAAUCCCCCCGUAGAGCGAAAUUCAUUGAAAUCAGAGGAUGAUUCAGAUGAAAUUAUACAAUGUAGCUAAGGAAACAUAAACUAUGAGAAAGCUAACAUUAAAGUUAAAAAAAAAAAUAAAAAAAAAACGCUGAAUUGAAAGAAAUCAUGGCUAAACCAACCUUUUUAGACUUCAUGGGGCCAUGAAACUUUUCAUUGCCGAAGUUAUCAGUUAGAUUUCCAUUGUCCCAUACUCCAUCAAAGCUAGUUUAGCAGCUGGCGCUCUGUCUUUGAGCAGCAUCAUAAGAAUUAUCUGAAUGCUGAAGCUCUUCUAUUAGUGAAGCAAAACUUCCCUUCCUCUCAUAUAACUUCCCCAAUAGCAACUUGAUCUAAUGGUUUUCGGAGGACGGAUGAUAUUUGAUAGGCUGCAUCGAUUGGAUUACUAGAGCUCAUUUGCAAGCUGGAGUAAGUAAUACAACAUAGGUUCCUCCAAUAAAUAUGGGAGUUAACUUUGGAGGAAAUGCAAAAUAAAGGGGGACAGCAAUGCAUCGACAUUAAUACGGCCGCUCCCAAGCUUAGUUUAAUGACAUUCUUCUUUAGGACUAGGUUCAUGAAAAAAUCUAUCCAUUUUGUAACUCCUUUAUCUGAAAAGAUAUUUUCGUUUUACUUGUUAAAUAUCUAAAUUAUAUAUUGAUGACAAUAUCAAUUGUAUUCUCUAAUUCAUUUAUGGAAAGUUGUUUUUAGAUUCUUUAUUUAUCACUAAUGUAUCAGUUUGGGGUUUUUUUAUGGUAAAAAAAUUAGCUUGGAAUAAAGUUGUCACUUGUAUACCAGUUUGAAGUUUUUCGUGAUGUUAACCAUUUGUUAAAAGAUCCAGUUAAAAGUGAAUUAUUUAAUCCUUGCAUUUGAGAACCAAUUAUCACUUUAUCAAUCAUACGCGCUCCGUCCUUUUGAAUUUUCACUAUAUGCUCUGUAUCAAACCUCAUCAAUCAAUUACAAGUUUAAAUUGUAUAGAGUUGAAAUAACUCUCACUUCAAUUGGUGUCAAAGAUAUAUUUUUUUUCCAUAAAUAUGAAUAAAUAAUCCACGCAGAUGAUAGGGGAAAAUGAAAUGAACAAAAUGGGCAAAUUGCAGAAUAGAUAAAUUAUGAUAGUAUAUACUCGAGCUUCGAAACUAUUACACCCAAUGGCUGAAAAGAGAGAAUCUAAGUUUCAGUUCAUCCUUGAAAAAAAAAAUGAUAGGCUCCUACAAAUAUGAUGCAAUCAAUUUUAGAGAUGAUUGUCAUGUAAGCUGAGCUUCAGCUAGAAGUCUAACUUGUUGCCCAAGUUUGGGAUCCACAAUUAUAGAUGCAACUUUCAACUGAGUGGAUCCUCAACUCCAUUGUUAACAAAUGAAUUGAUAAUGAGCAUAGAGGCCCAAAUUCUUCAAAGCCAUGGUGAUUUCCUUUUCUCAAGCAUUCUUUCUUGAACUUUGAUCAUCAAUUCUUUCCACAAGAGUUUCUCUUCUAUUACAUCCAAAUCUCCUGACUCAUUGAGGAUCUUACUCAUGCUAAAUGCCUUUUCUCAAAUAUGCUGAAAAUAAAGGAUUAAAUAAGGUACCAUGCUGGUGUAAAUUACUUUUCAAACAAGUGACGAUAAAAUGGAACCUCAAUGGAAUGCGUUCAUUUGUUAAAAUUAAAUACAAUAUACAUGUCAACACUAGAAUUGGGCUUGUUUAAUGAUUUCUUUACCUAUCAUCAGUGUACAAAAUAAAAGUGAGAAACAAGUAAUGACAGAUACAGAAAUGUUCAAGCUCCGCACUCGGGAGCCACUCCGGAUGUUCCUUCGCCUUCUGGAAAUAUACAAACCCACUAGGGAUGGUCCUGCAUUCCAACAAAUAAAGAAAUGUUCAGGCACCGCACAACUUUUGACCUGGAUGAAUUCUUCAGCACACUAUGAAUCUGCUGUUUGCUAUCUACAUCGGCACUUCUUCAAGCACGAGGUUUCCAUACUGAGCCUACCUUGCAGGCCAAACAACACGUAGAUGUGGUAAGUGUCGGUUUUAUAUCUGUCCGCAGUACCACAAUAGGAUAAACUUUCCUAACCCUUGAAAAGGAUAUAAAUUAGCAACCCCAUAGAAGAGGUUUCAUGAGACCCUCCUAGGCCUGAACUGGUGCUGGAGAGUAUAUUAUCCUUAUGAGCGAAUUAGUCAAUUUAAAAACAGAAUUCCAGGUAGAGAAAAGCUAAAAAUUCCCUCAUCGCAGGAGAACAGCAGCAUUUGCCGUGCGUCGCCAAUCGAUACAUAAUCAUUUGCUUUUUCGCUACAUCCAGCAACUUCAUCUCUGUUGUCCAAAGGGAAAGAAUAAAGUAGGCACGCAUAAAAAAGAACGUCUAGAUAUACAAAGAAAUGAAUUACUCAUUCCGCAAGCAACACGCCGAUUUCGGUUUUUAGCCACCCCAGUUUCUACUAUCGCCCGCCCAUUUCGUCAAACAUCUGACCAGCGCUACGAAACGCUCGGAUCUUCUGCCCAUUCCAUUGCAGCUUUCAUGGCGACGAUUUCAACGCCACGAGUGAAGAUUCUCGCUUCUUCAUAUGCUUCCCAUCCAGCGUCUUUAUGGAGAAGCAUGGAAUUCGCUCCACCUCCUCUCGCGUGCCCUUCGCCCUUCACCUUGUCAUCUCCCGGCGCGUGGGAGAACUUCCGCAAUCUUCCAUGAGCAAGGCCCGAGUUUUUCCACUCUCCACCAGGAGCGAAACGACGGAUUCCCCCUGAAUUGAAGUCCACGAGGAUGAUAGGGAAAAUCAGGCGAACGAAAUGGGCAAAUAGCAGAAUGGAUGGAAUUUUUAUAACGAAUACGUCAUGUCAACUUCGAAAUAACCGACCAAAAAAAGAAAAACUUCGAAAUAAUUGCACACAGAUGGCUGGGAAGUAGCCUAGCGUUCUUGCGUAUGCUGCAAGGGUGGCUUGACUCAAUAGAGAAGACAGAGCGUGAAAUAAAGAAAUAUAUGAAUUCGAUUAGUGCGCGUGCGUACGGUUCACUUAUUAUUAGAUAAAAAAUAUAUAUGAUAUAAAUUUAUUCAAAAUUAAUUUUCUGACUAUAAAAUUCUAAAGUGAUAUGCUUGUAAUAAAUUUACCCUAAACUAAUUUUUAACUACGAAAAACCUCAUAUUAGUACAUCUGUGACAAAUUUACCUAAAUAUCAAAAAUAAAAAAGUAGUACAUUUAUGACAAAUAUACCAUAUGUUAAAUUAAAUUAAUAUCAUGAAAAAUCACAAAAAUUGUACAAACUGUGACGAACAUAGGGUAUAUACCCAUCAACUAUCAUUUAUCAGCCAACUUAAUAAUUUAACAAUAAAAUUUAAUGAAAACUAACAAAGGAUAAAUAUAUCACAACUAUAUUGGUUUAGGUUUUUUUUUGUGGUAAAAAAAUUAGUUUGGGUAAAUUUAUCACAUGUGUACCAAUUUGAGGUUUUUUGUGAUAAAAAAAAUUAGUUUUGAACAAAUUUGUCAUAAGUGUACUAGUUUAGGAUUUUUCGUGGUCAAAAAAUUAAUUUUGAAUAAAUUUGUCACAAAUGUACAAAUUUGAAGUUUUUCCUAAUAUUAAACUUUUAUCAAAUUAAAUUGAUAUUUCUUGGGAAAAAAAGAAAAAAGAAGAAGAAAAUUGGCUCCCAUCUAGCUCUUGCACCUUAAAUUAAAGAGAACAAAGACGCAUUCAGUUGAAAUUAAAUUUCAAAGAUCAAAUUGAACAUUGAUUAAGAAUUUAGGGACCAAAUUUGAUAUCACCUUCCCAUUUAAAUCUGGAGCCCACUGACCGAGUGAACUUUUAGAAUUAAAAGCUACUAAACACUUGCAUGUCCACCUUCCUUUCGCGCCAAUGACUCUUAACAAGACAUCGAAGCCUCGUGAAAGCUGCAUUAUCAUAGAGCACUGCCAUUCUGAAAUUUACACACUUUGUUCGUUUCAUUCUCCCUCUCAUCCUUGUGAGCUUUGAUGGCGGAAUCUAUUAUUCCACUCACUGUGGAAAAUUCUCACAACUCGCUCGUAGAAGAUGCGAAACUCUUGCGGGUUUGGUGACGGGACAAGCAAAGGGCACGCGAGAGGAGGUGGCGCAAAUCCAGUGCUUCUCGAAAGACGCUGAUGCGAGACUAGACGAAGUGGGAGUCAUUCCUUGUGGCAUUGCAGAUGUCAUCGUCAAAGUCGAUGCUAAACCAAAGAUUAGGGAAGAUCCGAGACUGAUAGCGCAAACCAAGGACAGCGGUACAUCACUGUCGUGGACCAAGAAGUAACCUUAUCGCAUUUUCAGAAUAUGCUCAAAGCAUAUGCCUUUUGAGUCAUUAAAAGCUCUAUCUCGCACAACGCUAAUUAUUACUAUAUCCACAUUAUCAUCAAAUUACAGGCCAAUUAAGUAUCUUGAUAGGUGGGGUCCAAAUCAUGCAAAACAACAAAAGAUUCGAUUUCAUACAAUUAAGAAAUUUGUACCUAUUUUCUUUCCCUCAGUGAGGAAAAAGAAACCAUUAAAAAAGGAGUGUGGGACACCUGGAGUGCCAUAACUUGGCACACCGGGACACUUAAGUGCCAUAACUUUAAAAUGGUACACUUAAGUGCCAUCAUCGGAGUAAAAUGGGACACUUAAGUGCCACUCCGGCGAAAAUCCGGCCAAAUGGCUGACGUGGCGACUUUCCGGCGAGCUCGGUCCCAAACGGCGUCGUUUUGCACGCUGACGUGGCGGAGAAAAUGCAAAAACGACGCCGUUUCGCGUCUACGUGUAAAUAAUAGUAUAUAAAUUAAUUAAAUUAGAUUUAAAAUAUUCAAAAAAUUUAAAAAAAAUAAGAAAAAUUAAGAAAAAUUUUAAAAAUUAAGAAAAAUUUUAAAAAUUAAGAAAAAUUUUAAAAAUUAAGAAAAAUUUUAAAAAUUAAGAAAAAUUUUAAAAAUUAAGAAAAAAUUUAAAAAUUAAGAAAAUUUAAAAAAUUUAAAAAAUUAAGAAAAAUUUAAAAAAUGUUAAAAUUUUAAAAAUUUUAAAAAAUAAGAAAAAUUUAAAAAAUUAAAAAAAUUAAGAAAAUUUUAAAAAUUAAGAAAAUUUUUAAAAAUUUAGAAAAUUUUUAAAAAAUUUAAAAAAAUUAAGAAAAUUUAAUUUUUUUUACAUUAAGAAAAUUUUUAUUUUUUUUAAUUUAAGAAAAUUUUAAAAUUUUUUAAAAAUUAAGAAACUUUUUUAAAAAAAUUAAAAUUAAAAAAAUUAUAAAAAAGGGGGGAGGGGGGGGCCGAAGGGGGGGGCUCCCUUGCCCCCCCCGCCGACUCCUUAACCGCCGCCACUUCGGCCGCCGCCGCCGCCUCCCCCCCCCCCCCCCUUUUUUAAUUUUUAAAUUUUUUUAAAUUUUCUUAUUAUUAUUUUUUAAAUUUUUAAAAAUUUUUAAAAUUAAAAUUUUUUAAAUUUUAUUAUUUUCUUAAAUUUUUUAAAUUUUUUAAAAAAAAAAAAUUUAAAUUUUUUUUUAAAAUUUUAUUAUUUUCUUAAAUUUUUUUAAUUUUUUUAAAAAAAAAAUUUAAAUUUUUUUUAAAAUUUUAAAAUUUUUAAAAUUUUCUUUUUUUAAAAUUUUUUUUAAAAUUUUUUAAAAUUAAAAUUUUUAAAAUUUUCUUUUUUUAAAAUUUUUUUUUAAAUUUUUUAAAAUUAAAAUUUUUAAAAUUUUCUUAUUUUUUAAAAUUUUUUAAUUUUUUAAAAUUAAAAUUUUUAAAAUUUUCUUUUUUUAAAAAAAGUUUUAAAUUUUUUUAAAAUUUUCUUUUUUUAAAAAAAGUUUUAAAAUUUUUUAAAAUUAAAACUUUUAAUUUUUUUUAAUUUUUUUUUAAUUUUUAUGCUGAUUUGGAGCUCCGGCGAGCCACGUAGGCCAAAAAUAAUAAUAAAAUAUUGCCACGUAGGAUUUCCGGCAAGGGUCGCCGGAGGUGGCACUUAAGUGUCCCACUCGAAAAAAAAAGUGGCACUUAAGUGUACCGUUUUGAAGUUAUGGCACUUAAGUGUCCCGGCGUGCCAAGUUGUGGCACUUGUGGUGUACUUCUGCCAUUAAAAAAGAGUAGUUAUGAAUUUCUACAAAGCUUUUGAGAAUUUAGAGGUAAUAAUAAUGGUAAUAUGUUAGCAGACAGGGAGUGCCAAUGCACUGGCGCUGUUUAACAUUGAUUAAAAUUGUCCGACUUAUGCUUCGAAAACUCGAAUCAUCCCUCAUCUUUGAUUAGAGGGAGUUCGCCAUUAGGAAGCAACUUUUGAAAAUUCAGCACAAGUUGUUGCACAUCAUUUUUUAAGCACGUGAAAUAGAAGUGUCGUGUUGCUUUCGAUUUGUAUAGUCCAAUUCUUGCAUCUAGAGGAACAACAAGAUGUAAACUAUAAAACUCAAUAAGAAAAAUGGAAAACUGUGAUUAAAAAAAUACCAAUUAGCUUUUUCAAUACAUAUUAAUCGAAGGGACGAGCAACAACAGUGAGGCACCUUCUCAGUUUCUUCUCAUAAUUUCUUCAGCUCCGGUGCUUCCUUCUUUCGUUACAAUUUUUCGCGCGGUUGUCCAUUAAAGGGACCCAACAAGGACAAAAAGAAGAGAGACAAAGCAUCGGUCGUCGAAGCGUGAAGCGUGAACCAAGAAGCGACCUCUGUCGUUUCUCGCCAUUCUUUAUGGCAUCCCUGUAACAAAUUUUUAGCUUCGGCAGCUCACAUGUUUUCUCUUUUUUCUUUUUUGACAAUUUUUGCUUAUUGACUACCCCGCCAUGUGCAUUGGUCUUUCUUUUACAUUUUCUUUAGGUAGAGUUGUCUGGGCAAAAGUGUUCCAUGUAGAAGUUGUCAUUUAUCUAGGGCAUGCAUGUUUUUGUUCUUUAUUUCUGUUCUUGAACUUUUUUUUUGUUUUUUUGUUCCCAGGAACAAAAAAAGAACAGAAACGCGUUUGGUUGCGUUUCUAUUCUUUUUUUGUUUUUUUGUUCCCGAAACAAAAUAGGAACAAAAAAAAGAAACAAAAAAUUUUUACUUCUUGUUUCAGAAACAAAAAUGAAGAAACGUUUCUCUUCUUCUUUUUUUCUUCUUUUUUCUUUCGCCGGUCACCGGCCUCGGCCAUGGCCGGCGACCAGCCGUUGAGGGCCGGCGACGCCGUCGAGGGUCGGCAACCUCGCCGGAGCGUCGCCGGCCCCCGGCGAGGCCGAGCCUCGCCUUGGCUGGGCGAGCUCGGCCUCGCCCAAAUCCGGCAAGGCUCGGCGUCACCGGAUCUAGGCGAGCUCGAGCUCGCCGAGCCUCACCUUGGCUGGGCGAGCUCGAGCACGCCUAGAUCCGGCGACACCGAGCCUCGCCAGGGGCCGGCGAGCCUCGCCAUGGCUGGGCGAGGCUGCUAGCCCCGUCGGCCGGUCGCCGGAGGCCGGGGACCGGCCGAAAAAGGAAAAAAUAAAAAAGAAAGGAAAAAUUGAAAAAUAAAAUAAAAAUGUUUAAAAAAUUAAAAGAAACAAAAAAAGAAUAAAAUUUACCAAACGUGUUUCUGUUCAUUUUUUAUUCCCGAAACAAACGUUACCAAAUGCGUUCUUUUGUUAAAAAAUUGUUCCCCGGAACAUAAACACUUUUUUUUGUUUCUGUUCCCGGGAACAGAAAAGGAACAGAAACAUUACCAUGCAGCCCUUUAUCUACCAAACUUUUUCUCCGUCUCUUUCGGUGGUGAUUGUUGAAUAUGGCAGAUGAAAAGCCACGUCUUAAUCUUAUGGGUAAUCCUUCUCUAAACAUGUGAAUGAAAGAAGUGAGAGCGAGCCUCCCUCCUAAUGCUAUUUUCUCAUCCUAUGCUAUGCUACUUUGAAGGCUUUUUAUAAAUUUAUCAUAAUCUUAUUAAAAAUGGCUUUGAGGACACUAAUUAAAAAAAUCAUUUUCAUUUUCAUUAUACUAUUUGCUCAAAAUAUGAGAAAUUUUUCUACCGAAAACUUCAAAUAUCAAAAUUAAAUUCUUGGAAUAUCUCUAUCUUCCAAAUAAAUUCACACCUAUAGUAGCUUAGAAAAGCUGUGAGUGUAUUCUUUGUUUUCGUCCAGAGAAGUGCAAGACAAACCGCCAAAACUACAAAAAGUAAUCCGUUUGGAAUCUACGCCAUCAGAAAAGUUGGAGAUAAUUUCACAACUUGGUAAACUUAUGAAUACCUCAAAUCUGCCUCCCUUUGUUUCUUUGCUCCCUGGCAAGGGUUCAGCCUAUACGAUUUGCGUAAAAUGUCUAGCAAUCCCUAUGCUUGUAAACUAUACUUAUAUGGCCAAAUCAAGAUGUUGGAACACAAGUAUAUGCCCCUGCAUCUGAGGAGAUUGGUCUUGGUCAGGCUGAGGAACCUUGAGGAAUGCAUAAUUGCUAAAGGAGCCAUGCCACAUCUUUCUCAAGUUGGGGUCGAAGUCUGUCCAAAUUGAGGAAUGUAUCUAAAGGAAUCCAUGUAUGCAACACCAAGGGAGACAUUGUGGAGGCUGUUGAGAAGCCAUAUCGAAGGGAGAAAUCAAAACGAUAGAUGAGUAGUACUUGAUGACUGGCUCUAUUUAGUUGUCAAAUUUAAAGUAGUAUCUUUCAAAAGCCAAUAAUUUUGGUAGUGAAUUGCUCAGUUCGCAGAUUAAGUAGCAAUGGCAAUACACAAUAAUAACAUAACAAGAUUAAUUGGCUUGAAAUCUUCGUGUCGGAUCAAAUUUCAAACCAAAAGGCAUAGUUUGUUGAUUUUACUAGAUUUUUCCGUACCAAACCAACCAGAAUGUAUCCAUCCCAUCUUAAUCCGCUCUUUCAUGCUGUUUUAUUAGCCUUGCAUUUUUCUUGAAAAUCAUUAAAAGUAGCCUUCGACUCUGAUUUCUUUAGGGGUUAAGAUGAACAAUUUUAUAGUUGGCGCUAAAAUGGGCUCCUGACCAGUCUUUGAUUGGUUAAUUUAAGGAACCAAUUUGCGUUUUGGUGCAGGGGAUCAUUACCCUUAUUGCAAAGAAACCCUAAUCCUCUGUUCUCUCUCUGUUAGUCGCUUGUCUCAUUUCUGUCGACAAAAGGGGUCAUCAUCAACAUCUACGAUCAGGUGUCAUCAUCACCACAACCAUCGCGAAUUUCAUUGCCGUCGAAAAAACGUUAUCAAGUCAUCCUAGGUACGGUGUAAAAAUAGUCAGGUAAAUAAGUGUCGUACCGUCUUGUAACUUUCAUGCACUGAACUAAAAUCUCCUAUCGUGGACCGGCCACCUAAAAAUAGAGUCCCAUAAAAUCACUUUUUCUUUUGAAUUUAAGAAUCUCAAAUCAUAUGAAAUGCAAAUUCCGCAUCAUUUUAAUGAUUCACUUGUUUCCUGUUUGGUUAGAGUUUCGGGAGCUUUUCACAUUACCAACUAGGAGAUCACCUGUUAAUGUCAUUAAUUACAUGCAAUUGUUCGGGAUUAGGCUAAUUGUGGAUCAAAAGCAUGAACUUAACAGGUUUGGGAAGUUUGUGGGUAUGUCACGGGCUUUUAAGGAAUCUAUCCUCCAGGCCUGUGUCUAGGAUUGUGAAAAUAAAAGAAAAAAGAUGCAACCACCGCUCGUUAAUCUUUUGUAAGACUUUCAUGAAUAGAUUAAUACAAAUUACAAACAUCAUCCAAAAGUAUAAAGUUUAAUAAAGCAUAUUGCAGUCACAUGUUAAACUUUUCAAUGAUGGAGCAUUUCAUGAACAUUAUAUACUUGUGGUCCUUUUGCAUAUAACUAACCGCUAUUAUGGCAUCAUGGAUACUCACACACUCACGUUUUAGAGUCAAAAUAUUUAACCAUCAACUCAUUAUGAAACAUAUAGUUUCUAGCGGUGAGUGGUGAUGGUGAUUGUGAUGAUCCGAGCAUUUUUCAAAUGCUGCCUAUAUGAUUUAAAACAUCAUUUGAGUGCAUGAAAUAAAAGCAGCAUGUUGUUUUGGGUUUGUAUAGUUCAAUUCUUGCAUUUAGAUUAAUGAUGAGAUAUAACAUAUAAACUGAAGUAGAAAAACGAAAAAAGCGUAAUACCACUCAAAGGGACGAGCAACACGAAAAAUAUGACAAAGUAACUCCCAUGCAUCGGUCUUUCUUUACAAUUUUUCGUGCAGUUGUCCAUCAAAGGGGACCCAAAAAGACAAAAGAAAAUAGACAAAGCAUUUGGGGUCAAAACGUGAAGCACGAAGCAAGAAGCAACCUCUUUCGUCUUUCACUAUCCUUUGUAGAAUUCCUGGAACGAAUUUUUGGCUCCAAUUGCUCAUUUCUUUUUCUUUUUAUUUCUUUUAACAAUUUCUCUUGAUUGACUACUCUAUCAUGGUGCGUUGGUCUUUCUUUAGAUUUUCUUCUCUUAAAGCUGUCUGAGCAAAAGUUUUUUCUACAAAAAUUGUGAUUUAUCUAACAACCUUUUUCUCCCUCUCUUGUAAUACUAAUUGUUUAAUCUGGUAGAUGAAAGGUCACAUCAUAAUCUUAUGGUAAUCCUUAUCUAAAUAUGUGAAUGAAAGUAGCCAGAAUGAGCCAUCCCCCGAUACUACUUUAAAGGCUUUUUAUAAAUUUAUCAUAAUCUUAUUAAAGAGUCUUUCAGGGCACUCAUUAAUCGUGCCUAAUAAAGAAAGAUUGUUAUCUUCAUUAUAUUGGUUGCGCAAUAGAGAGAAAAUUUUCCACUAAAGACUCACAUAUCAAGAUUGGUUUACACAAACAUGUAUCAUAUAUUCUUAGAGUAUCUCUACUUUCCAAAUAAAUUCGCCACUUUGUUGAUUGAGAAAAGCUGUGGUUGUAUUUUUUAUUUCGUAUAGAGAAAUGUGAGAUAAUUUGCCAAAAUUACAAAAUUACUUCGUUAGGACUAUGCAUCUCCUCCCGAAAAAAACAUGAGAUAAUUCCACAACUUGAUAAACUUAUGAAUGCCUCAAAUUCGCCUCCCUUUGUUUCUUCCCUUCUUGGUGAGGGUUCGGUCUAGAUGAUUUGCGUAAAAUGUCUGGCAAUCCUAUCCUUGUAAACUAUACUUACAUGGCCAAACCAAGAAGAUGUUAGAACACAAGUAUAUGCCCCUAUAUCUGAGGAGGUUGGUCUUGGUUGGGCCGUGGAAUGGAAUGGAGAGUCACUAAAGGAGACAUGCCACAUCUUUGUCCAAAUUGAGGAUGUAUCUAAAGGAAUCCAGGUAUGCAACAUUGAGGAAGACAUUAUGGAGGCCGUUGGGAAGCCACGUCAAAGGGAGAAAUGGAAAUGCUACGUGAGUAAUACUUGGCGACUUGCUCUGUGUAGUUGUCAAAUUUAAAGCGACAUUUCUUGAAAGCUAAUAAUUUUGCUAGUGAAUUGCUCAUUUUGCAAAAUAAGUAGCAAUGACAAUACACAAUAAUAACGUAAGAAGAUUAAUUGGUUUGGCAUAACCAUGUCAAAUCUAAUUUGGAACCAUAAAGCGAAAUUUGUUGAUUUCACUAGAUUUUGCCGGACCAAACCAACCGGAACAUAUUUAUCCCAUCUUAAUUCGCUCUAUUAUGCUGUACAUUGGCAAUGCAUUUUUCUUGAAAAUUAUCAUAAUUAGCCUCGAACUCCAAUUUCUUCAAGGUUUAAGAUGAACAAUUGUGUAGUUGGGGCUAAAUUUGGCUGUUGACCAGUCUUGAAAUUGGCUAUUUUAAGUAACCAAUUUGUUCUCAUGCGCGCCAUAUAGGCUAAUAAUGUGGUGGCUAUUAACUAUUUGAUAUUUUCUUUCAGUUCAAGGUCUAAAAAUAGUUGAGAAAAUAAGUAUUGUGUCCUCUCUGUCAGUAUAAAGUUGUGUAUAGAAUAUUGCCGCCACAUGUUAAAGUAUUAAAUGGUGGAGUUUUUCAUAGGCAUUAUAUACAUGCGGUCUUUUUGCGUCUAACUAAUUGCUUUUAAACUUUUGGAUUAUAAUCUCUAAUGUCAUAUCAACAUAUUUUAGGCUCUGUUCGUUUCAUAAAAAUUAACUUCCAACAUUUUUCAGAUCUUUCAGGAUUCGUUUAAUGGAAAAUAAAUUAGUUGUGGAAUAUAUUUUCCAUCAAGGAAAAAAAGUAUUGUAAAAGAGGAUAAAAUAUUUUCCACUUUUAAAAUUUGGGAAAUAUAUUUUUCUUACUUGCUCUCUCUGUUAUCUCAUACCUUACUCGCCUCCUUCUUUCUUGUUUUCUUUUCUAAUAAUUCGUAUUUUAAAUUAUUUUUCUUUUUAUUUUAUCUUGUCUUAAUUAUUUUUCUUUUUCUUUUUUUCCACCUUCUUCUUUGGUCAAUCCCCGGCACGGCUACGACUGGCGAUCGGCCAAAGGUGAGCCUGGAGCUUGCUGGCCUUGGGCCCUGGGCCUCGCAAUUUAUCCUUAAUAUUGUAUAGUUGAAUGUAAUUAACAUGGACGAGUGUGACCAAUUUGUGUGCGUGUUUAUGAGAAGGCAUGAGCCAUGAUAUAUCUUACAAUAGAUAUGGUUUGUUUUUGCACCACAAGAAACAAAAUUGUUGCUAUGAAAAGUAUGACGAUGAAUUGACGCCGCAUAAAGCAAAAAUAUGAUUAUUAAAGUUGAAUUAUUGCCAUUAGCCCAUGGGAAGCCAAUCUUCUUUUGACGGCACAUAAAGCAUUAAUAUGAUGCUGAAUCAUUGCUCAUAGGCCGUGUGAAACGAAUCUUCUUUUGACGGGACAUGAAGCAAAAAUGUGAUGGUGAAUUAUUGCUCCUAGCCCAUGUGCCAUUACUCAUAAGCCAUCGUCAAAAUAGUUAGCCGUGGACGGUAGUGAUGAUGAUGAUCCGAGCAUUUUUUAAUUGUGGCCACCUGUUUGACAAAAUUAUUGUUCAAGCGCAUGAUGAUGCCCGUGUGAUUUAAAUUAUUGUUCAAGCGCAUGAAAUAGAAGUGGCAUGUUGCUUUUGGUUUGUAUAGUCCAAUUCUUGUGCAUAGAUGAAUAAUGAGACAUAAAAUAUAAAACUCAACAAGAAAAGUGAAAAACCGCGAUUAAGAAAACGCCAAUUGGCUUUUACAAUACACAUUAAUCAAAGGGACGAGCAACAUGCAAAAUACGACAAAGCAAAGGCAAUUGAAACAGCGAGGCACCUCCUCAGGUUUUCUCUCAUAAUUUCUUCAUGUCUCGUGCAUCGGUCUUUCUUUACAAGUUUUCGUGCAGUUGUCCAUCUAGGGGACCCAAAAAGACAAAAAGAAAAGAGACAAAGCACUGGGGGUCGAAACGUGAAGCAUGGAGCAAGAAGCAACCUCUCGUGUUUCGCAUUUCUCUGAAGAAUUCUUGUAAUGAAUUUUCCGCCGCGACUGCUCGUUUAUUUUUAUUUUUAUUUUUCUUUUCUUUUGACAAUUUCUGUUCCUGUAGAAGUUGUCAUUUAUCUAACCAACUUUUUCUCUGUCUCUUGCGGUGUUAAUUGUUGAAUCUGGCAGAUGAGAAGUCACGUUAUAAUCUUAUGAUAAUCCUCCAAACAUGUGAAUGAAAGGAGGAAAAGUGAGCCUCCCUUCUUUGCUACUUUGCAGGCUUUUUAUAAACUUAUUAGAAUCUUAUUUAAGAGUGCUUUAAGGACAAUCGUUAAUCAUGUCUAUUAAAGACAGGUUGUUACUUUAAUUAUUGAUUGCACAAUAGGUGAGAAAUUUUCCACUAAAAACUUUCACAUACUUUUAGAGUAUCUCUUACUUCCAAAUAAAUUCGCCCAUUUAUCGGUUGAGAGAAGCUGUGAUUGUAUUCUUUGUUUCUUCCAAAGAAAUGUGAGAUGAAUUGCCAAAACUACAAAAGUAGUCCGUUUGGGAUCCGCGUCUCCUAAAAAUCAGGAUAUAAUAUUAUGACUUGGUAAAUUCACGAACAUCUUGAAUCCGCGUCCCUUUGUUUCUUUGCUCCUUGGCAAGGGUUCAUCCCAGACAAUUUAUGUAAAAUGUCUAGCAAGCCAUUUGGUUGUAAACUAAUAUGGCCAAAUCAAGAAGAUGUUGGAACACAAGUAUUUGCCCUGACAUCUAAGGAGGUUGGUCUUGGUUAGGCCGCGGAAUUUAUAGGAAUGCAAAAUUGGUAAAGGAGCCAUGACACGUCUUUCUCAAGUUGGGUUUGAAGUCUAUCCAAAUUGAGGACUGUAUCUAAAGGAAUCCACGUAUGCAACACCGAUGGAGACAUUGAGGAGGCCGUUGGGAAGCCAUAUCGAAGGGAGAAAUCAAAACACUACGUGGGUAGUAUUUGACGACUUGCUCUACCUAGUUGUCAAAUUAAAAAAAAAAAAAUUCCUCUAAAGCUAAUAAUUUUGGUAGUGGAUUGCUCAGUUUGCAAAUUAAGUAGCAAUGGCAAUAGACAAUAAUAAGUAAGAAGAUUAAUUGGCUUGAAAUCUUCAUGUCAAAUCAAAAUUCAAACAAAAAUUCAAAAUAUGUUGAUUUUACUAAAUUUUGCCUUACCAAACCAACCGGAAUAUGUCCAUCUCAUCUUAAUUUGCUCUUUUAUGCUGUUUAUUAGCCUUGCAUUUUUCUUGGAAACUAUUAAAAGUAGCCUUCGACUCCAAUUUCUUCAAGGGUUAAGAUGAACAAUUUUUGUAGUUGGUGCUAAAAUUGGCCGCUGACCAGUCUUUGAUUGGUUAAUUUGAGGAACCAAUUUGUGUUUUGGUGUAGAAGAUCAUUAGCCACAUCGCAAAGAAACCCUAAUCCUCUGUUCUCACUCUAUUAGUCGCUUGUCUCAUCUCCGUCAACAAAAGGGAUCAUCAUCACCAUUUACGAUCAUUGUAGUCUGACGUAAUCAUCACCCCAGCCAUCACGAAUCUCAUUGCGAUCGAAAAAGGGUUAACGCGUCGUCCUAGGUAUGUCUAAAAAUAGUCGUGAAAAUAAGUGUCCUACCAUCUUCUAACUUUCAUUCACUAAACUAGAAAUCUCUUACCGUGGACUGGCCACCUAAAAAUAGAGUUCCAUAAAAUCACUUUUUCUUUUUAAUUUAAGAAUCUCAAAUCAUAUGAAAUGCAAAUUCUGCAUCAAUUUAACAACUCUCUUAUUUCAUGUUUGAUUAGAGCUUCCAAAGCUUUUCACUUUGCAAAUUGGGAAAUCGCUAUACUCAUGUCAUUAGUUGCAUGUAAUUUUUCUGGAUUAGGCCAAUUUUAUAGAUCAAAAGCUUGAACAUAACGGGCUUGGGAAGUUUGUAGGGUAUUUCACAGGCUUUUAAGGAAUCUGUCCUCCAUGCAUGUGCCUUAGGUUGUGAAAAUGAAAAGAAAAAAAAUGUAACAACCACUCAUUAAUCUUUUGUAAGACCCUGCAUGAAUAGAUAAAUACAAAUUAUAAAUAUCAUCCACAAGUAUAAAGUUGUAUAAAGCAUGUUGCAGUCACAUGUUAAACUUUUCAAUGAUGGGGCUUUUCAUAGGCAUUAUGUACAUGUGGUCCUUUCCAUUUAACUAAUUGCUUUUAAACUUUUGGAUAAUAAUUUCUAAUCUGACAUCAUAAAUACCCACCGCACUUACAUUUUUAGAGUCAAAACAUUUAACUGUCAACUCAUUGCUAAAAUCACUAUAGCUUUUUCCUAAAUCUUCGAAAUGUGAGAAAUGCACAUAUAAAAUUUGCAAAUUAUAUAAGCAGUUCAAUCAUCGCCAUUUACCCUUAAUUUUGUAUAAUUGAAUGUAAUUAACAUGGACAAGUGUGACUAAUUUGUGUGCGUGUUUAUGAGAAGUAGAUAUAAAAAAUAGUGUCCUCACAUGGAGAUGGAGAACUUGGAGAAUGCAUGCAUCGCUCUUAAUCAAUCUAACCCCAUGAGUAGACCUAGACAAAAUUAAGUUUAAUCUGUUAUUAUAGUAGAAUCAACUCUAUGCACACUUGAUGACAUCGACUGUCUUCACUGGUCUAAGAGUUGUAAGGCAUUGACGUAGGAAUAGGCCAACUAGGGUUGCUCAUGACCAGAUCAAUUUAGUUUUACUUUAGCAGGGUUGAAAUAGGUGCCGCCUGUGGGCUUGUGCUUACUCUUGAUUGUUGGUAUUUAGAAGCCAUCUUGUAAGAUCCACUUGGGCUAGACAGCAUAGGAAAAUCAUAUAAGAUUUUUCUUUAUUAAAAAAAAUAAACUUGCGCCCUAUACCAGACAUAUAGAGAAUGAAAUUUUGUGAUUGUCAUGUUGCAACAUGAAGAUAUAAUGUUUUUAUAAAUGUCAAGGAAUCACGGUACAUAGAUUAUAUGAUUUGAUGUGUGAUAUGCUUCAAGCAUAUCAAAAGAGGAGAGCUGGAUUUGUACAAAUUAUAGUCAAAACAGAGGGGAAAAAAGCUAGGGAAAGUUUCAUGUUCCAAAGUAAGUGCUGGAUUUGUGCAUCAAAGAAGUUGUGGUGAUGAUUAAAAACUUAAUAUAUCUCUAAACACAAGAUCUCACGCCUUCAUAGCCAAGUGUAGAAGGGAAAUUGCCAUGACUCUUUGAAUGGCCAAAAAGUUGUGCCCCUUCUUUACCGUUGGAUGUGCAAGAGAUGCAUCAUCGUUCGGGAGACAACAAACCCUCACCAUUAGAUCGACAAUUGGAUUUUGCUUGAUAACUUUGUCAUGCAAAAUUCCACGGCGCGUUAAGAAGGUCUUGCAUUAUAUUAAGUAAAAAGAUGGUAAAUCCAAUGCCAAGAUUAUAGUCUCUCUCCCUUCACUUAGGCUUCUCAAUGUGAAGCUGGCCAUUAUUGACUUAUAACAAUAGAAAAUUCCAUUAAUGAAGCUUGAUGGAACUAGUACAAUGGCUAAUGAGACGAAACAUUUAAUCGAUAUUUCCAGUUGUUUGUCCAGAAAAAGUGGGAUAUGUAAAGUCCGAAACACCGCAAUUCGUUAUUUUUUUUCUGACUUUAAUUUUGUACACCAACAGUGUGAAAAAAAUCAUUACACAAGCUUAGUUCAAGCACUAACAUGUAUACCGUAUUUAAUUUUAAUAAAAUGAAUGCAUUCCAUUGAUGUCCCAUUUUAUCAUUGCUUGUUUGGGUCUUCAAAUGUUUGCUUGUUGUUAAUUGUGGUGUAAACAAUGGAAUUGACGAUCAAUUUAGUCGAAAGUUCAAUAUUUUAUUGUGGGUCUCAAACUCGGGCAACAAGUUAGAUCGCCACCUCAAGCUCAGCUUAGCUAACAUCAUCUCUAAAAUUGAUUGUAUCAUAUUUAUACCCAAAGCAUGUCUUUUCUUUUUGGCCAUUGAGUAUAAUAGUUUUGAAGUUCAGUCAUAAAUUAUCAUAAUUUAUCCAUUCUGCAAGUUGUCUUUCUCGUUUGUUCAUUUUUCCCAUCAUCCUUGUGGAUUAUUUAAUUGUAAUUCUGAAAAAAAAAAAAAUCUUCGACUCCUAUUCAACCGAGGGUUACUUUGACUCUCGAGAUAACGAAUUUACAAUGGAUUGAUGGGGUUUAAAAUUGAAGAACAUACACAGAAAAUUCAAAAGGAAUGAGUACGCAUAAGUAAUAAAGCGACGGAUGUUUCUAUAAAAGAUUGCAGGUAUUAAAUAUUAUACUUUUAAUUGAAUCUUUCAACGCAGUGGACUAGUAAUUUCUGAAAAAAAAAUGUAUGGCUCCAAUCUAGCUCAUGCACCUUUCUAGCGAAUUGAUACUUUAUGGCUUCAAAUUGGUUUCUUGGAGUUAGUUAAAUUAAAUAUCGGCUAAAAGAAUCAAUUAGCGUAAAUCAGAGAGUACAAAUACCAAUUUGGUCAAAAUUCAAUUUCAAGGACCAAAUUGAACAUUAACUAAAAUUUUAGGGGCGAACUUUCAUUUUUGCUCUCAUCCUUGUGGGCUUGAAAUGCAGAAUCUCUUCUAUUCCGCUUGCUGUAGAGAGAGCUCGUGACUUGCUCGUAAAAGAUGCAAAAUUCUUGCGGGAAGUGAAGGAAAUGCGAAGGACGUUGAUGCGAGACAAGUUGAAAUGAGAGUCAUUGCUCAUGGCGUCGUGUCAAAGUCGAUGGUAAAAGAGGGAAGAUCCAAGUAUUUUCGACUCCCUGCAAGGGGCUUGACAAAAUGCCCAUGUGAGUUGAAACAGUGUUUGAGCUCCCGUAAUAGAGGUGGCAUGUCGCUUUGGGUUUGGAUAGUUUAAAUCUUGCGUUUGGAUGAACAAUGACGUAAAAAAUAAGCUCAACAAGAAAAAAGAAAAAUCGUGAUUAAGAAAAGACCAAUUGGCAUUUCCAAUAUAUCUUAAACGAAGGGAUGAGCAACAUGGAGAAAAACGACAAAGCAACGGUGGUUGAAGCAUUGAGGCACCUUCUCAGGUCUCUUCUUAGUUCUUAUAAUUUAUUCAGCUCCUGUGCUUUGGUCUUUCUUUUCAAUUUUUCGUGCAGUUGUCCACCAAAGGUACCCAAAAAGACAAAAAAAAGUUAAAGAGAAAAACAAGAGACAAAGCAAUUGGUGGUCGAAACGUGAAGCAUGAUGCAAGAAGCAANNNNNNNNNNNNNNNNNNNNNNNNNNNNNNNNNNNNNNNNNNNNNNNNNNNNNNNNNNNNNNNNNNNNNNNNNNNNNNNNNNNNNNNNNNNNNNNNNNNNNNNNNNNNNNNNNNNNNNNNNNNNNNNNNNNNNNNNNNNNNNNNNGUCGUCCGGGCGAAAGUAUUUCCUGUAGAAGUUGUUUAUUCCUCCUUUUGGAUGCUAAUCAUUGAAUCUGGGAAAGGAGAGGUCGCAUCAUAAUGUCAUGGAAAACCUUCUCUAAACAUGUGAAUGGAAGCAAUGAGAGGGAGCGAGGGAAGAGGGAGAACCUUCCUCCGGCCACUUUCGACAGCUUUUUAUCAAUUUAUUAGGAUCUUAAUAAGGAAUCAUUCCCCAAUACUUAUUAGUCGUACCUAACAGAAUUUUUUUUCAUUUUCAAUGUACUAAUUAUACAUAACACAAGAAAACGAUGGUUUGAAAAUGAAAUAUUCUUUUAGUGGAUACAUAACAAGUAUCUUUAAAGCACUCAUUCAUAAAAUUCAAUUUGUAAGGAGCAAUCUCUUACAUUUCAUUUCUAGUAUAGUGAAAAUAUGUCAUGUCUUCGUGUUUAUGUCGAGAACUUUUGAUGAAGUUCCCAUUAAGACUUUUUGUCAAUAAAAAUUAUAAAUUUAGUUGGGUAGGCUUAUUUUAUCAAGGCUGACUCUUCCUAUAGUCCAUAGAUGUUACUUUGUAGGGUCCUCGAGUUUUUAUUAUAUUUAAAGAAUAAAGCUAGAGAUAUAAUUGAUUUACAAAGGGAUGUAUUAUAUACUCUUGCUAAUGACAUGCAACGAAAGCUGAGCACUUUGCAUGUUCACCGAGAAGGCUAAUCACAUUCAUCCAAUUCUUUCGCACAAACAACUUCGACCUAUAAAGAUUGGUUUAUAAAGAGAUGUAUUGUGUACUCUUGGGGUAUCUCCAUUUUUUUUUAAUAAAUUCUGCAUUGCCUAUUCAGAAAAGCUGCAAUUAUAUUCUUUGGGGAAUCUAAAGACGUUGUGGAAGUUUGGCUAGAGAAAUGUGAGGUGAAAGAUUUAAUCAAAAUCCCAAAACUACAAAACUUGUCCAUUCGCAAUUCCUGUGGUCCCAGAAAGCUGGAUAUAACUCCACAACUCGGUGAAUCUACCUUCACACACCUCAGUUUGAUCUCCUUUUGUUUCAUCACUCCUUGGAAAGGAUUCAGACUAGAUGAUUUGCAUAAAACGUCGAGUAAUUCAAUGCUUGUAUAUUAUACUCACAUAGAUGAAUGGAGAAUUGGCCGGAAUACAAGUAUCGACCCCUGCAUAUGUGGAGCUUGGUCUUGGCUAGGAUGGGGCAUUUAGAAGGAAGGAGAGUUCCUAAAGGAACCAUGCCAUGUCUUUGUAAGUUGGGAUCAAUGUUUGUCCCAAAUUGAGGAUUGAACCCAAAGGAUCUACAUAUGCAACAUCGAGGAAAAAAUUGUGGAGGCCAUUGAAAAGCCGUAUAGAAGGAUCGACAACCCAAAAAAGGGUUCCAUUAAAAUUGUUUUAUGACUUUCAGAGCAUAUAUCCCUAUAUUUAGAGAAUGAAGUAUAGAGAUAUGAAAAUUGGUUUACACGUACUGUAUACUCUUGUUGGUGACAUGCAGCACAAGCUAAGUACUCUUGAGAAGGCUAAUCACAUUCAUCCAAUUCUUUCUCACUAGCAACUUCCACAUCUAAAUAUUAAUUUACAAAGAGAUGUACACUCUUGAGGAUUCUCCAUCUUCUAGAUAAAAUUCUGCAUUAUCGGUUAAAGAAGCUAUGGCUGUAUUCUUUGUAGAAUCUAAAGAAGUUAAGGAAGUUUGUUCAAAGAAAUGCAAGGUGAAAAAUUUAAUCAAAUUGCCAAAAUCAUAAAAGUUGUCUGUUUGGAAUCUGCGUGGUCUGGAAAAACGGAUAUAUUCCAAAACUUGGUGAAACUACCUUUAAACCCCUCGAAUUUGCCUCUUUUGUUUCGUUGCUCCUUGGCAAGUGUUUAGACUAAAUGAUUUGCAUAAAAUGUCAAACAAUUUCUAUGCUUGUAAACUAUACUUAUAUAGUCGAAGAUGAGAAUUUGCCAGAGCACAAGUAUAUACCCCUGCAUCUGAGGAGGUUAGUCUUGGUCAGGUAGUGGAAUUUAUAGGAAAGGAGGUCCGUCCCAAAUUUAGGACUGAAUCUGCGUAUGCAACACCGAGGAAACAUAGUUAACGCCAUUGGAAAGCCGCACGAAAGGACUGACCUCCCACAAAAAGGGUUCUGUAAAAAAAAUUCUGAACCUAAUCUCAAACAAAAAGUCUCAAUUUCCAAUUAGGAUUAAACAUUAACAUGUCAAGCUUUUUGAUCUGCAAAAUCUUGGUAAUUUUGACAGCUCUCUUGUUCAGUUUGGGCAUCAAGAAAUUUCCACAUCACAAUUGAGAGGUUGCCCACUAAAUUUCACCAAUUGCAUAUAAAUUAUUUUGAAUUUGACCACUUAUACUCGUCAAAGGCCUGAACUUAACAGGAUUGGGGGAUUUAUAUAGUGUUCCAUGGGCUUCUAGAUAAAUCAACUUCUAUGCCUAUGCCCUUGGAUCAUCAAAAAAAGAAAAACAAAUGCAACAACCUCUCACCAAUUUUUUUUAAAGAAUUUUACAAUAAUAGAUAAUACAAAUUACACAUAUCAUCCAUUAAUAUAAAGGAGUACAUAGCAUUUUGCAAUCACAUGUUAAAGUAUUCAAAAGUGUUUCUCUUAUAAAGCCAUGAUUAUAAACAUGUUGUCCUCCUCCAUAUAACUUAUUACUUUUAAGCUUUUGGAUUAUAAAUUUUAAAACGAUAUUGUGGAAACCACACUUACAAUCUUGAAUCAAAACAUCUAACUAUCAACUAAUUGCAAAAUGGCUUAAGCACUUUGCUAAAUCUUCAAGUAAGGAGGUUUUCCUUUUUCUCAAAAUUUUCAUUAUUUUCAUGAUGAGUCGUUAUGAGAGAAGUGAAGACAUAGAGUUUUCAAAUUAUAUGAUCAUCACAACUUACCCUUAAUUUGAGGAGUUGAUUUAAUUAACAUUACGAGUCUCGCCGGUUUGUGGACGCGUCCAUGGGAUGGUACGGACCAGGAUAACACAUCUGUGAUGGUUUGUUUUCCCGCCAGAAGAAACAAAAAAGUUGCCAUUAGCAUAAGUCCAUGUCAAACCCAUCUUUUGAGGGCACAGUGAACGGGAAUAUGUUCCUUUCGACAGCACAUUAAACGAAAAUUUGAUUCCUUUUGAUGGCACAUAAAAUGAAAAAUAUGAUGGUGAACUACCGCGAUUAUUUGCUCAAAAGAAAAAAAAAAAGAAAAACUACCGCGAUUAGCCCAUGGGAAACUAAUCUGGAAGCUGAACUCUUUGCUAUCAGCCCAUGUGAAACCCAUCUUCUGAGGGCACGCCGAAUGAAAAUAUGGUUCCUUUUGACUGCACAUUAAACGAAAAUUUGACUCUUUUUGACUUCACACAAAACGAAAAAUAUGACGGUUAAUUACCGCGAUUAGCCCAUGGGAAACCAAUCCAGAAAAUACAUAUUAUAUAUGAUGCUGAACUCUUGCCAUCAGCCCAUGUGAAACCGCGUGAAAUCAAUUUUAAAAUAAUUAUGAUGCUGAACUAUUGCUAUCAGCCUAUGCGAAGCCAAAAAAGUUUUCGUUCCCGACGUCACAGGGCGGAUGAAAUAGCAGCUUCUUUUUGAACGGCCUAUUUUAACUCUAACCUAAGACCAACGGCAGCUAGCAAUUGAGCACCUGCAAAAUCUCUGCCAUAAGCUCAACUGAUCAUUAUCAAGUGGUGAAUACCAAUGGCCGAGUCUGUUGUUUCGUUCGCGGUGGAGACAAUAGGAAAGCUGCUCAUCGACGAGCCCAAAUUCUUGAGGGGAGUGGAGAGCAAGGUCGAGGACCUGCAAAGGGAGUUGAAGCUGAUCCAGUGCUUGCUGAGGGAUGCGGAUGCGAGACGAGAGCACAACGAAGCUGUUGGAGAAUGUGUCGCACAACUCCGAGACUUUGCCUAUGAUGCCGAGGAUGUCAUCGAGAGAUACAUCCUCAAAGCCGCGCUGAAGGAGGGACAAAACAUCAUCAAAGCGUAUGCUUGCUUCAUGGCGAAGUGCUCGUGCGUGCAGGUUCAUGGGGUGGGGACACAGAUUGAGGGCUUAAAAUCCAGAAUUUCCGAUAUUGGAAGGAGGAUGCAGAAUUGUGGCAUACUAUCUGUGAGGGAAGGCAAACGCGAACGAGCGAGAGCUUUGAUGCCGAAACGGACUUAUGACCAUAUCAAGGAGGAUUUUGUUGGGAGGGAAGAUAGCAUCGAGGAAUUGGUGAAAGAGCUGUCGAAUGAUGGACAAAAGCAGAGAGUUAUUUUUAUAUGGGGAAUGGGUGGUCUGGGAAAGACUUCACUCGCCAAGAAAGUCAUCGCUCAUGACAAAGUGAAGAACACUUUCGAUGGUAUCGCUUGGGCUUGUAUAUCUCAAGAAUAUAAUCCGAAGGAUAUCUUAGUGGGAAUUCUUGUUAAAUUGAUCCCUGAUCAAAGAGAGAGGGCUAUGAAGAUGAUGGAUGAUGAAUUGUUCAAAACUCUAUACGAGAUCCAACAAGAGAAGAGAUGUAUGGUUGUUCUGGAUGAUAUUUGGACCAAAGAGGCAUGGGACAGUCUUCAAGCCGCAUUCCCGAUCAAAAACAUGAGAAGCAAGCUAUUGAUAACAACCCGCAAUAAAGAAGUAGCGGAGUAUAUCGAUCCUCAAGGUUUAUUCCAUGAACCACGGUGCUUAUCAAACCAAGAGAGUUGGGAUCUACUAAAGAAGUGGGCAUUCCUCGAAACAAAAGGUAAGACUUCUUCAAGGUUAUUAUCCUAAUAUAUAGUAGCUUCAAGAGAUAAUAUUGCCUGCUUGAUUCUGAUUUAUGGCGCAUCGAUUAUCAUUGUAGGAUUAGCUGAUGAAAUUUCUUCUUAUGGACCUGGAGUUGGUCAAGGUAUUGUUGCGGGCCAAGCUGUAGAAGGUAUCGCAAAACAGUCAGAAACGGAGGGACAAUUACUAGGUACUUCAUUGCUCAGUUUCACCUUUCGGUAGCUUUAGCAAUUUAUGAAUCAAUAGUUAUAGUGGAAUUCAAAUGAUCGAAAUAUCAAGCAUUAGGCACCAUAAAUUCAAUAUUUGGGGAAUCAGAUGUCUCUUUUGUUUCUUACUAGCUAACCAAUAUACAAUUAAACCAAAAUCCAAAACUUUGCUCCUCCUUUCUAAUGAGGUUAAAUAUUGAAGAGGCUUUUAUAAGGAUAAAUAAUAAGCGAUUUUGAUAGGAUUUAUGAAAUAAUGUGAAGCUUGGCUAUGUUACUUCUUCCGUAAGCUUCAUCUCAAGUCCACCUCUUUUGCAAUUGUGAAUAGUUGGCUUAAAAAUAAGAGUAGAGAUUGAUAAGGAAAAUCAUGAAUCGUUAUGUGGCAACAUGGAGAUUUCACUCGAAUUUGUGUAGGAGAUUAGUAGCACAUUCAAGUGACGAGAUCACACUCGAGUAAUCCUUGCGCUACUUUCAUAUUUCUUCAUCAAGUAUUUUUAUUGUUGUUUUGCAUUUGCUUGAGUCACUUAAUUCAAGCCACAGUUUAGACUUCUUGAUUUUCCAAGGCAUAGAUGGAGGCAUAUACAAGAGCUUUGUUGUGGUCCCUAUUUUCCCCUUACAAAAACAUAAAUGAACCACAAAUUAUAAAGAACUAUAGCGUCUUACUUAUACGUCUAAAAGCAUAUAUUCGUCCUUGAAGUAAUCUUUUUAUUACAGUUGAAUCUUCCUAUUGCUGAGUUGCAAUUUGUUGCCUGAUAUUGUGUAGUAAUCACCGAAGACAUGAAGAACUUAGCAUAUGAACUCCUUAAGAAGUGUGCAGGAUUGCCCUUGGCUAUUAUUGUGCUUGGUGGAUUGCUGGCUGUCGACGAGUGGAAGACGAUUCACGAAAAGAUCAAUUUGCAUUUUAGUGAUAAGAGUGACGUAUCAAAAGUGUUAGCCUUAAGUUAUGACGAUUUGCCAUGGCAUCUAAAGCCAUGCUUCCUCUAUUUGAGUAGCUUUCCUGAGGAUGCAGAAAUCCCUGCAACCAAAGUUCUUUACAUGUGGAUUGCUGAAGGCUUUGUGUUGCUGAAUGCAUACGACAAAGAGAGAGAAAUUUCAAUGGAAGAGGUAGCGGAGCAAUAUUUAACGGAGUUGGUUAAUAGGGGAAUGGUUCAAGUGCGAUUCAAAUUAAGUGGAAAGAUCAAAAGCUACCACCUCCACGACUUGAUGCGAGACUUAUGUGUCUCCAAGGCUCUACAAGAGAGUUUUCUAAGCAUUCUUAACAUUCAACAGGACAAUGAGACAGAGAAUUGUUCCGCUUCAAUGGCAACAAAAGUCGAGUCAAGUUGCAAAAUACGAAGGCUUUCUCUUAAUAGAAAUGUGGUUCCGAGCUUAAAAGCAUCAAGAAGGACUCUGGUCCACCUUCGAACUCUCAUGUCCUUCGGAGGUGUCACAUGGGAGUCGAAGCAAUUUCAAUCUAUUUUUAAAGACUAUAAGUUUCUUAGAGUUCUGAAACUAGAGAAGCUUUGUGUGAUGAGAAGCUUACCUAAAUCAGUGGGAGACCUAAUCCAUUUAAGAUUCUUAAGUUUAGCAGGUAGUAGGUUUAAUGGCUUGCCGCAAUCUAUGGGGAACCUUGUAUGUAUGGAAUUCUUGGACCUGCUUGUAGGAGAAUGGGUUAGAUUUUGCAUGCCAAAUGUGUUGUGGAAGAUGAGAAGGUUGAGGUAUCUCCGUCUUCCUUACGACUUUGAUGUCAAGGAGAAAUUCCAUGGGGCCCGGAAGAAGUUGCGGGUGGGCACUUUAAAGAAUCUAUGGACAUUGAGAAAGUUCAGUCCGAAGAAAUGUGAUGUGAACGAUGUAGGCAAGCUUACCAAUCUGCAAAAAUUGACCGUCUGUGACAACUUUCGUCCUAUCGAGCUAAAGAUAUUUCAGCAACUUGCUGAAUUCAAUUUGAAUUAUCUUCAAUCCUUGUCUUUUUAUUUCAAAACUUAUCAUUUUUUAUGGACUGAAGAUGAAUUGAAUAAAAUGUCAAACUAUCCCUAUUCUUGUAAGCUAUCCAUUUUUGGAAAUAUAGAGAAGUUACUAGAACAUAAAAGUCUACCCGAGCAAUUGAGGAAGCUGGUCUUGGUAUCUUCUCAACUCAAAGAAAAUCCGAUGCCAAUAUUGGAGAAAUUACCUCACUUGGUUGUUCUCGUGUUGGGAUAUGAGGCUUUCCAGGGAAAGAAAAUGGUUUGCUCUGCAGGAGGCUUUCCUCAACUCAAGCAUUUAUUUUUUGAGUAUUUGUUAAAAUUGGAGGAGUGGAGGGCCGCUGAAGGAGCCGUGCCUCAUCUUUCUCGAUUAGGGAUCGUCCGCUGUCCCAAAUUGAGGGUGGUACCUUCACAUGUCUCUACAUAUGACAUUUAACGACGAAAUAUGGAAGGAGAGGAGGAAGUGCCGCGUGUGAGAGAGGGAUAUUGAAGUGGGUGGCGAAGGGUGGCCCCAGCUGUCCGGCGAGAGAGGAGGGAGGGGCGCGUGAGCCUGUGGGUUGUUAGGGGGGUGGGCCCCCCAGAAUAAAUAAUCUAAUCUCAUUAUAUCAUUGAGUGAAAAUAGAGAGUAUUACUGUAUUAUGGCAUAUUCCUUGACAAAUUAGUUUCCAUGUCAAGUCUUUCCAUCAUAAAUCGUCAUUCCUUUCGUUUUCCCUCUCAUCCCUGAGGUGGGGGGUGGAACCUGCUGUUUCACGCUCGCUGUCGAGAGAACUCACCGACUUUGCUCAUGGAAGACAGCAAAGUUCUCGCGAGCGCCGCGACGAGGAGGAGGAGGAGGAGGAUGAGGAGGAGGAGCGAAUUUGUUGCUUCUCUAAAAGACGCUUGAUGGGGGGAGGCAUCUGAAGAAAUAAGAGUCGAAACUUGUCGUGGCGUUGGAAGACGUCAUCGUGGAAGCUGCUGCCUUAGAGAGGAGAGGAGAUCCCGAUCAUUUGCAUAAUGCUGGUCAGAUGUUUGACGAAAUGCGGAUGUGGAGUAGGAACUGGGGUACAUUUAUCUGAAAUGGGCGCGUUGCUUUCGGCUUGUGCAAUUGAUUUCUUCGUAUAUAGAUAGACGAUGACGAGAAAUACAACGGUACAUUUUGCAUCUCCCAAUCUCCUACGUUUUUGUUUUUAUCAGUAUCGACUGAACAAUUACAUAUGUUACCUGUUGGAAUGCAGGAGCAUCCCCAGUGGCAGAUUAAGAGUGGGUUUGUAUAUUUUCAGAAGGCCAAGGAAUCUGCAUCUUUGAAGGAAAUUCCUCCCCUGCAGCUUAUCAGUCAGACAUUGGGUUACACAAGAGAGCUGGAGCGGAUUGUUUAGGACCUGUGGCAGUGCGCAGUGGUUUGCACUGGUAUUUGCGCACUUUGAAGAUUGGUUUUAUUGUGCUGAUGGCAUCUCAUCCCUUUUGCUCUUUUUGAGAAAUUUGAUACUUAUUUUUAGUAAUCAUAUCCAUUUCGUUGUUGAAUAAAAUUUUGUAUUUGAUCAGUAGUAUAUUUUCCUUGGCUUACCUGCUUGGAAGAACCAGAAACUGAAAUCAGUCUAGUCACAUGGAGAUGGACAACUUGGCGAAUGUAUACGUUGUUCUUCAUCAGUCUAACCCUAUGAAUAGACCUAGAUACAAUUAGGUUUAAUCUGUAAUGGUAGAAUCGAAUAUAUGCACACUUGGUGACAUCAGUUGUCUCCGUUGGUCAAAGAGUUGCAAAGCAUUGACAUAGGAAGGCCAACUAGGGUUGCUUGUGUCCGGUUCAAUUUUUAGUUCAGUAGGUUGAAAUAGCCACCGGCUGUGGGCUUGUGCUUUCUCCUGAUUGAUGGUAUUCCGAAGAGACGGCAUAGGAUGAUCAUAUAAGAAAUGUCUUUUCCCCUUAUUUUUUCCUAUACUUCAGAAUGAGAUCUGUGAACAUGUGAUUUCACUUUCUACAUUUGCUGCAUAAAACUCUCAAGACUGAACAGAAUCAAUGAAUCUGGGAUUUGCAAUUUGAUAAGAGUCUUGAGAGAUCCAUGAUGUAGCCUUUGCAUGGUAAAAUCAUUGCUAAAUGCUGUUGCUCCUCUCUGAUAAAUGAUGUUCCUCCUGCUGUGAAAGAACAAAGAAAGUCAUCAUUAGUUUGCUUAAUUGAUACUUCGAUGGAUUGGGAAAGAGCAAGAAGAAGUACGAUGAAUUGGCUCCUUGCUGUUGGGAUGUUACCAUAAUUGAUGGAUCUCAUCAUAUCUUAUGAUGAUAUAAUAAUGACCAUUCGUGGAAUUUCUAACCACCCAAAAGUUUCCAAUUUCUUAAUACUUAUUUUCUUGUUUAUUCCAUUUUUUUUUUUCAAAUUAUCGUUGGCUUUUCUUGUUUCUUUUCAGUUGGCCCUUCUGCUCCACAAUGCAUGUUUUGUUUCCACCUUUACAAUGUAGUCUUACCUGAUCUUCAAGAUGACAAUACUAAUAAAAAGCUGACAAGUGCAAAGACUUUGCCACCUCACUUUUCAUUGGGUUCGCAGUAUCUUUUGCAAAACUGCACUUUCAUUGGAUUUGCAUGCACGGUGGACCGCGGCGAAUGCUUGAGACUUAUAUAGAAGCUGCACGACAUAAGUUAGAGUUGGUUUAUGGUGAGAAAGAUUAAAUGUCAUUCAGUUGCUGAAUUGAGUGUGGAAGCCUCGCAUCACCUGACUUCCUGAAGAACUCUUUAGUACUUAAUGAGCAUGCUGUUAUUAUAAGUGUGAAAAUGGAAGAUCAAGAUGAUUUUUUUUCAACUGAAGCCUUAUUAUACAAAUGCGGGGUAACUUUUGUCCUGGCGUUGCUUAAAAUUGUUUGUUCAUACUCAUGGGCACGUGCAAUUGCAGACACUAUAAGGCAUUAGACCUGAAUUGCUAGAUUAUGAGAAAGAUUUCUAAUCCUUAUUGCUUUAUCGCCAUUUUGCACUCAUUACUUUUAUGUAAACUUACUUGAGAAUUCUUCUUGUUGAGCAGUGGCCGUAUUCCACCAUCUCCUCAAGAGUACCCUAUUUUAGGUCUCAACCUGUUGAGACUCCUUGUACAGAAUGGAAUAGCUGAGUUCCCUACCAAACUUGAAUUGCUUUCAUGUGCCACCCUACAGAACCCUUGCAUCGAGCAUGCUGUUGAGUUGGAGUAAUCCUUCCUGGAAGGGGCCUAUAAUCGUGUUUUGAGUGCUAGGCAGACUGUGCCUCAUGAGACUUAUGUUUAUUUUAUGGACCUUACUGUGCCUUUGUAAUUAAGAUGUUAAAUCGGUCAAAAGAUUUGAAGUUAGCUUCAACUAGAUACGAUUGGAUCAGUAAUCAAUAGAAUUAGAUAUGUGUCUCUUUCUAUAUUUGCAACAGAAGGUAUUUUUGGAAACGUGUAGCAUUUUUGAUGGGAUGAUUGAGUCAUAUACUUGUGUGGCUUUUUGUUGCUUUUGAAUUAAAAUACAAGAGUACAUGGCCUGUACUAAUUGCUAUCAACCAUCGCAAUACACAAAUAGAAGCAUGAAGUGUGACCCAUCUAGAUUUCAAGGUUUUAGUCAAAUAGUGAGAUUGUCAUACUUAAAGAUUCUUUUAUGUGGGCUUAGUCUAUUCUUUCCCUUCGUACAACAGAGAUGAAAUUGCUAGAUGUAGCAAGAAAGCAUAUGACUAUUUGUCAAUUAGUGAUGCAAGGCAAAUGUUGCUAUGCUUCUCUGACCAAGAACUUGCGGAAUAUGUCAAGGAGGUAAAAUUAAUGAGAGGACUUUAGCUGGAAUUCUCUAUUUGGAAUUCUAUUCUAAUUGACUAAUUAAGUCAGCAGGAUAAUAUACUCUCCUGCAUCAGUUCAGACCUUCGGAAGGUCUCAUAAAACCUCUUCUAUGGAGUUGCUAGUUUAUAUCCUUUUCAAUGAUUAUGAUAAUUUAUCCUAUUCUGGGAUCAUAGACAGAUAUAAAACUUACACUUGUCACAUCUACUUGUCAUUUGGCCCUUGCUGUCACUCUGCUGGGGUCAAACUUGGCUGGUGGGUUUAGAACUAAAACCUUGUGCUUGUAAUAGUAAACAGUAGAUUCAUAUCCAUGUAAAAAGCUGCAAUGUGGGGUUUAAACAUUUCUAUCUCCAUUGGAAUGCAGGAACAUCCCGAGUGGGAGAUUAAGAGAGGGUUUGCAUAUUUCCAGAAGGCAAAAGAAUCUGUACCUUUGAAGGAAAUUCCAUCCCUACAGCUUAUCAAUCAGACUUGGAGUUAUGCAAGAGAGUAGGAGCGGAUUGUUCAGGACCUUCUGUCGUGCAUGGUGGUUUGCACUGGUAUUUGCACACUUCAGAGAUUGUUUAUAUUGUGCUAAUGGCAUCCUAUCUUUUGCCCAUUCCGAAAGACUUGAUAUUCUUUUUAAUGUCUGUAACUUUAUUUGAUCAUUAUGAUGGAAUUUAUCUCAUCAAUCAUGUUAGUACUCAUAUCCAUGUCAUUUUUUUUCGAACGCCUUUCUGUAUUUGGUCAGUAGGAUAUUAUCCUUGUCUUGCCUGCUUGGAAGAAGCAGAUAUUGAAAUCAGUGUUGUCACAUGGAGAUGGACAACUUGGAGAAUGCAUGUCGCUCUUAAUCAAACCCAACGAGUAGACCAAGAUACAAUUAGGCUUAACCCGUUGUUAUAGCAUAAUCAAAUCUAUGCACAGUUAUUGAUAUCAAUUGCAUAGGCCAACUAGGGUUGCUUGUGUCCAGCUCAAUUAACUUUUGAGUUCAGUGGGUUGAAGUAGUUGUUGCUCCAGCUGCGGGCUUCUGCAUACUCUUGAUUGUUGGUGCAUAGGAUAUGUUUGAUUUCAAGACCACCAGUGUGUUUGCCGAUAGAGCCACAAUCUCAUGCUAACGACAAGCGUUUCAGGCACCACUUUCCCAGAACAAUAUCUAAAUGAGCAUUGAUAGAGAUUGAACUAAGUUUGUGUCUUUACUAAGAUCUCUUCUCUACACUCAAAGAGUAGACUAUAUUUAGUGGCGUUAUGACAAGCCUAGUACGUCAGCUAGAGCUGGCUUAAGGGAAAUAAAACAGUUUGCGGGAUUUGGGAGCUGUGGCCAAUUGUAUUAUCUCCACCCAAUAUCUCAGGUACUAAACUAUUAGUUCAGCACUUGAAAUUAGUGUCUCAACAAAUAUCUAAUUUAACGAGCUGCAGCACUUGGCCCUCCAUAAGGAAUUUUCCAAUUUUGGUUUGCAUGUGUGACUCAAAGCCCGCAUUAAGAUGAUCUUAAAUGAUUAAAAACCAAUAGAUUAUUAUGUUCAGCUGUAGGAUUUUGGUCAGUUUGAAGAGAAUUCAAAGAACUCGGAAAAUAAGUUGAAGUGUGCAGCAACAUCAUGAGCUGAAAGUAUGUGUGACAUGCUUGGCUUAGACAACUCCAAUAAUUAAUGCAGUUGAUUCUACAAUUUCUUUUUUCUCCUGAAGGGAAAAUUUAGGCUAAUUAGUAAUUGAUUUCUGAAUUGGUCAAGGACAGACUGAGCCACUAAUAUCAAAAGCUGUACAUGCACUAAACGAAUUCAUUUGAUUCUUAUUUUAGGGAAAAAGAAAGAAGUUGGCUUCGCACCGAUCAAACCUUUAUCUGCAGUAAUAAGGCCUUCGAGGAAGGAAAUUCAAUCAAAAUAAAAAAUAAAAAAAAAAAUUGUGGAAUUUCUUUCCUCGUAUCUGAUCAACGAAUGAUUUUUCCAGUAAAGGAAAUUCUCGCUCCGAAUUAAGAUGAUCGUAGAUCGUAGCGAUCGAUUCGAUUGAGCUUCGAAUUGAGAUCACUGCCACUGCACCGUCGCUUUCUGCGUCCCCAAUCGCACAUCACUUCAGGUUCGUCGGUCCCGAUUUCGUCCUCUUUUGUUUCGUGCCGGACGGUUCUCCAAACUUUCAAUCUGUCUCCCGUUAUCAAAGCUUUGAUUUUUUUUUUUGGAGCAUCUGGAUGUGAGUUUCUCCCAAUUUUCUCCCUCCUCGGUGCUCGAGAGAUUUUCGAUAAGAAUGAUGUGGACCGUUGUCUGCUUUUGCUUGUUUUGUUGACGCUCUCCAUAAUCUCUCGUUAUGGUGGUCCGCAAUGGUUGCCUGGCGGUAUUUUGCGUGGUUUGUUCGCUGGGAAAAGAGUUUUAUUUUAUUUUUUUAAUGCACAUCGCACCGACUGGGGCAUUCGUGGACCCUUUGCGAGUUUGAAUGAUUACAGGAAGAGCGAGUGAGAGCUUUUUGUAGAUUGAUGUGAUGAAUGUACAGACAGAUAUGUAGGGGCAUGUAUCUAGUUAAUCGGGCAUGUACCUGUGGACUUAGCAUGUAAGAAUGAAUCACAUGAAGUACCUCAGUUACUAAAGAUUUCUCUAGUGAUUAAACAUACUUGCUUUCAGAGUAAAUUCAGCGUCAGAUUAAUUGCCAUCUCUGCACAUGAUGCUGCAUUUCCCAUGAUGUCACCCAGAAUUCUGGCUACUUUUAUUCCAUUUUUGGUGGCAGCAUCGAUAUCAACACCUUCAUGAAGAUGUAAAUGUUGGGUACUAAAUUCAAUUAAAAGCUAAAAGAACAUGGUAAUAAUACCGACAAAUAAACCAAAAUCACCCCGCCUGACAUACACAAGCAAGCAGGGGUAGACACCAUCUAGACUGAUACCAAAUUGUAUUAUAAGCUUCAAUUGUUUUGCUCAAGCUAUAGUAUCUGACUCAAGGGGCUUGUUCUUCGCCAUCUCCUAUAACAUGAUGCACAUCAUCAAGGUCUACCCAAUCGACCUACAAAAAUGGAAAAUGGAUGAAUGGAUGAUCUUCAAAGUGCAGUUAGAGACAAAUUUGGAAACAUAUGAAAUAGUAAGUCCUUACCCUGCCCAUCAAUUGAAGCACACUAAUUAAUGAGCGUAUAUUUACAUUUAAACAUAAGACCAAACCGAAUGAGCAAAGUUGAAGAUGCUCUUUUAUUCCUAGUCUGUUAUUUAUCCAAAGGCAUGUGCUGGUGACAAUGGGAUCGUUUCAGCAAGUUUAAGUAGGACCCCCAACAAGAGCAGAUUGGUUUUUAUUUCAGCAAAGUAAAAAAUUUCAUCACCUACAUCAGUGUCUCAAAGUAUAUAAUUCUACUAUGUUACAAUGAUCAAAGGCAGAAAUGGUAUAUCACUUCCAGUGCAGUAGGUAGUUGAAAUCUGACUCUACCAAUGGAUGCAAAAAUAAUUGGACGGCAUCAAGACCUCAAAGGUGAUGCAAUCAAAAGCCCUUCAUACCGCUCAAAACACAUUCAGCUAACUCCAUCAACCACUUCCAAAUGAAGAAAGAGCAACAUUAAGCAUUUCCCUCCACUUCCUUUGAGCUUGUGAAGCUGUAACUCCUGCUACAGAGAUGGGGAGGGAGGGAGAGAGAGAGAGAGAAGGUUGGGACGUUGACAUACUUGCAACUGGGGACUAGUGACGUAGAGAGUGAGAUGGAGUUUGCAGCCUCCAAUCCACACAUUACUUUCCUCCUCAAUAAUUGCUGCAGAUGGGAUUUGUUGAAUCACAUCACAGUUUUUCCACAGUGGUCUGCCAAGUCUAUCUAAAGGCAAAAGGUUUGCACAGACUGUCACUGAGCACAACUCUUCCUCUGAAAAAUUAUUCUAUCCGAUGAAUUAAUCAUCUAUGAAUCAUUUCACUCAUUACACCACGUGACAAAAAUGAUGUGACAUAUUUCAUUGGUAUGAAUCCCAUCUUAUUCGACUGUCACUUGAAUGUAAUGAAAAGUCCUACAACUCAUCAUGACAUCAGGUGCAUAUUCAUGCUGUGGCAUUGGAGAAAAAGUGUAUUCCCGUCGUCCUCCAACUUACAUCGAAACCUUUCUUCACGAGUUUGAAGGUUUUUCAACCGGAGCUCAAUAGGUAGGAUUAUAACAUCAGGAAAAUUGAUCAACUUUAACACCAUCCACCCCCCCCCCCCCAAUGGCCUGUCCUCAAUUCUCCAGCAGCGCAACGUGGUUCACGAUCAUUCAAACCAGCGACACUUUUUCUUCUACUGCAAGUCCCCCAAUAUCAACUUAGUGAGAAUCGAAUACCAGUGAUUUUCCAGUUCCCAGCACUUCGUCUUUCCUAAGAAAUUUAUUUGCCAAGACUUUCCUGCUAGCGUAGGGAUGUAAUAAUGAGCAGAAAAGUUAUUCCGGGACCUAUACAGAAGUGGUACUUAGGGCCUUAUAACUUUUUUCGGUAGUGAAAUGCACUUGAAUUUAGGGGUGUGCAUGGUCCGGGCAGGCGGUUCACGACCUAGAACCGGGAACCGCCCGCUAAGGACCAGUUCCGAAAAAUUGGAACCGGGAUCCACCCGUUUGUUGCAUGGAUCACCCGGGAACCGGACCGCCGGUUCGGUCCGAUUUCCGGGUGGAUCUAUGGAGCUGAUCUUGACGCGAAACAAUUUUGAUUUUCAACAUAGAACGGCUACAUGACAUCAAAGCAAGCCAAAGAAAGAAAAAUCAAAUUUAAAUACGUGGAACAAAGAUUCAUUUGUUGCAACUAUAAAUGUAUCUCGUAGAUAAAAAAAGAAAACGCGAACAGAUGGAAUGCAACAUUCUCCCAUUUCCUGCUUGCAAGUAACCAGUCAGGAAGCUACCAGGAGCUCUUGAUUGCAGGAACACCAUUUGAAUAGCUUGUGAAUGCUCACAAAGAAGUUUUAACCACAUUUGGACCUUCAAAUGGUGAAAUCUCCGGUGAAACUGCAGAUUCCUUUUUAGUGAAGCACAAGGAAUCUAAAGAGAGUAAGCAGGUUGAGAUAUCUGAGAAGGCCAAACUGGGAGUGCAACUUGCAGAAGAAGAAGAGAAGGAGAUUGGUGAUGCUGGGUGGAAGCUGUUUUGGGAUUACAUAAUGGUGUCGAAAGGAUUAACCCUUCUGUUUUUUGGCUUAUUGACGCAAUUAGCAUUUGUGGCGCUUCAGGUUGCAUCAACCUAUUGGCUAGCACUAGCUAUUCAAUUUCCCCACAUUAGUAGUGGCACUUUAAUAGGUGUCUUCACGGGCAUUUCCUCGCUUAGUGCGAGAGGAACCAAGGAAGAGAGAGAGAGAGAGAGAGAGAGGCAACCGCAUAACCGAAGACAAAGAGAAGUGAGAUGAGAUUUAGGUUUGUUUUAGUAAUUUUUUUUUUAAUAUUAAAAAGGGAACCAGUCCGGUCCGAGUGGGCGGCGGGCGGAUCCGCCCAUGGAACCGGGAACCGGACCGGUACGCACCAGUUCCCAUAAAUUGGAACCGGGAACCGGACCGGUUCCCUUAAGAACCGCCGGUUCUGGGCAAUUCCGGUCCGGUUCCAGGCGGAUCCCGGUUCUUUUGCACACCCCUACUUGAAUUAGUCUGAUGCUUAGGUCACAUAAUGAACCAUUAUCCAAAAAACAAAUGAAGUGAUUCAUGUUGGAUCAGCAAACAAAGUAGCUAGCCCGGUUUAAUUUAAAGAACAGUGGCUUAGGGAUGAAAACAUCCUUAAAAGUGCUUCGGAAUGACCUGCCUCCCUAGGGAUACGCGAACUUCAAGCUGCAAAAAUCCAUCAUGGUAUUUCUUGGCCUUUUGAGUUACUUGUGUGGUACAAAACCUGCCAUUCUACAUGACAGGGAAGUGUCAAUCUCCAAGUACGACAUGCUCAGUUAAACUAACACAAAAAUAAAGGAAGGACACCGCCCGCAAAUGAACAUUCAUAUUCUCACAUGUGUUAGAAACGACUGAAGAAAAAUAAUGAAUCUGUUAUUGAAUUCGUUAUUUCCAUAACCCCAAGCUAAAAGGAGGCAAUAAAUACAUGGCAAUAUCAAGAACAUAGUCAGCUGGUUAAUGAAAACUUCAUUAGAAAAUUUAUCGGCAAGUAGAACGAACAACUGGCUAAGUAAUGAUAUCUUCAUAAGAAAAUGUAAGCAUAAAGGAAUAUCCUAAGGAGUCCAUGUAACUUGGUUCAUUGCUCUCCUCUUUUGCAUGAAGUUCUCGUACUUAUGAGCCAUUCUUAAGUACCUAGAGCACAGUGCUAGAGCUAGGAAAAUCUCAAGAACGUAACCAGUCAAGGUGAAUUAUGGAUUUUCCAAAUGAAUGGACACACUGUGAAGCACAAAACUGAAAACUCAAUAGAUAGUUUUGUAUUUUCAGUGAAGCUUUUAUCUAUUAUGAAACAAAAUCCGACCUGUUACCCCUGAUAUUCUGGCAUCUAAUAUACUCACCUUUGCCCCAUUCUGAGGCAUCUGGCCAUUUUUUUUUCCCUUCUGAAAGAGUACUCAUGAAUACAUGUUCAGUGCAUCACAAACAGAAUCGGGGAAUUAUUGUAGAUCAUGCAAAACAUGAAGAGAAGGGAAUCAUGCUCCUCAACAGAAAAGAAAGAGAUAACAUGGAUAACAAUGAUGAUUUUCAAUUGUCGACUCUCUCUAUCUGGUCAAUGAAGAAAGUAUUAACUUCAAAUGAAAACAACGAAUUGAUUCAUGGCAUCUGCAAGUUCAAGGCCUUGCGGAAAUCAUCCCACAUCUCAUGAACAUCCCUUGGACUUGCAUCCUUAAAGCUCCAAAUCACAAUGUGUUUGCAAUAUCAUUUUGGUGAGUAUGGAGUAUCACCCAAUUACAUCAAUUGCAGAGCAGCUGAAUGAUAGGGUCCAUGGGAUAUAAACAAUGAGGGAGAAAAAUGUUAAUAAUCUAUUGAAAGUUUAAGACUUUAGGCUAGGAGGUGAGGCAAAUUACCUUCAUUUAAAGACUAAACAGGAAAAAUAAACACUUUAUAGAACACCAGGAAAUGGAUCAAAUUGAACUGUAUUCCAAGUACCUUUUAAAGCAGACUUAACAUUAGUAACAUUAUGCUGCUGCUUUCGCAUAUUAAUUUUUGAAGAGAAUUGAACUGUUUCCACAUGCAUUUAGAUCCCUCAAAGAUUCAUCGUUUGCUUCACGGUUGCCACGUUCAACCAAAUGACCAGGAAAUUCCAUCAUCUCCCCAGGGCUUACUUCUUCAGCUUUGCUCAGGAACCUGUCAUCUAAAUGUUUCCAGCUCAUAUCAUACAAGAAAACCUCGUAAAAGACCCAAAUAAGUUUUCAAUCAUCUGAGCCAUAUUUAUCCUGACAAAAAAAUUUCGCUAAUCUGCUGAGAAAGGUAUACAUCAUGAAGAGGAAAACCAACUAAUAAAGGAAGGAAGAGCUGAAAUUUAAUCCAGCAACAAGAUAGCUGGUAUUAUUUAAGGGUAAAUAUCAGAAGGAGAUGUAGACUGUAGAGCUUUACCUGCCUAGUCAUAGAUCCACUCCUCGUGCAACGUAAGUAGCCAUCAUGAUAUUUCUUCGACUUUUGAGUUAAUUGAGUUGUAUACAAGGCGUAUCAAUCUACAUCAAAUGGAAUAUCAUGUCAACUCCAGUGCCGAGACAACAAUAAAACUCUCGAAUAUAACCGCAUAGAGAACAUUGAGACCAUUUUUCUAAGGGAAGUUGGGAUAUAUGCUAAAAAGCUCCAAUGAUUUUCAAGAGAAGCCACAAAAAUAUAUGAAACCACCUUGAUUGAGAAGACUUGAUAUACAAAGCAUCAGAGUUGAGAGAAUCUUUAUUGAUAUUGAAAAGAUUCUGUAUGUAAUAUAAAGAUGUGCAGAAACUGUAUCCCAAGGAAAACCAAGAACGGAUUCACAAUCCAGGAGAUACAUCAAGAGAAAGACAUGGCCUGGCAUGGGCAUAGAUGAGUCAGAAAUUCGAUGUCCUUAAGUUCGGACUCGCCUGCAUAUGCCAUACCUGUUCAUUUCAUUCUUUUUGAAUUCUGGAAAUUGAAAAACAAAAGAAAACGCAUGCUAAAUUGUUAUACCCAGCAAUACUUGCAAUUAAGAGAAACACGCAUGCUAAGUUUUGUACCCAGCAAUACUCGCAAUUAAGAGAGAGUUAGAUUAUGUAGGAUUUCAUCACCAACCUCUAAGAAAAUUCUACGAUGGGCUUAGGCUGAUCGUCUGCUGUUUAUGCUUCUCCGCUUUGGUCUUCUCCCUUAAAAAGAAAGCCAAGUGGAUUAUAAUAUAAUACAGGUAGAUGAUCAGCACAACAUUGCGAAUGUAUGAGUACGAGUUGUCAAAUUUCAAACCAAUGGAGACACCAGCAUUCAGAAAGAAAAAUAUAUAAGCACAGACAAUACCGGCACAAUCAGAUACUUUGACGAACUUAUUCCUGUGAAGCGAAGUUGUUCGCUUAGGAACUUUCUUUCUCGGUUAUGAAUAUAAGUAUCAUCCGAAGGCUUCUGCCCUCCUUCAGGCUCUCCAACAUCAACCAAAUAAGCAUUGAACGUCAGCGUCUCGCCGGAGCAAACAACUUCAUCAUUCUUCAAGAUCCUGCAUUCCAACAGCUGCUUGCUGUCAUCAUACAGCAUGACCUGUCAAAUCAUCCCACCAUCAAUCACGGAACGACCGAAUCUACUCCGAACAAGCUCAAUCCUGGAGAGCAUAACGACCAGAGCAGAACAAUCGGCGAUGACGGACAAAAUCGAAAUCCCAAGCAGCAUCCAGACGUCGCCAUCUAGUUCGAUCGAGCGAGCUAAAUUCGGGGAAAGAACGGUCAGAUAUCGAAUGCCACCGGCACGGACUAGCCGAUCAAACCGAAUCACGUCCGAGCCCAAUCGAAGGUGACUAAAUUCGCCCGAUCGAGUUGAGCUGGACAUGAACGGCAGAGGAGAUCGGUAGCGAGACAGAGAGAGAGCGGGGAACGCACCUUGGCGGAGGAGGAGUGGAGAGAGAGAGACAGGAAGCCAUCGCGGUAGACCUUGCGCUUUCUGCUUGAGGUGCUUCGUGAAGGUGUGACGUUCCAUUUCGUCGGACCCUCGUCCAUGGCGGUGGUUUCUGCAUUUGGAAGAAGAAGAAGAAGCAGAAGAAGAAGUAUUCUAGGGAUUUCGAGAGCUGCAAAAGUAAGUAAUGGCGGGAAACGAGCGAAACGAGCACAAGCGCGGCAAGACAGUCCCCGAGCAUUUUGAGGUUUUUCAGUUGAGUCAUUGAAUUCAUUAUUAUGUGCCAAGUAGGAAUUAUCGAUUGUUUUUUUUAUUUAUUUUCAUCUCUAGACAUUCGAUGCAGGAUUUUUUCUUUGCCACGGUUCUCACGGGCAUAUUCGGUUUUUCUCUAAUUUUGUUUUUUCAUCAAAGUAUGUUCCGUACAAAAGUCUUCGUUCCCGCGAUUUUAUAUUACUACGGGUGAGGCACGAAGAGAAUGGGUGAUUUGAAGCGUGUAGUUAGAAAGCGAGAUGCGGAUAGUUUGGUUGCGCCUCAUCUAUUUGUCAAAAUGCCUAUCAAUAGAAUCUGGCUUUGAUUUCUAAAUUGAAUGUGGAGAGCGUCUAUAAUAAUCAUUAUAUUUAUCAUUUUUUUCUAUUUUUCUAUUCUAGGAAAUAGAUUUGGAAUAAAAAUUCGUUCCGCAAUGCAAACUCAUUUUUCUAUUUCUUGAAUAAAUUUUUAAUCUAGAAAUAGGUUUUCAAAUAAAAAUGAGGAGUAAAAAAAAAGUUCAUUUUCUACUUCUAGAACAAAAGUGAAAAAUAAAAAAAUUUCUAAUCACUCGCUUUUUGCUACCAAUCAGUUGCUCACCUAUUAUCAACCGCCAUUUGUUCGCCGCCAUCCACUUGCCCGCCUCUCAUCGUCACUUGAGAGAUAGAAAUUUUGUGUCAUUAUUAAACGAAUUUCUAUUUUGAUAAUAGAAAUUUUAUAUAGUUAUUAAACACGUACUUUUGCUGAGAAACUCAUAUGGAGAAUUGAAAUAAAAAUAAUAAUAAUUUUGGGCUAGAAAUUGAUUUUUUGAACAUAAUGGUUAUCAUUCAUGACGUAUUUGACAUGCUGCUAUCGCAACAUGGAGCUUUGACUUCCUAAUUUUGUGGAUGGGUAUAAAUGGUUUGGAAAAAGUCGAAUCAUUUUUUACUCAACCCAAACCCAAUCCGAUCCACUCGUCUAACAAACCUAUUUUAUUUGUAACUCCUUUAUGUGAAAAUAUAUUUUUGUUAUUCAUUGCAAAUAUUUAUGAAUCAUAUAAAAUAGAGUUAAUACUAUAAAAAAAAACUCCAAACUGAUACAUUGAUGACAAAUUUACUCUAAACUAAUUAUUGACCACAAAAAGCCCAAAACCGGUACACAUGUGACAAGUUUUCUCUUAAUUAGUUUCCGAUAAAUUUUAUAGUCUAAUUGCUGAAUUGAAUGACAAGUGUACUAAUUUUGGGUUGAUAAAUUUAUUACAAUUGUAUCAAUUUGAGAUUUUUUGUGAUAUUGAUCUCAUAAAAUAUUGAUGACAAUAUUGUGUACGCUAAUACAUUUAUUUGACUUGUUCUUUCUAUCAUAAUCAUUAUCAUCUAAUAAUAGGUUAAUAUUUAGUUUUCCCUAUACAUAAUACAUCACUUUUGUCAUAAAUUUAUCAUGUACUCUUCUUCUUCUUCUUUUAUCGGUCAUAUUCUACUCCUACUCUAACUCUCACUCUCAAACUUUUGUCAUGUCUCAUUGUAAGGUAUGAGAGUCGAAACCCACACUUGAAAUUAAAUCGUUCAUAUCCCAAACUCCUUGAGAAGGUGGGGAUUCAAAUCAUCCACCUCCCUCUUCCAUAUUGGAAAAGCGAUCAUUAGGGAAUUUAUCAUGUACUUCACCUGUUACAUCUAGUCAUUUACAUCAUGGGUAUGGGACAUGAAUACUGCUCCAUCGUUUUCCACGCCCUCAUUAAUUCAAAUCUUUCCUCCGCAACAAGAAGAUUAGCAAUGAGGAUCUUGGAGGUUUCCUAGAUAUAAACGACAAAUUACUGAGUAAUUAGCAUUUUUUGAGGAUGUCUUAACAAUCAAUAAAUAAAUGCGUUAGCAUUUUACUUUGUAAGAAAUUCCAUCUAUAACUUUUUCUCAUGCAUUGGAGAAGAAGAAAAUGAAGGGCACUAGACCCCUACUAGGAAGAACUCUAUGGUAUGUAGUUUCAUUCGAUGUUUACUUAAGCCAUGGUUCGGUAAUAAAUUACAGACACUUCAAAUUUUCUCUUUUUAAAAUUUUAAUAUUAUGAUUGGGCUAAAAUAUCUUUUCAUUUAGGCUCAGCUAAAUGAAAUAAUGAGCUGGUCCUCCUUGAUUUGAGCUAGCUCAUGAAUAGGGCAAUUUGAGCUAAAAGGACUUGGUGCUUCGAACUUAGGAUAGCAAGAAGAGGAAUGAUCACAUCGAUGAGGAGAUUGAAAAAAUGGCAAGAAAAAAAACGUCGAUGAUAGCGAGAACGCGUAACUCAAGGAGUUAAGGAGAAGAAAAUCUCUCAAACACAAAAAUCAUCUAAAUAUGAUUUUGAUUUGUCAUUUUUCACCUGACAACCCAAACAUUGCAAGUCGAGUUUUUCUGACGGACAUUUAUAUAGUAUAAGAAUGUGCCAUACAUUAUUAAUCAUCAGUGAUUAAAUGACAUUAAUUGAUAGGAAAAGUUAACUAUUUAACAAAAGUCAAUAAGUAACAUUUGAAUGGUAUUUUAAAUUUCAGUGGUACAGAGUGCUUAAAUGUAAAAAAACUGGCCCAUUUGAGAGAAUAUAAUAAUAUACUCAUUAGAUGUGAUGGGCGGUACCAGCAAUGCUACAAGGAAAAUUUCUUGCUGGACUUGCUCCCCUCCCACACUCUCUGAUGCACCCAUUAUCUAAGAAUUCUUUCUUCUUUCCUCCAAAUACCCUCAUCUUAAAUCAAGAUUUAGCUACAUAAAAAGAUAUUUAAAUCGGGAGAAAUUAUUCUAUGUUCCUUUCCCUCGAUAGCAUCCAAACGAUAUUAUAACUUAAUGUCUCUAUUUUCUUUGCCUUAUUUUCUCCCAAAUUAUUUAUAUAAUCUCUAUUCCUUUCUAAUUAAUCGCCUCUAUCAAUAUAUAUCAUAAUCUAUCUAGUCUUGUUUCCAUUCAGCAGAAGAACAUGGCAUCUUAUUAGGGAGAACUCUCUAAUAAUGAAGUUUUGUUAGUCGAAGCUUCUAAGGAGUCCUCAACAAAUUCGGCAUGAUUUAAUCGUCAUUUCUUGUGAAACCUUAUCUUUUAUAGGAUGUUAUAUUGAAUUUGCUAGUGAAUUCGUGGUAUGACAGAGAGAUGCAAAGGCAUCAAACUUACCUAUUCAUGGGAUAAUCAAUGGUUUGCAACUCGUGUCUAUGCUUAAUCAUGUAUCAUGUUUAGUAUUGCAAGCUCUCUCUAAAUAACGAUCGAGUAAUUUUUGAUGUUAUAUUUUAGCAAUGUUACGGACCUUAUAAAGCCAGUCCCCCCUUCUAUUAUGGAACUAAUGUUGACUUCUUGUAAGUUUAAGUAUUGCCACGUAUCUUGUGAAGAACUGUUUGGUGCUCUUGAAAGAAAUAUUAUUUAAAGUAAAAAUCAAUAGAUGAUUGUGUCCGGCUGCAAGAUUUUGGUCAGUUUGAAGAAAACUCAAAGAGCUAGAAAAAUAAGUUCAAGUGUUCAGCUGCAUCGUGAGCUGAAAGUAUGUGAGAUUUGCUCAGCUUAGAUAAUUUCAAUAAUUGAUGCAGUUGACUAUUAUGUUUUUUUUCUUCUCAAGGAAAAAUUAAGGUCGAUAUAUAGUUGAUUUCUAAAUUGGUCAAGGACCGACUAAACCACUGAUAUCAAAAGCUGUAUAAUUCAGAUUGAGCCUGAGUGAUAAAAUGAAGGACGGUUCUAUAAAAGAAUGCAGGGAUUAAAUAUUUUACUUUUAAUUGAAUCUUUCAACAACGUGGACUAGUAAGUUCUGUUAAAAAUAAAUAAAUAAAUAAAAGAAAGUAUCGCUCCCAAUCUAGCUCAUGCACCUUUCUAGCGAAUUGAUGUUUUAUGGCUCCAAAUUGGUUUGUCGUAGUCAUUUGGAUUAUGUGUCGGCUGAAAGGAUCAGUUAGCUUAAAUCAGAGAGCACAAAUACCAAUUUGGCCAAAAUUCAAUUUCAAGGACCAAAUUGAACAUUAACUAAAAUUUUGGGGACCAACUUUUAUUUUCCCUCUCGUCCUUGGGGGCUUCAAAGGUGGAACCUCUGUUAUUCCGCUCGCCGCAGAGGGAGCUCGUGACUCGCUCGAUGAAGAUGCAAAAUUCUCGUAGGCUGCGGGGGGGACAAUUGGAGGGCAUGCGAGAGGAGGCGACGGUGAAUCCAACGUGCCUCGGAGGACGCUGAUGCGAGACGAGUAGAAAUGAGCGUCACUGCUCCUGGCGUUGGAGACAUCGUCGUCAAAGUCAUUGCGGAACCGAAGAAGAGAGAAAGAUCCGAGCAUUUUCAAGUGGUGGCCAGGUGCUCGACAAAAUGCCCACGUGGGGAGUUGAAACGGUGUUCGCGCGCAUGAAAUGGAAGCGACGGGUUGCUCUCGUUUUCGUGGUUUAGUUUUUGCAAUGUGAUGAACGAUGGCGAAGGAUAAAAAUGCGACCAGCGAAAAAGAAGAAAACGGCGAUUAAGAAAAAGACCAAUUGGCGUCUCCACUAGACAUUAAUCGAAGGGACGAGCGAUGCGGAGAAAAACGACGAAGCAACGUGGAGGCACCUCCUCGGUUUCUUCUCAUAAUUUCUUCGGCUUUUGUGCUUUUCUUUAUAAUUUUUCGUGCGGUUAUCCAUCGAAGGGAUCCAAAAAGACAAAAGAAGAAAACAAGAAACCAAAAGGGACAAAGCAAUUGGUGGUCAGAAACGCGAAGCCAUGAAGCAACCUCUCUCGUUUUCCGCCAUUCUUUGUAGUAUUCCUGUAAUCCAUUCUCCGCUCCAACUUCUCAUUUCUUCUUUUGUCUUGACAGUUUCUGUUUACUAUUGACUACCCUCUCAUGUUCGUUGGUCUUUUUGGACAUUUUCUUUUCUUACAGUUGUCCGGGCGAAAGUGUUUGCUGCAGAAGAAGUCUGGAUCUUGAAGCAAAGAGGUUUUCCUUUUUCAAAAAAUUUUAGUCAUUUUGAUGAUGAGUCGCCAUUAAUUUUUCAGCAUGCUAGAACUGCAAUAACGAAUAUUAACAAAAUAUAUGAUGCUAAGUGAUUGCUAUUAGUAUUAGCCCAUGGGAAACGAAUGUUUUGAUGGCACAUAAAACAAAAUGGUAUCAUUACCUGUAUGUCAUUGUCCAUAAAUAGUUAGCGGUAGAGAGUGAUGAUGAUGGUAAUGGUGAGGAUGAAGAUGAUGAUCUCAUUGACCCCAUCCCAGUAUUAUUGUUGAACAAUAAUCAUUCUCCAUUAUAGUUUCCGGUUACUCCUAGAAACAAGUUCUGGCUCAGUCAUAAGAUUGGUAGAUGAUCAUAAGUAGAGAUCUACUUCAGUGGACAGCUCGCUGACUAAUACUUGAUUUUUGCUUUAUCCAUUCUGCUUUUUAGUUUGAAUUUGUUCAGAUGAACGACAAAGUCGCCAUUAAGCUUGUGAGUGGCUCUUCUCCCUGUUAAAUUGAUUGUUGUGUUUUUCUAGCUUUUGCUUAAUUUAGUUAAAUUUUAGUAUUGCUGUGUCAAUGGAUCGGUGUUUUGUUGAUUUAGAAUUUUGAUGUUUUAUAUUUAGGUUCUCUCAGGCGACAUGGAUUGUGCUUUGUUCCGUUUCUUUCUUGGGUUGUGCGACUGGCAUAGAUAUUGAUAGUUUCACUUGUUUCCAGCAAGCCGCGGUGGUAACUUCUUUAUUUCAAAAACACUUGCGAGUAUGUGUUUAAUGCUGUGAUGUGUGAAUUGAUGUCGUGCUUCUGCUAUGAUACGAUUGUAUGCCCAAGUAAAUGCCCCUUCAUCCCUUGUUGAGUACUUUAAUUCUCAAACUAAUAAUGGAUCUAAUAGAAGUGCAAACCUUCUUUUUGUUUCUAUUAGUACAUUUUUUGAGCUUAUGAAAAGCAUGCGUUUUUUAUUAAUAGGAUAACAUAACACACAUAAAACACACAUUCAGAUAAAGUAAUUCGGUUUUCUUCUUAUUUUGUAUCUUCUUUUUUUUCAUGUUAUUAUAUGUGCAAGAACAUCGGGUUUAUACAAAACUGACCUGAUAUAGCUAAGUAAUUACGAUUUCUUUUCAAUCAUUAGAGGUUUUAUUAUUGAAUGUAGAUAUUUGUGAUCAAAAUUUUUACAUGCUUAUUAGAUGGGCAUAAUAUAAUAUGUGCAGUUUGCUCAAUUAAAACAUAUUUGAGGCAAACUUAUGAUGACAAAUUUUUGUUCCAAUUUUUUUGCCCAUACUUUUAAGACAAUCUCAUUAUGAGCAAGCUUUUGACAAAUUUUUCCUUAAUAACAACAUAUUUAAGGAGCCAGAACCCGAAGACUUCUUUUCCUUCUGGUUUGCAGGUUGAAGGUGCGAUUUUCUUUUAUAAUAAAAAUUGGAGCUUGUGCUUGUAGCUCCAAGAGUUGGCAAGCUUCGAGACCCAAUAAGCCUCAAUUCUCGUGUGGAGUGAUUUUCUUGCGCACCCGUGGAUGUGGAAUAUGCAUUGUCAGUGCAAUAUGCAACUUUUUAAGUGCUUAUUCCUCCUCUCUUCUUAGCAACUCGCAGGCUUAUCAGUUCAGAGCUUGUUAACGCAUGAAAAUCGAAUUUUCAAUUUUCAAGUCAUUCCCCACUAUAAGUUCUACUGAUCAUAGUCAAGUAGUCAAUGCCAAUGACCAAGUCUGUUGUUUUGUCGAUGGGCAGACAAUAGGGAAGCUGCUUAUUGACGAGGCCAAAUUCUUGUGGGUUGUGGAGGGCAAGGUCGAGGACCUGCAAAAGGAGCUGAAGCUGAUCCGGUGCUUGCUGAGGGAUGCAGACACUAGACAAGGGCACGACCAAGCUGUUGGAGAAUGUCGCACAACGCCGUGACAUUGCUUAUGAUGCCAAGGACGUCAUAGAGCAAUACAUCCUCAGAGUCGUGUUGAAGAAGGGACAAAACAUCAUCAAAGCAUAUGCUUGCUACGUGUCGAAGUGCACGUGCGUGCAGGUUCAUGUGGUGAGGACAGAAAUUGAGGUACACUUUAUGAUGCAAAGAAACUGAGAUAUGGUCUAUGCGGUUUCUUUGUCCACUGUUCUUCCUAGUUCCCGUCCAAGAACUUGUAUUACUAGCUGUCCUUUCUCGACUUCCGCGUGCCAAGCAAGGCCUUGAGGAGACGUUUGUUUUUGCUGGAAGAUAGCUCGGUAUCGGUUCUUUGAUUCCACAACCUGAAUAGACAUUGAAGUGGAUCUUCGGGGUUCUGAUGGGGUAUUGGAUGUUCAUUUGGGCAUAUAAGAGAAUUGGUCAUAAAAGAUCAUGUCCUCAAGACAUGUCUAACCAAAAAAAAAAAAAAACAAAAGGCUUAAUAGCUAAUCUGCACCGAAAUUCAUUGAUGCUUACUCGUCUUUUGACAUUAGAAGGGUUUGGAGAAGUAGAUCUAUGGACAAGCGAACCCUAACGUAUGAAUUGAAAUCAAAAUGGGGAGGCUUGCUUUUCUGGUUAGAAAAAAGUGUGGCUUCCAUUAGGAGCUUGUCUACGUACAUGACAUAUGAUACAAUAAGAGAGAAUGAAAGCAUGAUGUAAAUGUUAUGUAUGGCAAUUUGGAGCAUUUAAGUCGAUUGCACUGCUAAUGUCCACGUCAUUGAGUUUUGGUCAAGGUUGAUUGGAUGGACCUCAAUUAGCAAAAAACAAAAAUGUUUAGGACUCAAUCGGUAAAAUUAAAAAAAAUUAUAAUUGAAUUGGCAAAAACAUAAUUUGUUUAAGAUCUUUUGAAUAGUUUUUCUAAAAAUAAACCCAUGAGAACCGAAUCUUUUGAUGGCAAAUAAAGUAAAUGCUGAAAUGACGGCCACAUAAAAGGAAUCUGCCCGUGAGACUUUUGACGACACAUAAAGUAAGAAUAUGAUGCCGAAUUAUCACUAGCAGCCGAUGUGCAAUUAUUUAAGAAUAUUUGUCAGUAGCCGGUGCGCCAUUACUUUAAGAAUAUGAUGCCGAGUUAUUGCUAGCAGUCUUUGUGCCAUUACUUAGAUGCCAUUACCUUUAUCUAGUUACCUCUAGAAAGUGAUGAUAAUAACGGUGAUGAAGAUAAUGAGCUCAAUGACCUAAACCCAUUGUUAUUGUUAAACGAUAAUGAUGCCCAAUUAUUGUAAUGACCAGCACACACACUCUCUCCUUAUCAGUGGCUGCGGUUUGAUUACGAUGAAGUCUCUCCUAUAGUCUUUGGAUAAGAGCGUGCAGAGCUAGGGCUCCUCCCCUUUGAAAUUUGCUCUCCGAUGGAGCUGCGCAUCGGCAAUAAGUUCCAGCUCGGUUAUAAUAUUGUUCGCUUAAAGGGGUAUAGAUAAGGUUAGCUCUUCCUAUGGUCCAUAGUUGUUACCUUCCAAGAUCCUCGGGCGGAGAUUUUAUUGUAUUUAAAGAGAAUAUUAGAGAUAUAAAGAUUGGUUUAUAAAGAGAUGCAUCAUAUACUCUUGUUGGUGGCAUGCAGUGAAGGGGAGUACUGCGCAUGCCUAUCGAGAAGGCUAAUCACGAUCAUCCAAUUCUUUCCCACUAGGAACUUGAAAUUACCCACGUGGCUGCAUUUACUCUCACUGUACUGCAGUUCGCCAAUUUUAUUGCGUCUCUGCUAUGGAAUGCCAGAAUCCAGAAACCAAGGAACUUCCUUCUGGUUGCUGCUGAGUGCAAUGCCUGAAUCCUGCUGUUUCCAGGAAAUCCGGCCUUUAUGUUUGUCACCCUGGUUUGUUAAAAAAAAAAAUGCGACAACCUCUCAUUAAUCUUUUGUAUGUGAAUACACAAAUACAAAUUACACAUCAUAUAUAAUUAUAAAGUUGUAUAUGGCAUGUUGCAAUCGUGUUCAAGGAUUCAAAAUCACUUGUUGAUGGAGCUUUUAAUGGGCAUUAAAUAUAUGUGGUUCUCUUUCAUCUAGUUAAUUACUGAAUUUUUGGAUUAUGAUUUCUCAUAUGAUAUCGUAGAAAACUACUACACUUUUAUUGCAGAGUUAAAACAUUUAACUAUUAAUGCACCACAAAAUCGCUGUAACACUUUCUAAUCAUGCAUAUAUGGAGUUUCCAAAUUAUACGUGCAGUUCCAUCAUCGUAACUUAUCCUUAACUUUGUGGAGUCGAAUUUAAUUACAUGAACAAGUUUGAUCAGUUUGUGUGUGCAUAUAUAUUAAAUGGUACAAGCCAUGAUAUAUCUUACAGUAGAUAUGAUUUGCGAAGGUAUGUAUUCCAACUACAAAGAACAAAAAUGUUGCUAUCAGUAUUAGCCCAUUUGAAACUGAUCUUUCGACGACACAUUAAGCAAAAAUAUGAUGCUAAGUUGAUGACACGUAAAGCGAUUCACCUUGAUAAACUCAUCUUUUGACAACGCAAAGCAAAGACGUGAUGCCGAGUUAGUGCCAUUAACCCAUGCGAAACCAAUAUUCUUUCGACGGGGCAUAAAGCAAGAAUAUGAUGCUGAAUUAUUGAUCUUUGCCUGUGUGUAACCAAAUCUUUUGACGGUACAUAAAGCAAAAAUGCGAUGCUGAAUUAUUACCAUUAACCCAUGUGCCAUUACUUAUAUGUGUGUGCCAUCGCCUUUAUCCAGUUAGCUGUGCAGAGUGAUGACGAUGAUAAUGAUGAGGAUGAAGAUGAUGAUGAGCUUAUUGACCCAAUCCCAGUACCAAUAAUCAUUCUGAGUUAUUGUUUCUGGCUCGUUCGUAACAUUGGAAGCGGAUCGUUCGGAGAGAUUUACUUUGAUGGACUGCUCGCGAACUGAUACACGGUUUUUACUUUAUCCAUUCUGCUUUUAGUUUGAUUCUGACUGAAGUUUUUCACGAAUUACUUUUAGGCAUCAAUAUUCAGACAAAAGAGGAAGUCGCGAUUGAUCUUGUUAUUGGCUCUUUUCCCAGUCGAAUUGUCUCCUUUUCUUUUUCUACUUUUUGUGGUUUUAGUUUUCUUUAAUAUUAUCAUAAUCAUUGCAUCGGUAUUUUGAUGAUUUAGAAUUUUGAUGUUUUGUUUUUACGUACUUCGAGGUGAGAUGGAUUAUGCCAUGUUCCCUUUUUUUACCCUUGGGUCGUUUGAAUGACAUUAAUAUUAGUUCACUUGCUGCUUCCAGCAAGUCGGCGGUGCUAACUUCUAUACUUAGAAUGAUUAUUAUAAACAAGUGGAAGCUUUUCUCGGUAUGGGGCUUUCACAUGCAUGCAUGCAUAUUUUAUGUUUAGAGUUGUGAUGCAUGAAUUUAUGUUGUGCUUCUCAGCUUCUGGUAUAGUAUGACCGUAAGCCCAAUUUAUCUUUGGUGAACUCUUACGUUGUAUGUCUCAACAUUUGUAUCAAGUCUAUGCCCCAUGUACAUUGUUGAGUAUUCACUUUUUGCCUAACAUGUUAUUUCUAAGAGAAAGAUAAAUUGAUUUUUUGCACGAAACAUGUAUGUUUUGACUGAAUGAGAUCAAUGAGGGGGUUGAUUGGGAAGCAAUUGAGGCAAUUUUGGAUGACACGAAGCUCUUUUACCAAUUAAGUAGUGAGAGUGACUAGUGAGCAAUGCACGUAUUUUACUAGUGGAGGCCUGGAGAGAGAGAAAGGAGAGAGCCAUCAUGAUAGAGGUGCUUUGUGAAGGCGACGUUCCAUUUCUUUCACAGCUUCCAUGGUGGUGCGUUAGGGAUUUGAAUUUCUAGGGAUAUGAAGAGUUGCGAUAAUGUGUUUUUUUUUUUUUUGUCGGUUCUACUCUAUUCUUACUCUAAUUCCCACUCUUAGACUUUUAGUCUAUCUCAUUGCAUGGCGUGGGAGGCGAAACCCACACUUGAAACUAAAUCGUCCCCACCUCAACCCCCCGAGAAUGUGGGAAUUUGAACUCUUCACCCCCUUCCAUAUUGGAAGGAUGGCCACUGGGGCAAACCCCAGUAGUUGUGAUAGUGUGUUUGAUAGCUAAAUAAUUUCGAAUUCUUUUUCAAUUAUAGGAUGUAUUGAGAUUUAGCUAUUUGUAAUCAAAAUUUUUACAUGCAUAUUAGAUGGGCGUAAUUUAAUAAUUGAAUUUUGCUCAAUUACAACAUAAUUGAGGCAAACUCAUGAUGACAAACUUAUAUUCUGAUUUUUUUCCCAACUUGCAAGACAAUCUCAUGAUGAGCAAGCUUUUGACAAAUUUCACUUUAACUACAACAUAUUUAACUGGGAUCACUGCUAACGAAGCCCAUAAUCAAAUGGGUUCACAAAUAGACCCACUAUAUUGAUAGUAUGCUUUCUCCAUAAAUUCCAUACUUAACACACUCUAGUCCCACGCUAAUUUAAGCAUCGGAGGAUUCUUAAUGGGCCAUAACCUGGGAACUUCUUUUCUUGGUGGUGUGCAGGUUCACGGCACAAUUUACCGGAAAAAAAGAGAGUCGAAGCUUAUGCUUGUUGCAACUCCAAGAAAAAGAAUAAACAUAAUUAUCAGCUUAGUACACUUCGACGAAACGUUGCCAAGCCUGGAGACCUAAUUAAGCUCAAGUCAUUCGUGGGGUGAUUUUGUUGCAUACGUGGAUGUAGAAUUUGUACUAUCAAUGCGAUGCGCAACUUUCUAAGUACUUACUCUUCUUUCUUCUUUGCGACUCGCAGGCCUAUAUGUGCAGGGCUUGUUAACGCAUAGAAAGUGAAUUCUCAAGUCAUUCUCUAUCAUAAGCUCCACUGAUCAUAAUCAAGUAGUGCAAUACCAAUGGCCGAGUCUGUUGUUUCGUCCGUGGGGCAGACAAUAGGAAAGCUGCUCAUCGAGGAGGCCAGAUUCUUGAGGGGCGUGGAGGGCAAGAUCGAGGACUUGCAAAGGGAGCUGAGGCUGAUCCGGUGCUUGCUGAGGGAUGCGGAUGCGAGACGAGAGCACAACGAAGCUGUUGGAGAAUGUGUUGCACAACUCCGAGACUUUGCCUAUGAUGCCGAGGACAUCAUCGAGAGAUACACCCUCAGAGUCGCUCUGAAGAAGGAACAAUACAUCACCAGAGCGUGUGCUUGCUUCAUGGCGAAGUGCACGUGCCUGCAGAUUCAUGUGGUGGGGACAGAGAUUGAGGGCUUGAAAUCUAGCAUCUACAACCUUAGAACGAGCAUGCUGGCUUUUGGCGCACAACCUGGGAAUGAGGGCGACCGCAAACGGGCAACGGAUUUGCUGCCGAAACCUACUUAUUGCCAUUUCGAGGAGGAUUUUGUUGGGAGGGAAGAUAGUAUUAAGGAGUUGGUGAAAGAGCUNNNNNNNNNNNNNNNNNNNNNNNNNNNNNNNNNNNNNNNNNNNNNNNNNNNNNNNNNNNNNNNNNNNNNNNNNNNNNNNNNNNNNNNNNNNNNNNNNNNNNNNNNNNNNNNNNNNNNNNNNNNNNNNNNNNNNNNNNNNNNNNNNNNNNNNNNNNNNNNNNNNNNNNNNNNNNNNNNNNNNNNNNNNNNNNNNNNNNNNNNNNNNNNNNNNNNNNNNNNNNNNNNNNNNNNNNNNNNNNNNNNNNNNNNNNNNNNNNNNNNNNNNNNNNNNNNNNNNNNNNNNNNNNNNNNNNNNNNNNNNNNNNNNNNNNNNNNNNNNNNNNNNNNNNNNNNNNNNNNNNNNNNNNNNNNNNNNNNNNNNNNNNNNNNNNNNNNNNNNNNNNNNNNNNNNNNNNNNNNNNNNNNNNNNNNNNNNNNNNNNNNNNNNNNNNNNNNNNNNNNNNNNNNNNNNNNNNNNNNNNNNNNNNNNNNNNNNNNNNNNNNNNNNNNNNNNNNNNNNNNNNNNNNNNNNNNNNNNNNNNNNNNNNNNNNNNNNNNNNNNNNNNNNNNNNNNNNNNNNNNNNNNNNNNNNNNNNNNNNNNNNNNNNNNNNNNNNNNNNNNNNNNNNNNNNNNNNNNNNNNNNNNNNNNNNNNNNNNNNNNNNNNNNNNNNNNNNNNNNNNNNNNNNNNNNNNNNNNNNNNNNNNNNNNNNNNNNNNNNNNNNNNNNNNNNNNNNNNNNNNNNNNNNNNNNNNNNNNNNNNNNNNNNNNNNNNNNNNNNNNNNNNNNNNNNNNNNNNNNNNNNNNNNNNNNNNNNNNNNNNNNNNNNNNNNNNNNNNNNNNNNNNNNNNNNNNNNNNNNNNNNNNNNNNNNNNNNNNNNNNNNNNNNNNNNNNNNNNNNNNNNNNNNNNNNNNNNNNNNNNNNNNNNNNNNNNNNNNNNNNNNNNNNNNNNNNNNNNNNNNNNNNNNNNNNNNNNNNNNNNNNNNNNNNNNNNNNNNNNNNNNNNNNNNNNNNNNNNNNNNNNNNNNNNNNNNNNNNNNNNNNNNNNNNNNNNNNNNNNNNNNNNNNNNNNNNNNNNNNNNNNNNNNNNNNNNNNNNNNNNNNNNNNNNNNNNNNNNNNNNNNNNNNNNNNNNNNNNNNNNNNNNNNNNNNNNNNNNNNNNNNNNNNNNNNNNNNNNNNNNNNNNNNNNNNNNNNNNNNNNNNNNNNNNNNNNNNNNNNNNNNNNNNNNNNNNNNNNNNNNNNNNNNNNNNNNNNNNNNNNNNNNNNNNNNNNNNNNNNNNNNNNNNNNNNNNNNNNNNNNNNNNNNNNNNNNNNNNNNNNNNNNNNNNNNNNNNNNNNNNNNNNNNNNNNNNNNNNNNNNNNNNNNNNNNNNNNNNNNNNNNNNNNNNNNNNNNNNNNNNNNNNNNNNNNNNNNNNNNNNNNNNNNNNNNNNNNNNNNNNNNNNNNNNNNNNNNNNNNNNNNNNNNNNNNNNNNNNNNNNNNNNNNNNNNNNNNNNNNNNNNNNNNNNNNNNNNNNNNNNNNNNNNNNNNNNNNNNNNNNNNNNNNNNNNNNNNNNNNNNNNNNNNNNNNNNNNNNNNNNNNNNNNNNNNNNNNNNNNNNNNNNNNNNNNNNNNNNNNNNNNNNNNNNNNNNNNNNNNNNNNNNNNNNNNNNNNNNNNNNNNNNNNNNNNNNNNNNNNNNNNNNNNNNNNNNNNNNNNNNNNNNNNNNNNNNNNNNNNNNNNNNNNNNNNNNNNNNNNNNNNNNNNNNNNNNNNNNNNNNNNNNNNNNNNNNNNNNNNNNNNNNNNNNNNNNNNNNNNNNNNNNNNNNNNNNNNNNNNNNNNNNNNNNNNNNNNNNNNNNNNNNNNNNNNNNNNNNNNNNNNNNNNNNNNNNNNNNNNNNNNNNNNNNNNNNNNNNNNNNNNNNNNNNNNNNNNNNNNNNNNNNNNNNNNNNNNNNNNNNNNNNNNNNNNNNNNNNNNNNNNNNNNNNNNNNNNNNNNNNNNNNNNNNNNNNNNNNNNNNNNNNNNNNNNNNNNNNNNNNNNNNNNNNNNNNNNNNNNNNNNNNNNNNNNNNNNNNNNNNNNNNNNNNNNNNNNNNNNNNNNNNNNNNNNNNNNNNNNNNNNNNNNNNNNNNNNNNNNNNNNNNNNNNNNNNNNNNNNNNNNNNNNNNNNNNNNNNNNNNNNNNNNNNNNNNNNNNNNNNNNNNNNNNNNNNNNNNNNNNNNNNNNNNNNNNNNNNNNNNNNNNNNNNNNNNNNNNNNNNNNNNNNNNNNNNNNNNNNNNNNNNNNNNNNNNNNNNNNNNNNNNNNNNNNNNNNNNNNNNNNNNNNNNNNNNNNNNNNNNNNNNNNNNNNNNNNNNNNNNNNNNNNNNNNNNNNNNNNNNNNNNNNNNNNNNNNNNNNNNNNNNNNNNNNNNNNNNNNNNNNNNNNNNNNNNNNNNNNNNNNNNNNNNNNNNNNNNNNNNNNNNNNNNNNNNNNNNNNNNNNNNNNNNNNNNNNNNNNNNNNNNNNNNNNNNNNNNNNNNNNNNNNNNNNNNNNNNNNNNNNNNNNNNNNNNNNNNNNNNNNNNNNNNNNNNNNNNNNNNNNNNNNNNNNNNNNNNNNNNNNNNNNNNNNNNNNNNNNNNNNNNNNNNNNNNNNNNNNNNNNNNNNNNNNNNNNNNNNNNNNNNNNNNNNNNNNNNNNNNNNNNNNNNNNNNNNNNNNNNNNNNNNNNNNNNNNNNNNNNNNNNNNNNNNNNNNNNNNNNNNNNNNNNNNNNNNNNNNNNNNNNNNNNNNNNNNNNNNNNNNNNNNNNNNNNNNNNNNNNGGAGCAUUGGCUUGUGUGUUGUCGGGGGGUGGCCCCCAGAUUAUAGCAGAUGCGGAAAAUGAAAAGCACAAAAUCAGCUUUUCACUAUAUUUUAGCUCAAAUUGGUUGUGGUUGUAUCACAAUCCUUUAUAGAAUUUCUCGAGUAUAUAUCUUAUCAAAUAUAUUACAUGAAAGUAUACAUUGUACAUUAGAUGCAUAAAUUGAAUGGAAUGAGUCUCUUCUUUCCCCAAAAAAGAAAAAUAAUUAAGAGUAUUGCUAGUAAUGUUAAAAUUGGAAUAAAUGUUUUAAAAUCUCAUUGUAUAUAAUACCCGAAAAUGUUUCAUUAUAUUAUCCUUUUUAUACAUGCAAUAGAAUUGACUGUGUAGGAUAGUUAUGAAAUUUAGAAAAAUAUUUCAUGCUGUCUAACUAUAUCUCUCAUAUGCGACAUGCUAGAAUCUAUUAUUAUAACCAAAAGAUUAGAAUGUGUGAAAAGAAUGAUAUAUAAUUAUAGUAAUUAACAAAUAUUUAAAAAAAAUUAAAGAUAAAUAGGAAGCAUGGACAGAGCACCAAUUGCUUCACGCCACGGCAUUUGACAUGACCAACCCAUCAUCACCAUUCAUCAAUCGGACAUUAGUUAAUCCUAGCUACCAAUUUUUGCUUACGCAAAUUGGUCAUGCAUGAUUUCAACGAUUCUCUCUUCUUAGUCAAGCACUUUAGCACUUACUAGUGGAGUGCCGCCCUUCUGAUUUUGUAGCCGUAAUAAUUUUCGUAAUAUGGCCAAUCGAUAAUUAAUUUAAGUAACAUACUUUUAUUUUCUAUGAGAGAUAUUGGAGCCACUAUAGCAAUCCUGUAAAUGUAGUUUCCCCAUUUGUGCCAUGAUCGAUCAUCAAUUUUGUUAUGUGAGAUUUUUCCUAUACAAUUUCCUAUUCUAUUUGUGAUCUAGUGGUAAUUGCCAGUUAAUUUUGCAUAUCAUAUAGACUACAUCUGCAUCUCUAAUUUGAUUACAUAAAAAUGAUCUGUAUUUUGAGAUGCUUCAUUUACAACAUAAGAUUGUGAUCAAAGCAAAAUCAAGCAAAAACCUUCACUCUAUUGGAGAUGUAAAGUCUCCUAAUGAUUUUCAGUGCAUUAGACAUCUCUAGACCAAAAAAGAAAUGUUCACAACCCCAUUAUAUGGCGGCUUUUGCUUUCUUGAUCAAGGGGCGAAUCAUGAGUUUCCCUGAUGUUGCUUGUUAAAUUUGAUGCUUUCUUCUUAGAGGCUUGCUCGCGGUGAGAUUGUCUUAAAAGUACGGUGAGAAAAUGGGAACAAAAGUGCCACAUAGCCAACCAGAACCAUGCGCUUUAAGAUCUGGAAGACGAGGAGAAAGUCACGUAAGCGUGGUUACCCGAUGAGAAGCCCGUCCCGGCCUUCGGCCUCGUUAGGAUUACCCAAAAAAAAAAAAAAAAAUCCAAAAAAUCUUAAAUUUAUUGUACUUUAAUUAAUUCAAUUUUAAAUCUUUCAGUUUUAUCAAUUGAGUCUUUAAUAUUUUCACAUUUUACCUAUUUUAGUUGGAAAUUACUAAUGUGAACACCACAAUACCACGUAGGACAAUUAAUUGAAAGAUUUAGAAUUGAAUUGAUCAAAGUGCAUAAAUUUAAGAUUUUUUUUGGAUAAUUGUCCCAAAAAAACCGAAUGUUGGCGACUGUCCUAAUGCCUUUAAACUCGUUUUGCUCAUCACCGGGAGGGAAAUCAAUGUGAGAAACAAUGCCUUUUUCCAAUGGUUCCGAAGAUGAAUCUUUCUUUUCAUAUUUCUUUUGGAUCUUCUCAGCUACUCAAAUUUCAUAAUACAGCAAAUCUUACCACUAACAUAGAUCCCAUGGAGGCUUAUUUGGUCUUGAACCUUGCCAACUUUCCUUCAAAGUGUAAAAAGCUAGUUAUUAUACAAUAGUACGUCAUGGACGGUGGGUAGAAACCUGGUCGCGCUCACAUUCAUAAUUUGGUAUUCUUGUAUUACUUUACAGAUGUUAAUAAAUUAUAUAAUGUUGACGACAAAAUAGUGUUUGGGAAUUCAUUUGUUCAAGUUGUUCCUAAAUUCUUGAAUUUACGUCCUAAUUAUUAUUAUCUAAUAAUAAAUUCAUAUUAAGUUGUCUUCAUGCUGAACACUUCGUUGUUGACACCUAAAAUUUUGAUUAGGUUUAAUUAGGUCUUAAUUUCUUUUAUUUUUUAGAUAAUAAAUAAUAAAUAACAAAAACAACAAAAAAAAAUCAAUAAAAACAAAAGAAAACAAAAAAUGGCAGCUAGGCCCAGCCCCCUCCUUUUUCUCUCCCUUUCGCGGGCCCAAGCCCAGCCUCCUUCUCCUCCAAGCCCGGCUCCCUUCUCCUCUUCUUCUUCCUUCUUCUCCCUUCUUCUUCCUACGCCUCUGCAACUCACGCGCUCGAAGGCAAGCUACGACCGAGGAAGGUAGGCCGACGUCGGCCGGAGAUGACAGAUCUCAGGCGCCAUUAAUGGCCGCCUUCAAUGCCGAGCACGCUUUGUCGGAAAAGCGAGGACGGGACGCCGGUUCGGCCGCGGGUGUCCGUUCGGCGUGUGAAGACCGGCGGUCGAAUCCCCGUCGACCGGCCGCCCCCUCGCCUAUAAAUAGCGAGGCACCACCUCCGUCGAAGGAGAGACAAGAAGCCAGCAAGCUCAGAGGGGUUCCCGAGAGACUUCGGGGAGCUCAAAGAGCGAGCAAGGCGGAAAUCGGGUCGCGAGCUCAAACCGACCUCCCUCCGAGAGACUUCGGGGGAGGCCGGCGGCAAGCGAACCCGAGAGGGAAAGAUCCGGAGUGGAAGAAGCGGACGCCGAGAAGGAUCGAAGGCCGCAGAUCCUCGAAACCUCCCACUGAGAGACUUCAGAACGGGGGGCCGAGGACGAGCACGCCGAGAUCCAAGGUCGGCCGGAGAAGCGAGCGCAGAGACGCGCGGAGGAAGGAGAAAGGGAGAGGGAUCGAGGUCGCGACCCUUGGACACCCCACUGAGAGACUUCAGGGGGGCCGAGGGCUCGCGGCUUCGGAUCUGGGCUUCGCCGGAGUAGAGAGAGAGAGGGACGCCGGAGAGAGGGGUUCGCGUAAGGUCUCGCCGUCGCCGCCAUCUUCGCCCGUGUCGCGCCGUUGCCAUCGCCAUAGUUUCCCCCCUCGGCAGUCCAACCCUCGUCACUACCGUCGCUGUUGUCGCCGUCGUCGCCGUUGCCGCCGCCGCCGGCCGUCGCCGUCGUUCCCGCUGUUGUGCCUCGGCGCCGCGAUUCGGGAACCCUAGGGUUCCCGAUUUUUCGGGUCGCGACCCCGGGUUGUCGGGUAGGACCCGGAUCGGGAACCGGGUAGGGUUUCGUCGCGGAGCGGGUCGUGGACCCGGGUCGUCGGGUCGCGGGGUCGGAUCCGGGUCGGGUAGGGUUUCUGCUGGGAGCCGGGUCAUGGGGCGGGUCGUCGGGCCGGUCCGGGUGUCCCCGAACGCCCGGCCACGACGCCGUUUCAAAUUAAAAAAAAAUGAGUCGGGCCCGCGAUGCGGGCCCGUCCGCGUUUUGGGUCGUCGACCCGGGUCGGACCCAACCCGCGGAUCCGACCCGGGUCGGCUUUUUAUAUUAUUUUAUGUAAUAUUUUAAUAAAAAAAAAGAAAAAAGAAAAAUAAUUUAAAAAAUAUUAAAAAAUGUUUUAAUUUCCAGAAAAUUGAAAAAUAUUAAAAAUUGUUGAAAAAUGUUUUAUUUUCUAAAAAAUCGAAAAAAAAUCAAAAAUAUUUCAUAUUUUCCAAAAAAGCCAAAAAUUCAGAAAAAGCCAAAAAGACUUGUAUUUUUCCAAAAAAUACCAAAAAACCCCAAAAAAUCCCUUUUGUGUCCAAAAAAUUAGAAAAUGACUCAAAAAAUGUUUUUCCUCCAAAAAAUGCAUGGAAAAUCUCUCAAACAUCCAAAAAGCCUUAAGGUUUAAACAAGAUUAGGUACCGAAAGGGCAUUAGUGAUUAACUAGUGUAAUCAAGUCCCCGAUCCUAAUUUCUCUGGUUACGCAGGAGCGAGUAUUUCUCCCGAUAUUUCGCUUGGGUUUCUAAUCAACCCACCCCAAACUGAUUAGUGGCGACUCCGUUUUAAAAUUGACUUACAGGUUAAAAACUUGGACUAUUAAGUCGUGAAUUGGUGGACUUGGGAGAGUCCGGGCUUAAUAAAUUCAGCUGAGCCAUUAGCCUCCUUAGGCGCUCGUACCCGAUUGCGGGCGCCGGAAAAAAAGAGGUCGCGACAGCUUGGCGACUCCGCUGGGGACUUUGAGGACUUAGGCCAUUUUAUCUUUGUUUAAAUACUUUGCUAACUUGGGUUUUUUCUUUUGUGCAGGAUAAUAGCUUAAAGUUUUUUUAUUCUGUUUAAAUAAAAUGUUUUGUGAUUAUAAACUGCUGUGCAUCCUUAAAUGUUUUAGCACUACACAUGGCACACACAACCCGGCCGCCGGACCUGGGCCGCCAUAGGAUUUCUAGGAUGGUGUUAAGAAAGAUACGACCUCGAACGCGAGACUGCGAUGUAGAGGUUGCCUUUCUUUUCCCCGAAUUUCUUAGCCGAGGUUAGGAGGGUAUGCUGCUAACGCGAGACUGCGAUGGGCGGAUAUCCUUUUAAUCUCAACAAACCUUCUCAGUUAGAAAUCGAGCCGCACAUAUCAUGCGUAUGUCUAUGUGAUUGCCAUCAAUUUUCUCAUGUGAAGUAAGUUUUUAUUUCGUGUAAUUUACUUACCUUCCUGUAUAUAUUGAGUGGUCCAUGAUUAGUCUAGAAUUUAAUACCACGGUCAUUUAAAUUUGAAAGUAAUUGUUAUAAAGUUAAAAAAAAAAAAAAAACUUUUGCAAAAAAAAUUAUUUUCAGUUGAUGUUUUUAUUCUCAAGCAUGUUACAAAAUUCUUUUCCACAAGAAUUUUCAUUUGCCUCAAAAAGGGAUAGAAGUCUUUUUCAAAAUUUGUUACAAUUCAUGCUUUCCUCGCCUUUCAAAUUGAAUAGCCUUUUAGCCCAUGCUAGCAUGUCACAUGCCAUUUUUCAAUUCAUGCUUAGGAAAUCCUCUACCUUUUCAUGAAUAAACAAAAAUAGUAGGAUUAGGUUGUCAUCAUGGGCUGACUCCCUAUUUACGCCUUGUAUUCACACACAUUUGUUUACUCACGAACAGGGUAAUCACAGAACGUCAACGUUCGCCGAUCCAGACUCGUUCAAAAGCAAGAGCAAGAAUGGCCGAAGAAAAUGUACCAAGCCGUAUUGCGGUCAUGGAAAGUGAAAUGAAGCAAGUCUUCAAUGUGCUUCAACAACUUUCAAAGCAGAUAGACUCCAUCCAGGGCAAGCUCACUCCCGCCCCGGCCUCAAUCGAGGUAUUGUUGCCACAAUCAUCUACUAGGGGUGAUCAAGGUGGAGAUACCGACGAUAACAUACCCGAAUUGGAGGAUGAUCCGCACCCAACCAUGAUCGAGAAAGCUAGGCCAGACAGUUUGUCUAAAGCUGAGCAUGAAAAACGCCUCGAAAAGCUUGAGGAGAAGCUGAAACAACUGCAAGGCCUCCAAGAUCCUACUUUGACGGACCUCUCCAUUUAUUCCAAUGUCAAAAUGCCAGAAAAAUUCAAAAUGCCUGAGUUUGAGAAAUACGAUGGCACGACUUGUCCUAGGGCUCAUUUGCAAAUGUACUUGGUUCGAAUGACCCAAUAUGUUAAUAAUGCACCAUUAAUGAUCCAGUUGUUCCAAUCAAGUCUAAUAGGCCCUGCCUUAAGGUGGUACAUUACAAAGAACAUGAAUCUCCUCGAAACAUGGAGCGAAGUGAGUGAGGCAUUCCUCAAGCAGUAUAAGUUCAUAAUGGAUAUUACCCCUUCUCGUGAGGAUCUUGAGCGUACCGAAAAGAAAAAGCAUGAAUCGUUCAAAGAAUAUACUAUCCGAUGGAGGAAUCUGGCCGCCAAAAUCAGUCCUGAACCAACCGAUUUCGAGCUGAGAAAGAUGUUUAUCAAAACCCUCCCUUAUGAGUACCGCAAUCGAAUGGUAACCACGAUCGCCGAAUCAUUUAAUCAACUCAUUCCAGUAGGGGAGCAAAUCGAGAUAGGGUUGAGGGAUGGUUGGUUCACUGAACCUGUAUCCACGGGCAGGUUCAGCAUGAAGAAAGAUAAAGAACCCUUGGUAGAUGUCAAUGCGACCUACAAUCAUUCUCCAACAAUUCAGACAAGUGCAAGACAGCAACAGACCACCAGCCGUCAGCCAUCCCAGCGUUACAGUAACAAGAGACAAUUUACUCCUCUUCCUGGAUCUCUGUCACAGGUACUGGAAAUCCUCCGAAAGAAGAACCUCCUUUCAAUUGAGCCAAAGCGACCCAACGCUGAAAGUUUUUCCAACUAUGACCCGUCAAAGAUAUGCGACUAUCACAUGGAAGACGUGGGGCAUUCGACUGAUGAGUGUUUCGCCCUCAAGAGUCGAAUCCAGAACCUGUUAGACACUAAAGCUUUCUCAUUUCAGAGCAAUUCGCCCCCUGAUGACACCGACAAAGUAAAUGCGGUAUUCAUUUCUGAAGACAGUCAGAGCAGAAAUGUCAAAGCGCAUACUGCUGACAUUCAUCAAGGGCUGGUGAAGGCCGGGUAUUAUUCAGGCAAUGAAGUGCCACCCUUAGCAACAAAGAAAGAAGGGCCAGAUGACAUGACCACCAUGUUUGGAGACCUUUUCGUGGACACCAUCAAUGAAUGAUCGUAAAGGGAAAUGGGAGCGGGCCCACUCGAGUAGAAUUUUUUUUAAUUUCCUUUCAUAUUCCCCUACGUGGGAACUUGUACAUCUUUCUUAAGUCUGGCUUGUUUUUAUUUUCAACAUCAGUUCCUCUUGAGGAACUAACUUUUGAAAGCACUUUUCCAAGAUAUAAAUCCACCUAUUAAAUAAAGUUGAAAAUAUUUUGAGAGCAUGAGGUGGUAUCCCAAACCAGCCCGGUGAUGCUAUCCAACCAUGAAAAAAUAUAUCAUCCAAGGAGAAUACUGAGGGCUGGGCUUUCUCAUGCUUUUUCUCCCCUGAAUACAUAUUUUGAAAACAAAAAACACUUCAUCACCAAAAUCUUUCAAAAAAGAUGAUAAAUUUAAUCAUGUUUGUCUUUCUGACUCACUCACUUCAUGUCUCAGAAGAUCAUUCCCGUCCCCUCUGACUUAGUAUGAUAGGGGGUAUUUGAAGCAAACACAUUAUGUGAACUCACCGAAUUCAAUGACACCCUCCCAAGAAAGCAGGGGCAAACAGAAAGGAUCAUCACGUUUCAAAAUGGUAAGUCCUAUUCCAUGAACAUAAUGUCGAAAAUGACAUCCUCUCUCUUCCAUCUACAGGAAACGAAGGAUGGGAUGUAAUGGGCACAGGCAUAUUAUCAAACUUGAAGCAUGCAUAGCAUGAUAGCUCAAGGCAGGAUGUCCCGAGUUCAUUGACAGGACUUCCAGCUUCAACGAGCCAAGAAGCACAAAGAAGGAUUUGCUUCUCUUCCUUUAAAGUGAUUACUGUCAACAGGGAGAAAAUCUAGACAGUCAAAGCGAUCUAUAGCCCCACACCCUGGACAAUGAUGUUGGAAUCUAGAAACUUCACUCUAGACGCGCAUUCUUCCGAGGAGUAAUUGCCAUCAGAAAGCUUGAGACUUUUGAUCUCAGAUUCCAUAGAAGCUUGAGGUACAAGACUUUUGCCCAAUGAUGCUAUAGUUAAAGACAGAAGGAGAAAUUCCACAGAAGGAAGGCGUUGAAGAUGAAUCAACGACCAACAAUCAUGCAUACAUGGUCACAAAAGAGGAAGGCCAAUUGAAGGAAACAUUAAACUAUGCCAAGAUAAAGAGGCCAUCAUCGACAUUCAAAUAUCUUUAGGAGCUAGCACAUACAAGCUUUGGAGAAGAGUAAUUUGGUAUCGUUUCCAAUACUCCCCACUCUUUGAAUUCACUUUUGACAUAUUUUCUCCUAUUGACAGGAAGCAUAGGAUUCAAGAAGCAAGCUUAAUGAUUAAUUUAAUGACCCAUAUCGAUUUACUUAACUUGGUAUGAAAGCGACGUGACGUCCAGGAACCGAGUCGGUUAAAUGAAAAAAACAGCGCCCUACGAACACCGUCGGCGCCUUUAGCCGAGUGGUAUUCGGGAAGAAGCGAAAUGGUCCGAAGUCGGGGGUUCGAAUCCCCGACGCGGCAGUUAGCCGCUUGGUAAAAAAAAUAAUAAAAAAAACUUUUGCUUCUCUUGCACUUGCAAAUUACGAGAGAACAGGUGACCUAACAAAGCAAGGGACAUAGGACUUCGUGUCCCCAUCUCACUUCAAGUCCAUCCAAUCAUUUGCAAACCAGUGAAGGGUAAAGUUGUAUCGCUUCCAGUUAUUCAACUCUUGAGAGAGUUCAUGACUAACACAUUCCCUCUUGUUUGUUGCAGGAUCACCUGACUGUCAAAAGCAAGGAUAACGAAUCAAUGAGAAGCAUGUCUUGUUUGUUGCAGGAUCACUUGACCGUAAAAAAAAUGCGGAUAACAAAUCAAGGAAAGACAUGUCAAACUCUGAUAAGCUCUCCUAAGCAAAAUGACAUCCUGAGUAAUCGCCAAAGCAAAUGAUAGAAAAUCUUCAGGCCUCAACUCACAUUUGAUUUUGGCUAGACUAAUUGAUCUACUUGUACAUCUUCUCUUAUGCAGGGGCAAAAACAGAGAUGCCCGAUCAGAUUCCCAACCCCGACUGAUCAUCCGUGUGUCAUAUCCCUAAUCAAUAGGGACAACUAUCGACACCCAUUUGCGAAUAACCCUUUUGAUGUUCAAAAUUUAACAUAUUUGGAAACACCAUUAUGUUAACUCCUAAAGUUGUCAAUAGGGUCUUUUUUGAGUCAAAACCAUUCACUUGUUUUGAAGAGUUUAAACUCCAUCAUAGUCAAAAUGUUGCAUGUCAUUUCCAGAUGAAUUCUGCAUGAUGAUUUUAUCUGUCUAAGUCACUGAUUCCACUGAGGAUUAUUAGAAUAGACAGCUAAGUGAAGAAUACAAGAUUGAUUGAGCAUGCUGGAUGAGGCAUGUCAGAAUGAUGACAGGCAAGCUAUAUCCUACACACAGUCCCCCAUCUAUACACUUGUGAGAUGAGUGCAGAAGUUUCCAUGGCUGCAGGGUAAAGAGUUCUCUCGCGAAUGGUACGAUAACCAAAACAGUGAGAGGCAUUUCAUUGCUCACCCCUUUGAGCUUCUUACACUGGUGAAGUUUCUCCCAUACCCCCGUCAAGAACCACCCCACACUGGGGCAGAUUGAAGGCAAAGCAACAUCACAAGGUGAGAAGAGAGAUAGAAAUUUUCUUGCUCGCACUUGCAUCAAUCUUCGAGUGUUCUUAUUGCAUAUGAACACUCAUGUUAAUUUAAGUGCCCUAGAGUCAUGAAGAGCAAUUCUUUCUCUAUGCAUUUGUAUUCAUUGUACAACCCAAUUGAAUCUGUAAAUUCACCCUCACAUGGAGGCAAAGCAGAAGCCACUGCUGUUUGAGCAGCAUAAUUAGAAGCGCCGGCAAAAGAUGAAGACUCAAUAGUCUAACAAAGGCGUUUGCUUGAACUUGUUAAGAUUAGCUCUCAAGCAACAAAAAUGAAAAAAUAGGGGCAUAAAAAAGCAGUGUACCUGGUAAAAGUAAGGUCAAUGCCCAUAAAUGAAGAACUGGAAUAAAAAUAGGGGCAUGAAAAAAAGCAGUGUGCCUGGUAAAAGCAAGGCCAAUGUCCCCCAGUCAAAAAUGCAACCAAGAAAAUGUUGCUGUUGUGGUCCAUAGAACCUCCAUUUGACAGUGAGAAGAAAGACUGGUGACAAAUGCCAAGACAAUCACCAGCUCUCACCUUUUUACACAUGAAUCAAGUCUACAUUGCAUCCCAUUGUAAAAGUCUCUUCAGACUAGGGGCACUUCAAUUAAUGUAGGAUUUCAUAUGUGCAUAAGCAUCGCUCGAAGAAGUACGAGCAAGAUUACUCUAUCUCUUUUCGCAGGAUUCUCGACUUGCAAACCCGGAGAUGAUUGUGCGGCACUUCGUUCAUGAGCCUUGACCUCGACGGUCCCAUUUGAGCCAUUGACUAAGUCUUCAUCACAAUUUCAACAAAGACCUCUCACAUUGGUAAAGUCGUACCGUUUGCGAGAAUACUCGGACCCCUGUUGACAUGAUGACAGUGAGAUAGUGUGGUCCUUAUAAAUCCUGCAUCAAUGGUCAGGAUAGCCUUUUCCAUGAGAGUGAGCGGAAAGUCCUUUCAGACUGAAAGUCCCUCAUUUGGCAUGCUCAAGACAUCUACAUUCUAAAUGAAAGUUGUCUUUCAAAAUCUUCCCAAGUGGAAAUCAGAUGAUGCAAAACUGACAAAAUUAUCAUGCAUUAAUCCCAUUUGAACUCAUGAAUUUUCAGCAUGUACAAUCAUGUGUGCAUAUUGUGCAAAUAGCAGACAUACUCUUAGAGAUCAGAGAUAUUGCCAGGUAAGCAUAUCCCUGUCCCCAUUUGUCUUAGAGUACCUAUCACUGUCCAGGUACUCUCUUCUUGACAAUCGACCUAUUCGAGUCGUCCCUUGAGUUUGAGUGCUUGCAAUUGUCUCAGUAUCCCAUUGUCUUUGAGUACUCACCACUUGCCGGGUACUCCCUCUUAAUGACACUCGACCUGUCCGAGUUAUCCUCAGAGUAUUGAUACUUGCGACUGACCAAGUAUCCCUUUAUCGUUGAAUACCUACCACUGUCUAGGUACUCUCUUCUUGACACUCGACCUAUUCGAAUUGUCCCUUGAGUUUCGAUGCUUGCAACUGUCUUAGCAUCCCAUUGUCUUUGAGUACUGGCCACCGUCCGGAUACUCCUCUUUCCUGACACUCGACCUAUUCGAGUUGUCCCCAGAGUAUUGAUACUUGUGACUGACCAAGUAUCCUUUUAUCGUUGAAUGCCUACUGCUGUCUAGGUAUCCUUUGUCUUUGAGUACCGGCCACCGUUCGGAUACUCCCUUUUCCUGACACUCGACCUGUUCGAGUUGUCUCCAGAGUAUUGAUACUUGCGACUGACCAAGUAUCUCUUGGAAUACCUACUGCUGUCUAGGUAUCCCCAUAUUGUCAAAUACCCACCGUUGUCCAGGUACUUCCUUUUCAUGACACUCAACUUGCCCAAGUUGUCCCUAAAUAAUAUAGCAGCUGUUCAAACAUUCCACUGCUUUGUGUGCCUGCGCCUACCCAGUUAUGCUUUCUUACACUUGGACCAACUGAGUGGUCCCAGGUUGUAUCAUUAAAUACUUGUGUUCAUCCAAGUAUUCCAGUACUUUGUACACCUGUGGCUAUCCAGGUGUUCCACCCCUUUUAAGUGCCUGUGGCCAUCCAGGUAAGCCUCGUGCUACAUUCAAGUUUAUGUUACCAGGAGGUGAGAGACCUUCACGAAUAUCCCAGGUACGUCCUCGAUAUUCCCCUUUACCAGGAGGUGAGAGACCUUCACGAAUAUCCCAGGUACGUCCUCGAUAUUCCCAUUACCAGGAGGUGAGAGACCUUCAUGAAUAUGCGAGGCACGCCCUCGAUAUUCCCAAUUACCAGGAGGUGAGAGACCUUCAUGAAUAUGCGAGGCACGCCCUCGAUAUUCCCAUUUACCAGGAGGUGAGAGACCUUCACGAAUAUCCCAGGUACGCCCUCGAUAUUCCCAAUUACCAGGAGGUGAGAGACCUUCAUGAAUAUCUCAGGCACGCCCUCGAUAUUCCCAAUUACCAGGAGGUGAGAGACCUUCAUGAAUAUCUAAGGUACGUCCUCGAUAUUCCCAACUACCAGGAGGUGAGAGACCUUCAUGAAUAUGCGAGGCACGUCCUCAAUAUUCCCAAUUACCAGGAGGUGAGAGACCUUCAUGAAUAUCCAAGGUACGUCCUCGAUAUUCCCAUUUACCAGGAGGUGGGAGACCUUCAUGAAUAUGCGAGGCACGCCCUCGAUAUUCCCAUUUACCAGGAGGUGAGAGACCUUCACGAAUAUCCCAGGUACGUCCUCGAUAUUCCCCUUUACCAGAAGGUGAGAGACCUUCACGAAUAUCCUAGGUACGUCCUCGAUAUUCCCAUUACCAGGAGGUGAGAGACCUUCAUGAAUAUGCAAGACCUAUCCUUGAUAUUCCCACAUACCAGGAGGUGAGAGACCUUCACGAAUAUCUUAGGUACGUCAUCGAUAUUCCAUCUACCAAGAGUUUGUACUUGUGAUCGUCCAGGUACCCCUUCGAUACUUGUGAUCAUCCAGGUAUCCCCAAGAGUUUGUACCUGUGAUCGUCCAGGUACCCCUUCGAUGCUUGUGAUCAUCCAGGUAUCCCCAAGAGUUUGUACCUGUGAUCGUCCAGGUACCCCUUCGAUGCUUGUGAUCAUCCAAGUAUCUCCAAAGAUUUUGUACCUGUGAUCGUCCAGGUACCCCUUCGAUGCUUGUGAUCAUCCAAGUAUCUCCAAAGAGUUUGUACCUGUGAUCGUCCAGGUACCCCUUCGAUGCUUGUGAUCAUCCAAGUAUCCCCAAGAGUUUGUACCUGUGAUCGUCCAGGUACCCCUUCGAUACUUGUGAUCAUCCAAGUAUCCCCCAAGAGUUUGUACUUGUGAUCAUCCAAGUACUAUCUCCCAACAAACAGAUGCCCUGAGAAAGGUCGGCGCAUCUCUCGUCAAGGCGACCGAAGAAAGGUUUGGGUCCUAGACAAACCAACUUAUUGCUCCAACAGGCGACCGAAGAAAGGUUCGGGUCCUGGAAAAGCAAUUCCCCGUCAAGGCGACCGAAGAAAGGUUCGGGUCCUAGACAAACCACUUAUUGCUCCAAUAGGCGACCGAAGAAUGGUUCGGGUCCUAGAGAAGCAAUCUCCUCAUGCAACAGGUAAGAUGACGCCUUGAUACUUGCCAAAACUCGGGGUUCACACCCUAUCUCACUCACUCCCGGUAAGUAACUAUAGGUAUCUUCUUAUUUGUCUUAGUAUGUGUAAUGUUAUAUUGCUCAUUUUCUGCAUAGGACACUAGGUCCUAAAUAUGAUACAAUCUAUUCGCAUAUGUAUAGACAAAAUUUAGGUAUCAAGUUUGUCUUUGAAUGCAACCUCUGCGAACUCACCUUCAAAGAGGGGCAGCUGUUGACACCUAAAAUUUUGAUUAGGUUUAAUUAGGUCUUAAUUUCUUUUAUUUUUUAGAUAAUAAAUAAUAAAUAACAAAAACAACAAAAAAAAUAAAAACAAAAGAAAACAAAAAAUGGCAGCUAGGUCCAGCCCCCUCCUUUUUCUCUCCCUUUCGCGGGCCCAAGCCCAGCCUCCUUCUCCUCCAAGCCCGGCCCCCUUCUCCUCUUCUUCUUCCUUCUUCUCCCUUCUUCUUCCUACGCCUCUGCAACUCACGCGCUCGAAGGCAAGCUACGACCGAGGAAGGUAGGCCGACGUCGGCCGGAGAUGACAGAUCUCAGGCGCCAUUAAUGGCCGCCUUCAAUGCCGAGCACGCUUUGUCGGAAAAGCGAGGACGGGACGCCGGUUCGGCCGCGGGUGUCCGUUCGGCGUGUGAAGACCGGCGGUCGAAUCCCCGUCGACCGGCCGCCCCCUCGCCUAUAAAUAGCGAGGCACCACCUCCGUCGAAGGAGAGACAAGAAGCCAGCAAGCUCAGAGGGGUUCCCGAGAGACUUCGGGGAGCUCAAAGAGCGAGCAAGGCGGAAAUCGGGUCGCGAGCUCAAACCGACCUCCCUCCGAGAGACUUCGGGGGAGGUCGGCGGCAAGCGAACCCGAGAGGGAAAGAUCCGGAGUGGAAGAAGCGGACGCCGAGAAGGAUCGAAGGCCGCAGAUCCUCGAAACCUCCCACUGAGAGACUUCAGAACGGGGGGCCGAGGACGAGCACGCCGAGAUCCAAGGUCGGCCGGAGAAGCGAGCGCAGAGACGCGCGGAGGAAGGAGAAAGGGAGAGGGAUCGAGGUCGCGACCCUUGGACACCCCACUGAGAGACUUCAGGGGGGCCGAGGGCUUGCGGCUUCGGAUCUGGGCUUCGCCGGAGUAGAGAGAGAGAGGGACGCCGGAGAGAGGGGUUCGCGUAAGGUCUCGCCGUCGCCGCCAUCUUCGCCCGUGUCGCGCCGUUGCCAAGCAGGUAUCGCUCUGUCGCCGUCGCCGUUGCCAUCGCCAUAGUUUCCCCCCUCCGCAGUCCAACCCUCGUCACUACCGUCGCUGUUGUCGCCGUCGUCGCCGUUGCCGCCGCCGCCGCCGUCGCCGUCGUUCCCGCUGUUGUGCCUCGGCGCCGCGAUUCGGGAACCCUAGGGUUCCCGAUUUUUCGGGUCGCGACCCCGGGUUGUCGGGUCGGACCCGGAUCGGGAACCGGGUAGGGUUUCGUCGCGGAGCGGGUCGUGGACCCGGGUUGUCGGGUCGCGGGGUCGGAUCCGGGUCGGGUAGGGUUUCUGCUGGGAGCCGGGUCAUGGGGCGGGUCGUCGGGCCGGUCCGGGUGUCCCCGAACGCCCGGCCACGACGCCGUUUCAAAUUAAAAAAAAAUGAGUCGGGCCCGUCCGCGUUUUGGGUCGUCGACCCGGGUCGGACCCAACCCGCGGAUCCGACCCGGGUCGGCUUUUUAUAUUAUUUUAUGUAAUAUUUUAAUAAAAAAAAAAAGAAAAAAGAAAAAUAAUUUAAAAAAUAUUAAAAAAUGUUUUAAUUUCCAGAAAAUUGAAAAAUAUUAAAAAUUGUUGAAAAAUGUUUUAUUUUCUAAAAAAUCGAAAAAAAAUCAAAAAUAUUUCAUAUUUUCCAAAAAAGCCAAAAAUUCAGAAAAAGCCAAAAAGACUUGUAUUUUUCCAAAAAAUACCAAAAAACCCCAAAAAAUCCCUUUUGUGUCCAAAAAAUUAGAAAAUGACUCAAAAAAUGUUUUUCCUCCAAAAAAUGCAUGGAAAAUCUCUCAAACAUCCAAAAAGCCUUAAGGUUUAAACAAGAUUAGGUACCGAAAGGGCAUUAGUGAUUAACUAGUGUAAUCAAGUCCCCGAUCCUAAUUUCUUUGGUUACGCAGGAGCGAGUAUUUCUCCCGAUAUUUCGCUUGGGUUUCUAAUCAACCCACCCCAAACUGAUUAGUGGCGACUCCGUUUUAAAAUUGACUUACAGGUUAAAAACUUGGACUAUUAAGUCGUGAAUUGGUGGACUUGGGAGAGUCCGGGCUUAAUAAAUUCAGCUGAGCCAUUAGCCUCCUUAGGCGCUCGUACCCGAUUGCGGGCGCCGGAAAAAAAGAGGUCGCGACAGCGUACAUCAAUUUUUUUUUAAUCAUUAAGCCGCUCUUUUUUAUCUGGUAAAGAUAUCACGAUUACUUUAUCUCUAAUUAUGGAAACUUCACGUUUGCUCUUUUCUAGAAUGUCAAUAUUAUGACUAGGCUAAAUAGUUUUAUUCAAGCCUAACUUAUUGAAAAAAGAUUAAGCUGUGUCCUCUUUAAUUAGAGUUAGCUCAUGAAUCAGGCAAUUUGGGCUAAAAGGACUAGGUCCCUUCGAAUUCCCUUCGAAUGAGAAUAGUGAGAAGAAGGAUGAUAACAUUGACACGGUCUGAAAAGAUAUGAAAAUGAAAAUGUCGAUAAUAGAUGGAAUACAUAGCUUGGGGAGUUAAGUAGAAAAAAAAAUCUCACCCUCACAAAGCAUCUUCUUCUUACCUUUGUCGUCUUUUUCAUCGGAACAAGCCGACCAUGGUAAGUUGAGUCCAUCUACAUUUCUAUGAUGUAAAAUUGUACCGUAUAUCAUAAACUAUUAAGAGUUAGACGACAAUGAUUGAUUAAAAAAAAAAGUCAAAUAAAUAGCAAAUAUUAACCAAUGAAAUUUAAAAAUUAUUUUGAAUUUUAGUGGUGACUCGAAAAAGCACUUUUGGCCCCUCUGAAUGAAUAUAGAAUCCUUGAUAGAUGUUAUGGGAAGAUCCAGCGAUAAACGAGGGGGGGUCCUGGCUGCGCUUGCUCCGUCCCACACUCCUUCUCAUGGACACACUCUUUUAUUGUUUAGCAAUUCUAUUUUCUUUCCUUCAAAUACACUUAUCUUUAUUUCAAAUUUCAGCUACAUAAAAUGACGUUUAAGUCAUAAUUCAUUAUUUUAUGCUCCUUUCUCCCGCUAGCAUCCGAACAAUAAUAUAACACAAUGCCUCUAUUUCCUUCACCUUCUUUUGUCUCGUGAUUAUUUGAAUAAUUUCUUUUCCUUUCUAAUUAAUUACCUCUUAAUGAUAGAGUGUAACUGAUCUAGUCUUGUUUCCAUUCGGCAGAUGAUUAGGAGGGGAAGAACAUGAGACGUCUGAUGAGUGCGAGCUUUCUAAUGAUGAAGAUUCAUUGCUUGAAGAUUAUGAGGAGCACUCAACAACUUUUGCAAUAGUCUAUUGGUCAUUUCCUGCGGAACCUUCUCUGCUGCGGGAUGUCAUACUCAGUUUGCUAGUAACUUCACGGGCCGAUAGAGAGAUCCAAAGGUAUGAAAGGAUCUAUAUAUUUCAUGAAGUAAUUAAUGGUUUGCAGUUCAUGUUUGUCUGGUCGUGUGUCGUAUUAAGUGUCAUGGGCUCUAUCUAGAGAGUAGCCAAGUAAUGCUCAAUCUUAUAUUUUAGCGAUGCUGUGCAACCUCCAAAGCCGAUCUCCCUUAAUUGGUGGUAUAAGGCACGGUAAUGCUAGUAGUAGAAGUAUUUAUCUUUAAAACAGUCAAAUCAUGUUACCUUUUGAGUUUUCAGUUGUACUUUGAUGUGGUUGGAUUUUCGGCAACUGGGCUUUUAUGGUGGAACUGAUGCUGCUCUAGUGUUAAGUUUAAGUUAUGUACCAUGUGAAGAAUUGUUCGGUGCUCCAGAAAGAACUAAUAUCUAAAUUUAAUUUUCUUUUGUAUAUGGCCAGUUAUUAUCAAGUAUGCUGGAGCUAAAACACCCCAUUCUCUUGUUUUAAGCAGAUGACGAAUGUAUAAGUUUAUGAGCCAUCUCGCGUGUGCCUAUUGUAAAAGGAAGCUAAUGUUUGUCAAUCGAAGUUCUUAUAUUGCAAAUUUUACCAGGCAGUUCCUGCGUGAUCGGGUUAUUAGCUAUGUAGCACCGAUAUGCGACACGACACGACAUGACACGCGAUACGUCAUUUCUCAAAAAAUAGAGAUUUCCGACACGUUAAAUAUUAAAUAAAUAUUUUCAUAUAUACAUAUGAUUAUUUCAAAAAUAAAGAGUAGAGUCAAUUUAUUUAAAUAAAUUUAUAAUUUUUUAUGGUGAUCAUAAUUUAUUAUUAUUCAAUAUUAUUUAUCUUUUUUAUUUUUUGAAAUCACCCUCCACCCUCUCCCUCCAAAACAGAAAAGAAAAAAAGAACAAAUCCCGCCCAGAGCAUCCCAUUUUAAUUUUUUUUGGCUCUUCAUGGCACCAUUAUUUUUUAUUUUUAUUUUUCCUGCUCUUCCUUGAAAACCCAAACGCUAGCUACCUAUUAUUUCUCCUAGGCGUCUCCUCCUUGCACACGAUACCUCAUUUUAAAAUUUUUUUCUGCCCUCCUUGGAAACCAAACCUAGUUGCCUCAUCCUCCUUUGACUCCUCCUUUACGGCACCCCCCUCCUUGGAAACUAAAUCGUAGCCUCCUACUCUUUCUGUGCUCAUCCUCCUUGCACGGCACCCAUUCUUUAUCUUUUAGAAACCCUUCAAGAGCAGGCUUGAAAACUCUCUGAAAACGGCCGCUCCCUCCUCCAUUGCACGAUCCUCUUCCUCUCAAUCCCUACUCUCUCUUGGUCACCUCGUUGCAGUUGCUCGCUGCCUUGCCUCUAGUCCUCUCUCUUUUGCGAUCGUAGCCUUGUUUCCGGUUCUCUGUCGCGGCAAUCUCAGUCGCCUGGUUCUCUCUUCCUCCAGCCUUCUCUCACCGUCGCGGCCUCACCGUCGCGGCCUCACUGCUGCUGCCUCGCCUCCGCAGCCUUGCUUCCUCUCCCUCACCUCGUCUUCACCCUCCAUCGCCAACGAUUCACUCUCCCUUCACGCUUGCAGAUCCGCUCUAGAAACCCAGCCUCUUGCUCGGACACGCUCCGACUCGCGUGUCGAGAAGAGUUGACCACGUGUCGAAAAAUCCGACCCGUGUUGACCGCGUGUCCGAGCGUGUCGGACACGCCGACACGUGUCCGACACGACACGGAAGGUUCCCGAGCGUGUCCGUGCUUCAUAGGUUAUUAGUUCCACAUUCAUCCUUGAGCCCUAGGUUUGCUCAAGUCCGCCUUAGCUUCGGGACCAUGUUGAACAUUUUCCUGAUUUUUAUGGCUUGUAUUGCUACACAAGGCAUUUGGUUGUUUUGAGUUUCUUGUAGCUAUCACAGUCAGCACCAACCAACUUUGGUCGGUGCAUAGGAUAUGUUUUGUUUGAGGACCACCAAUAUGUUUGCACGUAGAGACAAAUUCCCAUGCUGACGAUGGGCAUCUUAGGCCCCACUUUCCUGGAAUUCAAUAUCUAAGCGAGCACAACAAAGAUUGAACUAAGUCACUGUCUAUACGAAGUUUCUUUCUUGCUCUUAGGUGAUUAUAUUAGUGCUGUUGCAACAAGCCCAGUGUGUCCGCUGGAUAUGGCCUUAGGAGAAAAUCAGAUUGCGGGGUUUAGGAGGCGCCACCAUCCGUAUUAUCUCCAACCAAUACCUUUAGCACCAUAUUAUUAGUUCACCUCUAAAAAUCAGUAUCUCAGCGAAUAUACAAUUCAACGAGCUGCAACACUUGACCCGCAUAAAGAAAUUUUGGAUUAUUUGUUUGUGUGUGUGACCAUAAGCACGCGUCAAGAUGAUCUAAAUCAAUAAAAACCAACAGAUGAUUACGUUCUACUGCGCGGCAGGAUCUUGGUCAAUUUGACGUAGCCUCAGUGAAGUGGCAUCUGGAUUUGUUUAGGCAUGGGUAUGAGUUUAAGUUUUGCUAGAAUAACAGACUUUGGAUUAUUAUGAGAAUAACAGCUUGUUGUUUGUCACGAAUUCUUGAAGGAGUGAGCCCCACAACAAUUUAUAAUUAUAUGUUAUUUGAUUUUUCAUGGUCCGGAAUAGACUGUUAUUUUAAGAGUAGAUUAAAAACCGUCACAAAAUCAUUUCUCUAUAAGUUUUCAGAUUGAAUCGGGGGAAAUGUUAAAUUGGUGUUAGUUAAGGAUGGGAUCGACAACAAACUGGUUAAAAGAAGCUCAUAACGGCUUGUCUAAAUUGGGAUUAUAUGUUCACUUCUGUUAUUCAAACUGAUAGAUCGGCCCUAGUAACUCAAGGAUCACUGUGUAUUUGGCUAAUGGAUCAAGAAUUAGUCUCAUGAAAUCUAUAUUGUCGUCCAUAGAAUUAGAAAAUUGCUUCUAUUAAACUUCAUUUACUAAAAUACGACCAUCUCAAUCCAAGAUUAACAAUCACCUCAUGCUUAAUUGGGAUUGGAAAUCUUCAUUAGUGUCAUAAAGAAAAGUUGAUCACAAUAAGGUUUUCAUGGUACACACACAAUGCAAUUCCCAUCUUGUUACUAAAAGCAAGAUGACAUAUCAAGUCGUGUCAGUUUAAAGAUAGUUAUAUUAUUUUGGAUUCAAAUUCCUCUUAGUAAAUUUGUAUCAUUCUUUUUCUUGACAAUACCCUCUUUUGCUUUCAAUAAAUUUAUGUCUUGCUUGACUCACUUGAAAGAAUAAAAGGCUCCAUAGAAGUGGGGCAGGACUUGGAAAAUAAGUUCAAGUGAACAGGUGCACCUGGAACGGGUAUGUGAGAUUUGCUAAGCUUAAACAACUCCAAAUAUUAAUGCCGUUGACUGUACAGUUUUUCUCCGCGCACACAAGAAAAAAUUAGCCCAACAAUGAUUUCCGAUUCAAUCAAGCACUGACUAAACCGCUCAUAAAAGUAAAAAGCUGUACAUGCACUAAAUUAAUUCAUAUAAUUCUUUAUUUUAUGCUCGGCCUUCUCUUUCGCUUGUUGAGUCACGGACCCUUGCAUUUCAUAUAUGAUCUUUUUUUUUUUUUCUUUUUGAGUGAUAUAAAAUGAACAAAGAGAGUUCAUAUGUUUUAAGGAUUUAAGUUCACAAAAAGAUUCAAUUUUCACAUGAGCUUUCACUAGGAGAGUGUCGGAGAGUGUUUCGAAGCUGACAUGACGUAUUCAUUAUCAAAAAUUCCAUCCAUUCUGCAGUUUUGCAACAUUCUUUUCGUUUCAUUUUCCCUCUCAUCCUCGUGGACUUCAAUUCGGGGGGAAUCCGUCGUUUCGCUCGCUGUGGAGAGGAGAAGAAUUCGCGAUUUGCUCAUGGAAGAUUGUGAAGUUCUCCCGAGCGCCGGGAGGGGAAAAGGUGAAGGGCGAAGGGCACGUGAGGGGAGUUGGAGCGAAUUCUAUGCUUCUCCAAAAAGACGCUGGAUGGGAGGCAUACGAAGAAAUGAGAGUCGUCGCUCGUGGCGGUGAAAUCGUCGCCAUGAAAGCUGCAAUGGAAAGGGCAGAAGAUCCGAGCGCUUCGUAGCGCUGGUCAGAUGUCUGACGAAAUGCGCGGGCGAGAGUAGAAACUGGGGUGGCUAAUAGCCAAAAUCGGCAUGUUGCUUGCGGAAUGAGUAAUUCAAUUCUUUGUAUAUCUAAAGAUUCUUUUCUAUGUAUGCCUACUUUAUUCUUUCCCUUUGGAUACACAGAGGUGAAGUUGCUGGAGGUAGCGAGAAAGCAAAUGAUUAUGUGUCGAUUGGCGACGCACGGCAAAUGCUGCUGUUCUCCUGCGAUGAGGGAAUUUUAGCUUUCUCUACUCGGAAUUCUGUUUUUAAUUUCACUAAUCUACUCAGAUGGAUAAUAUACUCUCCAGAAUCAGUUCAGACCUUCGGAAGCGUCUCUCAUAAAUUGACUAAUGGACCCUCGCCUCUCGGUGACCGCAAUUGUCUUCAUUGGUCAAAGAGUCAGAAAGCAUUGAAAUAGUCGUUGCACAGCCGCGGGUCAUGCUUACUCUUGAUUGUUGGUAUUCGGAAGCCAUCUUUUAAGAUCGAUUCGGACGAGUCGCGUAGGAGAAUCGUGUCGGAUCUUUCUUUUCCCCUAUAUUUUCUCCUAGACUCCAGAUUGGGCUCUGUGAACAUGAGAUUCUGCUUUCUACAUUUGCUGCAUAAAGCCCUCAGGACAGCGCAGAAUCGAUUAUUCUGGGGCUUACAAUUUCAUCGAGUCUUGCAUGAUAGAUGAUUUGGCCUCCGCGUGGUUAAAUCGUCGCUAAAUGCUGUUGCCCGACUAUGAUAAUUGAUGUUCUUCCUACUGGGAAAGAACAAUGAAAGUCAUUAUUGAUUGACUCAUAGCUGUUGGGUUGCGACAAUCAUUGACAAAUCAUAUAUUACGAUGAUGUAUCAUAAAAGUCUAAUAAGGAAUUCCCAACCACCCAAAAUGUUCCAAAUUCAUGACUUUUUAUGUCGUGUUCAUUCCAUUAUUUUCUCAAAUGACUUGCUUUUUCUUGUUUCUCUUCAAGUAGGCGCUUCUGCUCCAAAGCGCACGUUUCGUUUCCAUCUUUACCAUGAAAUCUUGCUCGAUCUUCAAGAUGACGAUGUUAAUAAAAAGUUGACAAAUGCAAAGAUUUUGCCACCUCACUUUUAAUUGCGUUUACAGGAUCUUUGGCAAAACCUCACUUUCAUUGGAUUUGCAUGCACAGCUAGAGUAGGCCUAUUUUUUUAUUAAAUGUCAUUUGGUAGCUGAAUUGAAUGUGUAAGCCCCGCAUCACCCGACUUCCUAAAAAAGUCCAUUGUGUCUUGUACAAAUUGAUUAUAUCCCAAAAAAAAAAAAGAUCACUUUAUUGACAACUAAAUUAAGCACAACUAUCCAUUGACGAUGCCAUUUUACAUAAUUGGUACCAAAUAAAUUUUCAGAUGAAUGCAAAUUGAGUUGAGAAUUUGACUGAAUCCAUAUUUUAAAUGUGAUAGAUCUACCCAGUGUAGGCUAAUGAAUGAAAUCAAACCCAUCCUUGAGUUCAAAUCAAGCCUGACAAAUUUGGGUGAAGUAUUAAACCGAAUUCAUCAGUGAGCAAGUUAGGUGGGACUCCCAACGAGUUUAAUGGCGAUGCCAUUAUCAUUUACCAGCUCAUCACAUGAUUUUAAUGUAGGCAAAAAGCAAGUUAGUCUUUUAUUUUAAGUGAACGAAGUCUUUUCUAUUUUUCAAUUUUUUUCCCCUAUACUAAUUUAGUGUGGCUCAAAUGAUAAAAUACUCGAGCUAAAAGCACCAGACAGUUGAUGCAUGUUGGCUGCAUAGAGGAUUGACUUCUAUGUAGUACCAAAUGCCAAACCGACAUAGCAUCAUUCACACAAGAAGAAUGUUAAUGUUUUCAAUGGACGAGAGUGAAUGAAAAUUACAGUAGUUCCCACUCCUGAGCAGAUAUUACACUUGAUCUUUGCAAAAGAAUAACUUGAAAAACCCCUUCUCACGUCUCAUGCCCCGUAUAAAUAUCGGGAGAUGAGAUAACUAGUAAGCGGAAUGAACGGGAGCGGAGAUUGGAUCCGUGAGAAUUUACCUUUAUGCUAGAUAUGUAAAACCUUAGAUUAUUAGAUGGAAGAAAAUGCUCAUACAUUACAGGCUUAUGGGCAAAAUAGCGAUUAAGAAUUAUUGGGAUAUUAUUGUUACUGGACGUCUCACUUUUGUGGUGUUCAGUUUGGGUGCGCGUUGCUUUCAGUACUUAAUCCCAAAAAACUCAGCGCCUUGCUUGUCCUUGUUAGGAUGGUGCAGCCUUCAUCAUACCCCAAUUAUUGCUCUCCCCAACAGAGACACUCAAACAACCUUGUGACAGAAGCAAAAGGCACAAAUCACUAUGACACUUGGUGGUGAUCCAUUUCUGCAAGAUGAUUUUUCUACUCUCUCUCCCCCUCUCUCAAUAUCUAAGGUGAAGAUCACUAAUUUUGGUUAUGGCCUUUUGGAUAUCUUUCUUUGCUUUUCCUUAUCAGAGAAUGUUAGGGAGCUGAAAGGAGGCUUGGGACUGUGUUGCAGUAGAUAAAAAGGAGGUAACGUCAGCUUCGUAUUCUUCGCAUAUGCUUUUUGCUCUCCUGUUGAGAUUUUUUUGUCUGGUUCUUUUUGGACCUGCGGUUUGGCAAUGCUCUGUGUGAUCCGUGAAUUGACAAAACAAGAAGAAAUGCUUCCAUUGGCAAUAACUGUUGUCGGCGGCACAUGGAGAACUCUGUGAGCAUUGCAAUAUCUCAGGAUUUUAGCCUUGGCUUUGUUGGAAGGAAAUGGUCGAGAUAAGAAUAGGGAAAGAACGUCAAGAAGAAGAAAAUACGUCGUGGAAAUACAUAAUGAUAGUCAGUGCCCAAGGGUGUGAAGUUGAAUCUGAUUGCUUUAUCUUCACUAUAACAGGUGAAAAUACUCUGAACUUUGGUAUGAUGGAUGCUUGCCAAUCACCUCCUUCAUUUUCCUCCCCUCAAGGAGCUUCGCAUUAUGAUGAGCUCUCCAUGAAAGAGAGUUUGAUCUUUUCAGAUAGCCUGAAGGUACAUAACUACUAGUUACUUUUUCUGGAUUUACCUUAAAAUUCGAUUGAUGUUCCUCUAUUUUUUUUCGCCUAUUAGAUGAUCAAAUUCCUCAUGAUCUAGUUUACAUCAUGUUCGAAUUUCAGGGUGAAAGGGUUUGGUUUUGUCUUGCAUGCUAAUCAUAAGCUUUUCUCUAAUCAGGACUUGAAGGAUCUUAGCAAGCAGUUAUACUCAGCAGCUCAAUAUUUUGAAUUAUCUUACAAUGUACAAGAUCAUAAACAAAUGUGAGAUGCAUAGGUUUAUAAUUCAUCAUAGUGCACCAGCUUGAGCAUUUAUUUAUGUUGCGCAUCUCUUUGUUGACCUUGUCAAUACUGUAGAGUGGUGAACACGCUCAGAGAUUAUACAACUAAAGCUUUCAUCAACACUGUGGAUCACUUGGGCUCCAUGACUUAUAAGGUCAAUAGUCUCCUGGAUGACAAGAUUGGGGAAGCUUCUGCAAUUGAGCUUAGAUUCUCUUGUGUUCAACAGGUGUGCCAUAUAAUUAAGUUUUCUUUGUAUUGUAGCGUUAGGAAUGAGAAGGGCUUGCGUACCCUAUGAUCUACCAUGUCCAGGGUCUAAUAAAUUGCAACUUACCAAGAAGAAUUAAGUUCUUGAUACCGUGAAAUCACUCCAAAUAAACUACAUGACUUGCCGUAUUAUAUUACAAUGUAACAAACUAAUUGGCAGAGCAAAAUAUAUUCUGAAUAGUAUAGUGUAUCUUGCUUCAACAAUAAUAUGGAAAAUGGCAUAGAGAACAACUAUCUCUUAUAUUGUUGACUCAUUUUUCUUAGAUAACGAAUAUAAUCUUCAACCCUAUUUUUGUGUUUUAGAGACAACGAAUGUGUGAGCUGUUCAUGGACCACGGAGGCCUAUCUCAACAGUCGCUAGCAAUAAGAACUCCAAAGCACCACAUGCGAUAUAUCCUACCAGGCAUGCUUCCCUUCACAAGAUUUUUCAUUGGUUUAUUAAGACCAAAAUAUCGAAGUUGGUUCAAGCUUAAGAACUUUCUUUCAGUUUCAAAAGCUAAAGACGGUGGAGACAACAAAAAUCUGCGAUAUUGCAUGACAAAUGAAGUAAAUGGCGAAAUAUCAGCAGGUGAACAUUGUAUGACUCUUUUUCUGGUUUAGCUACCACUGUGCACAUUUCACGGAACGAGAUUGGCCUAUUAGAUGUAAAAAGUUCAUGAGUCAUAGAAGUAGCUGUUCUCUCGCUCAUUGCAAGUGUUCAACUUAUUCCAUCAAAAAGCAGAAUAUCAAAUGCUACUACUGACGUACUAAUAACUUUUUUCUUUCUUUCCAAAGAAGUAUAUACGAGAAAUAUAGAGACUUCUGCAUCAACCGUCAGGUAACUUUUGACUGAAUUUAUGCUAAUCAAUAUAGUUCCGGAAAGACCUGAUGCUGACAAUGGAACCCUGAUGCAGGAGACGGCAUUUGGCAACACAAUUUCCACAAUCCUCCCGAACGGGCCCCUUUUCAUUCGCAAGUACCUUGUCCAACAAACAAGCAGGUCGGUACACUUGACUUGAAUACUCCAAAUUGGGGGUUUGAGAGCGCCCAGGCUUUCGUAUUCUAAGUGUCAAAAUUCUAUUUUAGCUCACUUGAAUGCUACAAAUUUGAAAAAUCAAUCAUUUAAGUGUCAAUUCCAAUUUAACUCAUCAAAAAAUUUGACAUAGAUGGCAGACAUCUGAUAUGACUUCGCUGGUGCUAACAUAAAUAAUUUUAAAAUAUUUUAUUACUAUUAUUAUUAUUUGGACUUUUUUUUUGGGGGGGCAAGCAAGAGUCACCAACUGCAAAAUCCUAGCCCAAUUUGGGCAAGGGCUACCUCACCCUUGGCCGCAAAGGCCCUAGGUGAGGUCACCGAGGCCUCAUUGGCCACUGCGUUGGCGAGACUACAAGGGCCCUUGCCCAGGGCCUUCGUGGCUAGAUCUGGGUGAGGGCCACCUCGUCCUUGUCAUGAAGGCCCUAGGCAAGGGCGUAACGUCCUCACUAGCCGCUAGCGACAUUGCCCAGAGUUGGCGGGGCUCUCACAACCUCACCUAGGACUUCACAGCCAAUGGCAAGGGUUUCACAACCAACGAGGGUCGUUGGUGACCCUCAUGGCAAGAAAAAAAAUUCAAAAUAAAAAUAAAAACUCAAUUUUUAAAAAAUUCAAAAAAAUAAAUAAAUUCCAUGUAAUGAUUUACUAUAAUUGACAUUCAAGUAAUUUAUUUUACUCUGAUAUGACACUCAAGUGAGUGAAAAAAAAAAAAAAUUUACACUCCUAGUAUUCUUACCCCCUUCAGAUUGCCAUGCAUAGCAUUUAGAUUAUGUUUUCAUGCCCUGUGAUUGUAUCAUGUAUCAUGUAGUCAGACAAGCUACUAAUGCAAGCUGCGCUUUUUCUAACCAGAAAAACGCAGCUCCCCAUUUCUAUUUCAACUCACACGUUCAAGUUCUCAGGCCGAUAAAUCCACAUCUCCAAACCCUUCUAACGCCAAAAAACGAGUAAGCAUCAAUGAAAUUAAGUGCAGCUUAUCUAUUAAACUUUAUUUUUUGUUGGACAUGUCUUGCGGACAUGACCUCUCAUGGCGGAGUCUCUUAAUAUGCCCAUAUGAACAUCCAGUACCCAUCAGAACCCCGAAGAUCCACUUCAAUGUCUACUCAUGUUGAGAGGAACAGAAGAACUGACAUCGAGCUGUAUUCCAGCAAAAACAAAAGUCUCUUCAAGGCCUUGCUUAGCAUGCGGAAGUCAAGAAAGGACAGCAAGUUGUACAAGUUCCUGGACGAGAAAUAAGAAGGGAUAAAGGAAACCGGAUAGAACCACAUGAGUUUCUUUGCAUCAAAAGUGUACCUAAAUAUGUUGAAGAUCACUGGAAAUACAUUGAUUAUGUCGUAUAACUAAAAACGUUUCAGAUCAGACAGCUGCAAAUGAAUUUGGCACCAGAACGCUCCACAUAAAAACAGGAGCUCAACUGUACAGAUUUCAUGUGUGACAAGCAGAAGAUUCUUGCGCACUCCAUCCAGAUGCUUGACAGUAGCAAUAUUGUUGAUUGAGCAAUGGAUAUGGUUCAAAAUCCAAGAUAAAAACUGGGACACUCAGCCUUCACUUUCAAUGGAUCUCUAUCUCCUUCAGGGUCCAUUCUUUUAUCACUAGCAUCACCGUGAGAACCAUGUGAAAGCAAUGCUUCAGAAACAAGAUUGUCGCUGCAGCACUUGGGGUCAGCUCGCCCAUGAGAAGGCUGCAAACGUUAAUUGCAGCAGAUGUGCAUGUUAGUCAUACAAAGCUCAGUGAAAUUGAGAAUGUCCUCAAGGUAAAUAAAGAACUAGAUUUUGGACAGGGAUGCAUUAGAGAAUUCAAGCAGGGCCUCAUGCAUCUAGUUUGAACAUUCCCUGCAAGCAGUUGCUACCUGCUGCUAAUUUAAUUCAGCUUGUCCAAUAGUUUGGACGAAAGAGUUACAUCAAACAUCAAAACUCAUUAAGUUCUGAGGGAAUUUCCAGAUGCUUAGAGUGACAAUCUUGCCACAGAUGGGUCAAAAUAGAGCUGAAAGAAUCUAUUACUGAAAAUAGAGCAGGACAAGUAGCUGUGAAAUACCUGUGAGUUGCCAAUUGCAAAGUCCCCCAUCAAGUAAGAUUCAUUGAAUUCAGAGGCUAAUUCUGAUAUAUUUUACAAUGUCAGAUGAUGAAACAUAUAUUACAACAAAGCUAACACUAAAACUAAAAGAAUGCUGGGGUGAGUUAGAUUGCACUAAACCAACCUUUAGACUUCAUUAGACCAGGUAACUUUUCAUUGUUGGUGGUAUCAGUCAGAUUUCCAGUGUCCACAUUCUCCACCAAAGCCAGCUCAGGAGCUGGUGCUCUUUGUCUUUGAGCUCUAUCACAAAACUCAUCUGGAUCCUGAAGCUCCUUCGUUAGGGAAGCAAAAGUUGCCUUCCUUUCAUAUGAAUUUUCAGCAAUGGCAACUUGAUCUAAUGGUUUUCGCAGUACAGAUAGUAUUUGACAGGCUGCAUCGAUUUGAUUGCAAGAGAUCAUUUGCAAGCUAUAGUAACACACAUAGGUUCCUCCAAUAAACAUGAGAAGGUUCCUCCAAUAAACAUGAGAACUAACUAUCAAAGAAAUGCAAAAUGAAGUGAGUGAUGCAUCAAAAUCAAUAAAACCAAUCCCAAGCUUAAUUGAUGACAUUCUCUUUCUAGAGCAGGCCCAUGAAACAAUCUAUCGAUUUUGCGGGCUUUACAAAGCUUACUGUAAAUUACUUGAUGCACCUGAACAAGAUAAAAUUAUUUUCAUUGUGCCUAAAUCUAACUACACAUGUGAAAGAUAGUAACAUCAAAAGGCAGAAGAUAAUUCUAAUAUAGAGAAAUUUCUCCAUAGAGUAAUCACCAUCACGAAGAGGCUUGGUCUCGGAAACUCUCUUGAUGCAAUCUGUGCUUUUCAUACCAGAUAUUCCACUGUUUGAAUCCGAAUCUCUUGCUGGAUGGACCUUCCCCGAACUUUUGUCUCCAUGUUUAUGCCAGGGUACUGUAAUAUCCAAAGGUCAAGCGUUAGGCAUCAAAUAAUUGAGGCACAUAGAAUUAAUAUCUAUAAAAGAAAGAAUUAGAUGUUCCAAUUCUGAAACAUCUUGAGAUGACCAUAUCAGGUGUACAAUCCUCCUCAUAUAAGUGCCCCUACUUGGUUAGGAAGGUAGCAACUUUCUCUUAACAUGUUCUUUCAACAUAUUCAUUUCCAAUUGUAUCUUAACACCCACAGAUCCACAUAAAUAACCUCCUUAGUACUUCACUAGGACAUAGCUAGUAAACAGGAUGCAUCAAGGAAAACUACAUCUACAAUGAAGUUAUUGAAACAUCUAAAUAGCAUUGGCUGAAUCAAUAAUGCUGCAAACCUCCCAGGAUUGAUUGAUCAACUUUAGCACCAUCCACCUCCCCAUGGCCUGUCCUCAUUUCUCCGGCAGCACGACAUGGUUCACAAUCAUUCAAACCCAUUGGCCCCUUUUCUUUCACCACAUGCUCCCCAAUAUCAACCAAGUGAGAAUCGAACACCAGAGAUUUUCCAGUUCCCAACACUUCAUCUCUCCUAAGAAAUUUAUUCACCAAGAUGUUCCUACUAGCAUCAUACAGUGUGACCUGAAUGAUCCAAGGGGAAGAAAACAAUUAGCGGAAAAGUGAUUCCAGGACCUAUAAAAAAGCCUUUGAACUUUUUUGGGUAAUGAAAUGCAUUUAAUUAGUGUGAUGCUUAGGGCACAUAGUGAACCACUAUCCAAAAAACAGAAGUGAUUCAUGUUGGAUCAGCAAACAAAGUGCCCAGCCCAGUUUAAUGAAAAAAACAGUGGCUUAAUGAAACAUCCAUGAAAGUGCCUCGAAAUGACCUGCCUCCCUAGGGAUCCACAAACUUCAAGCUGCAGAAAACCAUCAUGGUAUUUCUUGGCCUUUUGAGUUACUUGUGUUGUGUACAAAACCUGCCAUUCUACAUGACAGGAAAAUGUCAAUCUCCAAGUAGCACAUGCUCAGAAUAAUACAAAAGAGGGGGAGCACAUAGGCCACAAAAGCACAUUCACAUGCACAUGGGUGUCAAAAACGGCUGAAGGACAAUAGUGGACCUGAUAUUGAUUUCAUUAUUUCAAUAACCUCAAGCUAAAAGGAGGCAGUAAAUAUGAAGCAAUAUGAAGACGAUAACUGGCUACUUAAUGAAAACUUUAUUAGAAACUCUAUCAGGAAGUAGAACGAGCAACCGGCUCAUUAAUGAAAACUUCAAUAGAAAAUGUAAAAACCAUGAAGGAAUACGCUGAGGAAUCCAUGUAACUUAGCCCAUAUGAUCUCCUCUUUUGCAUGGGGUUCUCUUAAAUAGGAUUCAUUCUUCAAUACCUAAAGCAUGGUGCUAGAGCUACGAAAAUAUCAAGAACAUAACCUGACAAGGUAAAUUGCGGAUUUUCCAAGUGAAAGGACAACCUUAGACCACCUCUGAAGCACAAAGCCAGAACCUCGAUACGUAAUUUUCUAUUUGGUAAAUCUUCUCUGCUAUACAUUUUCUCCACUUUAACUCAAGUUUGCUAUCUGUCAUAUGUAAGGAAUUUCAAAAAUCCAUCUCAUUAAGCAGUAUAGAGUUUUGCCUAUGACAAGUGCGAAAGUUUCCUAACGGUAACUUCAAUUUCACCAAGGAAAAAAAAGUGAGUUCAUAAUCACAUCAGAACGUGCAACAAAUGUAGAGACAAGGCAACUAGCAAACACUCUUAGCAAACUGAAUAUGCAUCCAAGCAAAAUCUAACCUGUUACGCCUGAUUUUCCAGCAUCUAAUAUACUCCCCUUUGCCCCAUUCUGAUGCAUCUGGCCAUUUUUUUCUUCUGAAAGAGUACCAAUGAAUACAUGCUUCAGUGCAUCACAAUCAGAAUCAGGUAAUUAUCAUAGAUCAUGAAAAACAUGAAGAGAAGGGAAUCUCACUCCUUAACAGAAAAGGAGAAGAUGAUAUAAAUAACAGAUAUGGUUUUCAAUUGUGAUCUCUCUAUAUUUGGUCAAUGAAGAAAGUGUUAACUACAUAUAAAAACAAUGAACUGACUCUUGGCAUCUGCAAGUUCCAGAAUUUGUUGAAAUCGUCCCACAAUCAUAAACAUCCCAUGAAUUUGUGUCCGUAAAGCACCAAAUCACAUUGUGUUAAAAUAUCAGUUUGGUGAGUACAGAGCAUCCCCUAUUUACAUAAAUUUGCAGAGCAGCUGAAUGAUAGGAUCAGUGGGAAUAAACAAUCAGGGAGAAAAUGUUGACAAUCAAUUGACAGUUCAAGACUUUAGGAGAGAAGGUAAGGCAAAUUACCUCCAAAGAAAGAAUCAAUAGGAUAAAACAGCUAAUUAUAGAACACCUACUAACAAAUCAAAUUGAACUCUAUUCCAGGGUACCUUCUACAGCAGAUUUAAUGGUAGUAACAUUACGCUGCUGCUUUUGCAUAUAUAAUUUGUGAAGAGAACUGAAGCUGUUUCCACUUGCAUUUAGAUUUAGCUCCCUCAAAGAUUCAUGGUUUGCUUCACGAUUGCCAACUUCAACCAAAUGACCAGGAAAUUCCAUCAUCUCCCCAGGGCUUACUUCUUCAGCUUUGUUCAGGAACCUACUAUCUAAAAGUUUCCAGCUCGUAUCAUACAAGAAAACCUGGUAAAGGCCCAAAAAGGUUUCAAUGAUCUGAGCCCCAUGUUUAUCCUGAUAAAAAAAUUUCACUAAUCUGUAGAGAAAGGUAUACACCAUGAAGAAGAAAACUAACUAAUUAAGGAAGGAAGACCUGAAAUAUUAUUUAGCAACAAGACAGCUGGUAUUAUCUAAGGUUAAUGAUCAGUAGAGAUGUAGACCGUAGAGCUUGACCUGCCGAGUGAUAGAUCCACUGCUUGUACAACGCAAGAAGCCAUCAUGAUAUUUCUUCGACUUUUGAGUUAUUUGUGUUGUAUACAAGACAUGCCAAUCUAUAUCAAAAGGAAUAUCACAUCAACCGCAGUGCUAAGACAACAAUAACAAACUUAUGAAUGUAACUACAUAGAGAAUAUAGAGACCAGUUUUCUGAGGGAAAGUCUGGAGUUAUGCUAGGAAGCUCCAAUGUUCUUCAAGAGAAGCGAUUUAAAUAUGUGAACAAAAUACCAAGGUGACUGAGAAGAUUUGAUAUACAAAGCAUCAAAUUUGAGUAAGUAUUUUUGAAUGGAUGCCGCACGUAGUGUAACAAAAUGCAGAAAUUAUACACCCAAAGAAAAUCAAGAACAGAUUCACAAUCCAGGAGAUACAUCAAGAGAAAGACACGGCCUGGCAUGGGCAUAGAUGAGUCAGUAAAAGUCCAAACUCACCUGUCGUACUUGAUGUCCUUGAGUUCGGACUCGCCUGCAAUAUGCCGUACUUGUUCAUUUCAUUCUUCUUGAAUUCUGAAAAUCGAAAAAGCAAAGGAAUGCACGUGCUAAGUUUUGUACCUAGCAUUUAUUUGCAAUCAAGAGAGAAUUAGAUUAUGUAGGAAUUCAUCGCUAACCUCUAAUAAUCUUCUGCGAUGGACUUAGGCUGAUCGUCUGCUGUUUAUGCUUCUCCACUAUGGUCUUCUCAUCUCCUUGAAAAGAAAGCCAAGUCGAUUAUACGAUAAUACAGUUAGAUGCUGGGCACAACAUUGCAAACGUACAAGCACGAGUCAUCGAUUUUCAAACCAACGGAGACACCAGCAUUAAGAAAGACAAACACGUAAGAACAGACUAUACCGGCACAAUCAGAUACGUUGACAAACUUGUUUCUGUGAAGCAGAUUCGUUCGCUUAGGAACUUUAUUUUCUCGGCCGCGAACACAAGUAUCUUCGAGAGGCUUUUGCCCCCCUUCAGGCUCUCCAACAUCAACCAAAUAAGCAUUGAACGUCAGCGUCUCACCGGAGCAAACAACUUCGUCAUUCUUCAAGAUCCUGCAUUCCAACAGCUGGUCGCCUUCGUCAAACAGCAUUACCUAUCAAAAAAUCCGAUCAUCAAUCACGGCAUGGCCUAAUCCACUCGGAACAAGCUCAAUCGCGGGGAGCACAACGACUGAAACCACAGAAUAGAACAAUCCGCGAGGACAGUCGAAAUCGAAAUCCUUAGCAGCAUCGACCCGUUGCUAUCUAGCCUGAUCGAGCGAGCUGAAUUCAGGGAAUCGAUCGCCACUGCAGUUUCGACAUGGACUACUAGCCGAUCAAAACCGAAUCAUGUCCCAGCCCAAUCGAAGGUAACCAAAUUCGCCCGAUAGAGUUGAGCUGGACAUGAAUGGCGGAGAUGAGUAGGGAGUGAGAGAGAGGGAAGGCACCUUGGCGGAGGAGGAGUGGAGAGAGAGGAAGCCGUCGCGGUAGACCUUGCGCUUCUGCUUGAGGUGCUUCGUGAAGGUGACGUUCCAUUUCGGCGGAGCCUCAUCCAUGGCGGUUUCUGCAUCUGCAGGAUGAUGAUGAAGAAGAAGAAGAAGAAGAAGAAGAAGAAGAAUUUCUAGGGAUUUCGGAGAGCUGCGAGUGAGGUGAUACCGCUUUCGAGAGCUGAAAUGUUAUGGCGGGAAACGAGGUGGGUGCAUUCAAUUCAGUAUUUGGAAAGUCGAUUUAGAAAAUAUAAAAUAGUUUAACUUAAAGAAUUAGAUAAAUAAAAAGGCCAAUGGUAAAAUAGAUUUUCAGAACUAAUUUUGAGAUAAAUACUGUUCGAUAGAAAACAUAUUUGUAAAACUCUUUAAGUAAGUAAUAUAAUUUUUUAAAAUUUUUUAUUUGUUUAAAAUUAAAAAAUAAUAUAUGCAACUUUUUAAAUAUAAUUUUGAUUAUAAUGCUAAAAAAAUCAAAUAUAUAAUUAAAAAAAAAAAGACCUUAAUCAGUUCGGUGAAAGGCUACAAUUGCCAACAAGCUAAUGGCGGCCCUCACCGGAGGUCACCCGACUGGUGAGGGCGACCUCAGGCAACCUCAAUCAAUGACCAUGGCGCUAGAUCUAGCUUGUCGGCGACCGUAACACUUCGUCAGACCAGUGAAGGAUGCAUUUGGUUCAAUAUUUAAUCUUCAUUUUACAACAAAGAAUCUUAUCUCGAGUAAAUAAAAAUGUGAUGUAAGUGAAAGUUUGGAUGAGUUUCCAACCACAGGAACCAUUUGUACUUGGUGGUGUGAAGAUUAAACUUAUAUCGUACAUCUAAUCAUAGACAGACUUUCCGAUCAGAAAAAGAAAAAAAAAUCAUACACAAACUCUGUUUUUUGCCAAACCAGUAACCUAUUGAAUGAGUUAACAAUCUCUCAUUCCAAUUCCAACUUAUAAACACGACCCAAAAAGGCUAGAAGGAAAUCGACCUCUUAUAUUUAAAAGAGAGGGAAAAACGAAUGUAAAGACAUUAAAUUUUGCCAUCUCGAUGACUACUUCACAUUAUGUUAAAGCUCCUUCACCUUUAACAAAGAUGAAAAGAAUGAAGAUAGAUCUUGUUUCUUUUUUUUGGUCAUCGAUUGAAAUUGUAAGCAAGAACAAGAACUUCUAAAACUAUGUUUUAUAAGUAGAUCUCACGUUAAAGUACGAAUUAUGUCUAUUUGUUAUAUUUCAACUCAUAACAUACUACAUUAAAGUAGAUCUCAUGUUGUUUCCAUUAAUGACGAAUUUCCCAUGGGAGGUCACGGUGCAAAACUGAUACUACAUCUCUCUUGACUACAAUGCCAUUUGUUGAUAUCGGCAAUAGGGUUCCCAAUUUCGAACCCAUUAUAAUAUUGACCCAAAAACACUCAAAUCAAUGAGUUGAGAGUUAAUUAUAAGAUAUCAACAACCUCACAGCCGACAUGAACUUUUGAGGAAGAUUAGCCUGUUAUGCCUAGAGUAACUUUUAUCCGUUGAGCAAUGGCCUUCCCCUUGGCAUCGUUGGAUCACUAAGGCCGACUUUCGUCCCUACUCAACAAUGGAUCUUGCAGUCAAGCCAAGGGACAAGUUCCAUUUGACCCGAAGAAACCUUUGCACGCAUUCAUUACCUUUUAGGAGGCCUACAUUCAAAGAAACUGUCUACCUAGACUAUCCCUUAGCUCAUAAAUCCUAAGGCAUCAAUUCUCUAAUAUAAGACUAUUCUAAUAAAACUUACUCGUACUCUUGACAAAGGAAUACUUACAAUAUCAUCACAUAGUUAAAUUAAUUUUCCUUAAAUGACCAUCGUCGUCGUCGUCGUCAUUCUUUCAGCUAAGAAUGUCAACCGAGUUUACCUGAGAAUAGUACUUGUGGACAAUCCAUGGUGGUUGGCUGCUGUAGAGAAUCACUUCCCCUGUUAUUUCUUCCCCCCUCGUGGCGCAACUGGUCCAACUGCUUGACUUCCACUAAAGAAGAGAACCGGAAAAAUAAAUGAAUAAGAAUCGCCCUCUCCCUCUCUCUCAAUCAUCCUCCUCUCUUUCUCCUACCCUCGCGAACUCUCCCGGAAAAUCCCGUUCUUUCCCGAGAAAAUGCCCGAGCUGGAGGACGACGGCCCCGGCCGCACCCGCCACGACAGCCCGACGAGUCCGCAGCCCAACCUAGAACUCGACGUCUACAGUCCCUGGCCAAUGAUGGAUCAUCAGCUCCCCUUCACCGCUUCUCCCCUCGUCCUGUCCGCCUCCGACCAGCCCAACUCGCCUCUCUGGGCCUUCUCCUGCGGGUUCGAGGACAAUCGAAAUUUUUCCUCGUUUGGAACUAAUCUGAAUUUGUUGCGUGUUAUUUUGACUGUUUUUUCCUCUUUGACUAGUCGAGAAAUUGGGUCUGAUGAUACGGUUCUGUUUUCUAUCGCUUCAAAAAGCUUGGGAAUCAAAGCAAGGAGUUUGAAUUGAUUGUUGGGAUUUCUCCUUCUCCAAAUAUCAGUGGCUCUUCGCCACUUCCACCUCCCAUUUCACCUGACUUCCUAUAAAUUGUGAGAAUUAUGAAUUCUGAGAGUCCUAAAAUAUGAAGUUGCCUCUUGCUUGAAGUUUGAUUUGUUCCAACUGUCUGCAAUGGCCUGUGAAGCCGCAGCUACUGAGUUUUUACUGAGAAGUUGAUUCCGGAUAUAUAGAUCAUCAAAAUUCAGAGACUGAAGCCCCUGCUGAGGAUAAUGAUCGUAAAAAGCUGCCGUCGCCAUAUUUGGGGCUGACAGCAUUUGAAAAUCCUGAUGGAUACUGUAUCAUCAAAGAAAGGAUGACCCAGGCUCUUCGUGACUUCAAAGAAUCAACUGAACAGCUUGUUCUAGCUCAGGUUUGGGCAACGGUAAAGAAUGGUGGUAUUAUCUAAGGUAAAAAUGCGAAGGAGAUGUAGACUGUAGAGCUUGACCUGCCUAGUCAUAGAUCCACUGCUCGUACAACGUAAGAAGCCAUCAUGAUUUUUCUUCGACUUUUGAGUUGAAGUGUGUUGUAUACAAGGCAUACCAAUCUACAUCGAAAGGGAUAUCAUGUCAACUGCCGUGCUGAGACAACAAUAACACUCUCGAAUAUAACUGCAUAGAGAAUAUGGAGACCAGUUUUCUGAGAGAUGUUUGGAUGUAUGCUAAAAAGCUCCAAUGAUUUUCAAGAUAAGCCAUGAAAAUAUAUGAAACCGUUGUGAUCGCAAAGAUUUGAUAUACAAAGCAUCGGAGUUGAGAGAAUCCUUAUUGACCUUGAAAAGACUGUACGUUGUAUAAAGAUGUGCAGAAACUGUACCUCAAAGAAAAUCGAGAAUGGAUUUACAAUCCAGGAGAUACGUCAAGAGAAAGACACGGCCUGGCAUGGGCAUAGAUGAGUCAGCAGGAGUCUAAACUCACCUGCCGUACUUGAUGUCCUUGAGUUCGGACUCGCCUGCAAUAUGCCGUACUUGUUCAUUUCAUUCUUCUUUAAUUCUGGAAAUCAAAAGAAAAAAAAAAGAAACACGCGUGCUAAGUUUUUUAUCCAGCAUUUACUUGCAAUUAAGAGAGUUAGAUAAUGUAGGAUUUUAUUGUCAACCUCUAAUAAUUUUCUGCGAUGGGCUCAGGCGGAUUCUCUGCUGUUUAUCCUUCUCCACUUUGGUCUUCUCAUCUCCUUAAAAGGUAAGGUAGGUGGAUUAUACGAUUAUACAGAUAGAUGAUGAGCACAACACUGCGAAGGUUCAAGUACGAGUUGUCAAAUUUCAAAUCAAUGGAGACACCAGCAUUAAGAAAGACAAAUAUGCAAGAACAGACAAUACCGGUGCAAUUAGACACGUUGACGAACUUGUUCCUGUGAAGCGAAGCUGUUCACUUAGGAAAUGUCUUUUCUCGGUGAUGAAUAUAAGUAUCAUCCAGGGGCUUCUGCCCUCCUUCAGGCUCUCCAACAUCAACCAAAUAAGCAUUGAACGUCAGCAUCUCGCCGGAGCAAACAACUUCUUCAUUCUUCGAGAUCCUGCAUUCCAACAGCUGCUCGCUGUCAUCAUACAGCAUGACCUGUCAAAUCAUCCGACCAUCAAUCACGCAACGACCGAAUCUACUCCGAACAAGCCCAAUCCUGGAGAGCAUAACGACCGGGACAGAGCAAUCGGCGAUGACUGACAAGAUCGAGAUCCCAAGCAGCAUCCAGACGUUCCCAUCUAGUUCGAGCGAGCAAGCUAAAUUCAGGGAAAGAACAUUCACAUAUCGAUUGUGGAGGAGCAGCGAGAGAGGAAGCCGCUGCGGUAGAGAUUGCGGUUCUGCUUGAGGUGCUUCGUGAAGGUGACGUUCCACUUCGUCGGAGCCUCAUCCAUGGCGGUUUCUGCAUUUGGGGGAUGAAGAAGAAAGAUCUUCUAGGGAUUUCCGAGAGCUGCGAGUGAUUUGCUGCGAGAGUGAUACCGCUUCUGAGAACUUAAACGGUCGUGGCGGGAGAUGAAUCAUUAAUAUGAGCGCGAAACGAGCUUAAUAGUCUCUCCUGGAAGACUGAUGAUGACGGGAUUUUUGUUCCGCUUUUUCUAUUUUAAUACUCUGAUCCUAUUCUAUUCUAUAAUUAUUUGAUUUUAUCCGAUCAAAACCUGAUUCAGUUCGGUUUGAUAUUUCGAUUUUUCUUCUUUUUUUUUCCCCUUGGAACCAAACUAAUUAAAUGAUGAAAAAGAAGAGAGAUUUUCAUUAAUCAAACUGAACCUUAAAAAAAAAUGAUUAUUUUUCCAUUGUACGAACUGAGCCGCGAGUGAUUUGCUGCGAGAGUGAUACCGCUUCUGAGAACUUAAACCGUCGUGGCUGGAGAUGAAUUAUUAAUAUGAGCGCGAAACGAGCUUAAAAGCGGUAUCCCAAGACGUUGAGCAAAUCCCACGUUAGCCCCAAGAAGGUCGUGAUUUCCUGAAGACUAGGUCCUUGAGCGGAUCCCACGUUAGCCCCAAGACAUUGGUCUCUAACUAGAAAAGUAAAUGCCUGAGCUUGAGAAGCUUCUGGCCCAGUAGGCCCAUAAAAUUCACUAAGAUAAGCGGUAUUAUUGAACCAGACAAAGUAACAAGUAAUGAAACCAAAAACAGAUAAAGCAGCUAAACUAUAAGACAAGUAAGCCUCCCCAGACCAUACAAGUGCUUGACGAGCCCAUGCAAAAGGUUUGGUUAAGAUAUGCCAGAUUCCGCCAAGUAUACAAAUGGAACCUAACCACACUUUUUUCUUUUUCUUUUUCACUCUGAUCCUAUUAUAUUCUAUAAUUAUUUGAUUUUAUCCUAUCAAAACUUGAUUCAGUUCGGUUUGAUUUUUCGAUUUUUCUUCUUUUUUUUCUCCCCCCUUGGAACCAAACUAAUUAAAUGAUGAAAAAGAAGAGAGAUUUUCAUUAAUCAAACUGCACCUAAAAAAAAAUGAUUAUUUUUCCAUUGUACGAAUUGAACCGAAAACGCAUGAAAUUUCGGUUCGGUUUUGACAUCCAUGUAUGCGCAAAUUGCAGGACCCUCCUUCCUCACUCACAAGUCCUCACUCCAACUCCGAUUGAUUCGCUUUUCUCGCCAUGACAUUUAAAGAUAAGGAAGCAUCGUCGGUCCCGAUUUCGUCCUCUUUUGUUUCGUACUCGACAGUUCUCCAAUCCUUCAAUUCGUCUCCCGUUAUCAAAGCUUUGAAUUUUUGCAGCAUCUGGAUGUGAAUUUCCUCCAAUUUUCUCCCUCUUCCCGUGCUUGAGAGAUUCUCGAGAGAGUGAUGUGGAACGUCGUCUGCUUUUGAUUGUUUUGAUGAUGCUCUCUAUAAUCUCUUGUGAUGGCUGUCUACAUUGGUGUCUGGCGAUAUAGGGGUGUAGUUUGUUCGCUGUGAAAAGAGUUUUUUUAAUGUAUGUCGCACCAGCUCAGGUAUGUGUUGACCCUUUGCGAGUUUGAAUGAUUAUAGGAAGAGCGAGCGAGAGCUUUUUGUAGACUGACGAAAUGAAUGUACAAGCGAAUAUGUCAGGGCAUGUAUCUAGACAAUCGGGUGCCCAGUUGUCUGGGGUGUCCCAGCAAAAUGCAAUGUCAUCCCGAAUAUGGUAACUAUAGGCAGUGGUGCCCCUCAUGCUUUUAUUACGGCGUGGACAUGGAUACUGUCGGAGCUUGGCACUAUAUGCAAGAGAAGAUGUAAUUUAGUCUACGGCACUUGUUGUGCUUUAACCUCCACAGUUUCAUUUGGUCCUUGUUCGCCGAUUGAACUUUUCACUGUCCCUUUCAGCUUUGUUCUCUUAGCACAGUAGCAUCCGUAGCCAAUUAAUGAUUCUCAAAUGCAGAAGCUGAAGGAUACUGUUAGACGCCUAGAAGAAGGUCUCUUUAAAUCUUCUCACACAAAGGUCUUCCCAUCUUCAUCAUUUCUCUCCUCUCUUUUGUAAAAUUACAAAAAGCGGUUGACGAUUGCCCUUUAUGGGUUUAGUGUUCUACAUUUUAUAUUUGCAAAAGCCAGUACUCCGUUCAUUUCUCUUGCCCGGUUUCACCUGCUUUUUCUCGUUAUUAUCAGUAAUUUCCUUUCUUUUUGGUAAAUAGUACUUGAGAUUCUUUUGCUACUUGAAAAUUACAAUUAUGUAGGAUGAGUAUAUGAAUUUAGGCACACUAGAGUCCCAGUCGCAUAGUUUGAUCAAGCGUCCAUCGCCUAAUAAUCCAAAUCCAGUCAAUCCUGAUGCAAUGAUAAUAAUGAUUCCAACCCUUGGAUUGUCGCAUAAUGGGAGUUCGACCAUGAUGGCAACAUCUUUAGUGGAUGCCCCUAUUAGUUAUAUGGCUGGGGGUAGCAACAUGCAGCCAAUGAAUGAAAACACAAGAAGCCUUAUGUCGAGCCUUAUGCCUAACAGAAUGUAUCCAAAGGCAUGUGCUCUCUAUAAUUUCUUGUUAUGGUCAUCUGCACUGGUGCUUGGUGGUAUUGGGUGUGGUUUGUUCACUGUGAAUAGAGUUUUUAUAUAUGUAGCACAAGCUCAGGCAUGUGUAGACCCCCUGUGAGUUUGACUGAUAAGAGUGAGAGCUUUUGUAGAUUGAUGCAAUGAAUGUGCAGGUGGAUACAUCGGGGCACUUAUCCAGUCAAUCAGGCACUAAGUUGCCUGGGGUGUCCCAGCAAAGUGAUAAUGUUGUCCUAAAUUUAGUAGCUGCAGGCAGUGGUGCCUCUCAUGCUGUGUUGAGCGUGGACACGGAUCCUCUUAGAGCUCAGAACUAUAUGCAAGACAAGAUAUAAUCUAAUCUAGAGGACUUGUUCUUGUGCUUUAACCUCCACAGUUCCAUUGGUCCUUAUUUGCUGAUUGAACUUUUCACUGUCCCUUUUCAGCUUUGUUCUCUUAGCACAGCGACAUCUACAGCCAAUUAAUGAUUGUCAAAUGCAGAAGCUGAAGGAUAUCGUUAGACACCUAGAACAGGGUCUCUUCAAAUUUGCUCACUCAAAGGUCUUCCCAUUCCUCAUCAUUUCUCUCCUCUUCUUCUUUCUAAAAGUACAAAAGGCGGCUUAUGAUUGCCCUUUAUUGGGUUCUUUUUUUAGGGCGUUGCAUUUUACAUUUUUGAAAGCCAAUAAUUUGUUCAUUUCUCUUGCCUGGUUUCACCUGUUCUUCCUUGGGCUUAUCAGUAUUUCCUCUCUCUCUCUCUCUUUUUGGUGAAUAGGACUUGCCAUUCUUUUGCUACUUUGAAAUUACAAUUAUGUAGGAUGAGCGUAUGAAUCUAGGCAAAUUGGAGUACCAGUUGUGUAAUUUGAUCGAGCAUUCUUCUCUUAAUAAUGGAAAUCCAAUCAAUCCUAUUUCAAUGACAACGAUGAUACUCCUGGAUUGUUGCAUAAUGGGAGUUCGACCAUGAUGGUGACAUCUUCAGUGGAUGCACCUAUGAGUAAUAUGGCUGGCGAUAGCAGUAUGCAGCCAAGGAAUGCAAACACAAGAAGCCCUAUGUCAAGUGGUGUCAUGCAAACACAGGAAGCCUUAUGUGAAGCCUUAUGUUUCCUUGAAUUGUAAAUGAACAUUUUCAUUCAGAUGUCAAGAUGUCUUGCUAUGGUUCGAAAUUGGGGUAUAAUUUGAACGAUCGUUUCCUAGUAUAUCAAUGAAGAUAAGCACCUGUGCACUUUCAUUUUGAAAAAACCUACGGAGGCUUCAAACAUAAUUUACUGGUGCCAAUGAUCAAACAUUCACUGGGAACUUUGACCAGAAAAGGAUGAGACUGCAAAACAGUGGGGAAUUCAUUUCAAUUCAGAAAAUGUUACAGCUAGAAUAUUCUUCAUGUCAUUCCUUAUGAUGGAACUAAAAGAAGCACGACAUGUGACAAACUAAACCUUGUGGACUUAAAAUGUAAGAAUGAAUCAGAUGAAGUACCAGCUACUUGAGAUUUUUCUAGCGAUCAAACAUACCUGCUUUCGAAGUAAACCCAGCAUCAAAUAAAUAGCCAGCUCUGCACAUGAUGCUGCAUUUCCCGUGAUGUCACCUGGAAUUCUGGCAACUUCUAUUCCAUUUUUGGUGGCAGUGUCCAUAUCAACAACUUCAUAAAGAUGUAAAUGUCGAGUACUAAAUUCAAUUAAGAUCUAGCGGAACAUAGUGAUAAUACCGACAAGAUAAACCAAACUCCCCCGGCCCCACAGACACAAGCAAACAAGGGCAGGCGCCUUCGAGACCGACACCAAAUUGCAUUACAAGCUUCAAUUGUUUCGCUCGAGCUAUGGUUUGAGUCGAGGCACUUGUUCUUAACCACACAAAUAUGGUAGUUUCCUAUAAUAUGUGGCACAUCAUCAAGGACUGCCUUAUUGACCUGCAAAAAUGGAAAACAGAUGAAUGAAUGAUCUUCAAGGUGAAAUAGCUAGUAUAACCACCUAGAGGGGGGUGAAUAGGUGCACAAACAAUUUAUCGAGAUACGGAAGCGAUUCUAGGCAUCCGAUAGAAAGGAAGUUCUCUAUUGAUUAACAAAAUGAAGUACGAUCAAAGUAAAGAGAGUAAGGAAGAGAAAAUUGAACACAAGGUUUAUAGUGGUUCGGCUUAUUCCAAGCCUACGUCCAUUCUUCCGCACUGACAGCCCACCGGCUGGAUUUCACUAUGAACAAAAGAGUAGUUACAGCACAGCUUUUCCUUGAUUCCACAGUGUAGAUGUUCUAUCACACCUCCUCAAGGUUUCUCACAAAUAUAGACUCUCUUUUGUAUACAAAGUUUCGCUCAAAGGAAUUGUCUAAAUAACAAGGAGCUUCAGACUUUGGAAUUCUUCUAUAGCGCACUUCUCGAAUAACUUAGAACGUCUUCCUUAUAUACUCCUUUAUGCCAUCAUACCCGUUGGCACUUUCCAAAAGAAUUCCUCCAAUCUACCCGUUGGACCGAAUCAAUUAGGAAGAUUAUUCGAGUUAUUAAAGGAACGUGUCGAUAGCCCACCAAUCCUGUUCGCCCAUACAAUUAGGAUCUCAGUUUCCAUAAGUAGAACAUUCCAAGAAUAUUUAGGCAAUCAUCGGUUCCUUAAUCUUCGAGUCAAUCUCGAUCAAUCAAAGGAUUCCGUUGUGUCUUUUCUAGCCAAGAGAUCUUCUCCGUUGACAAGGUCAUAUCCUUAAUGAAACAUCCAGCUCUGGAUAACCUUUCUUCAACGGAUUGGAGACUGUCAAUGAGGAUAGACUUUGAGUCUCGAGUCUGGCUGUUCGGAGGUCUUCAGACUUUAAAUAGCAGAGUCUGCAAAUCUUCAUACUAGACUGAUGGAAACGUUUUAUCAGUUUCAAAACACUUCAAGAAGAUUUCUCCAACAAUCUCCCCCUUUUUGAUGGUGACAAAACUUUCCUGCAGAUUUGGACAACUUUGACCUGCAAAACAUUUCUCAAACACAUAUGCAUAUCUUAUAGAGAUAAAUGACUAAAUGAAUGAACAACACUAGAAUCUGCAACCACAGAAAAUAGGUUAGUCUAGUAUGCGAUAAAGCCAUCCAUAAGAUAUCAAUAGUAGUUAAUAGAAGCAGUCAAGUCCAAGUCUAGUUCAGUUUUCAUCCAGACACAAAAACAAAGUCAAACAGAUCAAAACAAUCCAACAAGCAGUCCAACAAACCAUAUGAUUAAAAGUCAAAUUGUUCAAAUCUUGCAUCUCUCCCCCUUUUUGUCAGCAUUAAAAAUGUUGAGAUGAAAAUGGAAUAAAGUCAAGAUUACUUGGGAACGCGGACAAGCUGGAAAUCUCCCAUAGACUAAACGAUGCCUUCCAGCCUUUUCAAGUCUUCCUUCAGUUGUGCAAUCUCCUCACCCUUGGCAUUGGCCUGAAUCUGAACAGAGAGGGCUUGGAUUUUAUAAUUCAACGAACAAGAAGAAACUUGACCCGCAUUUUGUAAGGUUUGAACCUCGCAUCCCAAGGCAUAAAUUUGACCUCGCAUCUCCAAGAGAAUAUCCAUGAUUCUACGAAAAUCUGCUACAUUAUUAGUCUGAGUACUUGCAUCGGCUCGAUCUGAUGGAGUAAAUGCAGACGAUGGUAGAUCAGCAUAAUCUCGCAGGUUUGGUGAUGAAACUUCAUGAUCUUCCUCUGGAAAUUGAGAGGCAUAAAUGUCCUCUAGGUCUGUAGGAGAGCGACUGACGCCCUCACUUGCAUCAGGAUAUGAGGAUUUCCCUCCUUUCUCUUGAACUCCCUCUGUUUCCAUGCCUACAGGUGGAGAAGAAUGUUCCUCAGGUUCUCCUUCUUCUCUUCUUUCUUCUUCUUCUUUCUCAACUCUUUCCUUCUCAGCUUGUCUUUCUUCUUCUUCCUUCUCCUCUGCUUCCUUUUCCUCUGUUGCUUUCGUCAUUUGUUCCGAUUCUUUCUUUGGAACAGGACGACUUAAAUUCUUCAAAGCUAUUGCAGAAAUGGUGAGAUUUUCAUCAUCAUCUUCAUCUUCAACAAUAAGAGCUCUUCUUUUUGUUCUUGAAGCAACCAAGGGCUCCUUUCCUUUCCGUUUUGAUGAAGAAGAGGGUUGAUGAGCUUUGACUGGAGUCUUCUCCUUGAAUUUCUCCAACGCCUUGUUCAAUUCUUUCAGACGCAUUUUGGUCACCAUUUUCAGUCCUACCACCAUAUGAUCGCAUGAUCGAACACAAAAGAUUUGCGGAGGCUGAAUAUUCACAUGUCUGAAUAACUUCGUCACAAGACUUGGGUAAGGAAGUUGACCUCUGUCCUUCAUCAUGACUCUAUACAUGUGGAACAUAACAGUGUGAGGAAGAGAAAACCUAUUCCCAGUGAGGAUGGCAUACAUCAGCUUUGCCUCUGAACUUGAAACAUCAGUCUUGGAAGUUGAUUUCGGUCGGAGGCAAUUGAUCACAAUCUUGUGAAGCAAGAUGUUGAACACACUCAUCCUUAAGUAGGAAAUCUUUUCCUCUGUUCUUCUGUCUUUAACAAGUUCCAAUGUAGCACGAGCAAUAGAAACUUUGAUCGGUUGAUAUCUUCCUCUCUCAACUCCUAAUACAUCCGCCAGCAUAUCCAUAUCCACAACAAAGUCUUGAUCUUUGACGCUGAAAGAGAAUCUAUUCGCAUCCAAGAAACUAAGAUUUGAAUAGAAAUAUGCGGUUAGUUCAGCAUAGACCUCUGUAGUGUCGAAGCAGAACUUUUCAAGUUGAAGAAAACCGAACUUUUCCCUCAAGUUCAUAUUCACAGCAUCCAGAAAAUCAAAAUCCACACUCCUAGGGUUUAUCACCCCACGCUUCAGCAAUUUUGAGUACAAAUCCUUUUGUUCCUUCAAUCUGAACAAGUCUCCCCUUUUUCCUCGAUUUUCAACCGCAACACCUAUUCUCGGUUGAAAUUGGCUGUACAGUUUAUCAUCAUCAUUUCCAUCAACAGGAUUAAGGGGCUGUUUGGUUCAACUUUGGGGAAAUGGCUUUGCAUUUCCCUAAGUAUAUUUAGAAGAAUGGGCAUUUGGUGAAUGCUGAAGUGUUUGGGAAUUCUUUUUUGGCGUAGCAUUUUGCAAAAUAGCUUUGAGAAGAAAAGAAAAAAGAAAAAAAGAAAAGGAAAAAGGAGGAGGAGAUGUUCUUGAUGCAGAGGAGGGGAGCGAGUGGGGGAGGCGGCCGGUGGCUGUGGUGGGGGAGGCGGCGGGUGGCUGUGGGGAGGCGGCCGGUGGCUGUGGUGGUGGGAAGGCGGCGGGUCGCGCGACCCACGCACCGCCGUCCUGUGGGUCGCGCGGCCUCAGGGCAACUGGAUUUGGCCGGCUGAGCAUCGCUUAGCCUGUCGCGCAACGCCGCUUGAGGCCGCGACCCACGCGACGGCGGUGCGUGGCGAUCGGAUCUAGGCGGUUGAGCACUGCUCAGCCCGUGGCGUGGGUCGCGCGACGCCGCUUGAGGCCGCGACCCACGGGACGGUGGUGCGUGGCGACCGGAUUUGGGCGGCUGAGCACCGCUCAGCCCGUGGCGUAGGUCGCGCGACGCUGCCUGAGGCCGCAACCCACGCAACGGCGAUGCGUGGCGACCGGUGCUCAGCCCGUCGCGUGGGUCGCGCGACCCAGGCGACGCCGCUGAGGUCGCGACCCACGCGACGGUGGUGCGUGGCCAUGGCGGCGUGGGGUGACGGUGGUGCGUGGGGCGACGGUGGUGUGUGGCCACGGCGGUGUGUGGCGACGUCUGUGUGUGCGCGACCAGCUCCGGCUGGUUGAGCUCCACCGGCUGGGCUUUGGUCUUGAAGAAACGAGGGAGACAAGGAAGACGAUGAACAGUAGAUUUUGAGGGUAAAACAAGAAAACUCAAUUAUUAGUGAGGGCAAUAUUGGAAGAAAAAAAAUUCAUUAAACCCCCCUUUAGCAUUCCGAAAAUGAUGAAUGCCCAAAGCAGGUCCCCACCUACUUUGGGCUUUUAGCAUUCCAGAGCAUUCCAAAUGCUAGCAUUCCCCCAAGUAUACCUCAAAAUGCUGAACCAAACGGCUGAAAUUUUUCCCAAGGGGCUUUCGGGGCUGAAAGCCGGUUGGGAAUGCUGAACCAAACAGCCCCUAACUCCCCAAUCCUGAGGAUCACUUGGGAUAUUCGCAAGGGUUUCUUCAGCCACCCCUUUAUGAGCAAUUCCCAAACUUUCCAUUUUUCGCAAAAAGAUAUAUUCGUUUCCAUAUCAUUUGUCUUUAAGAAAAUCAUCGACAUACUUCAAAGGAGUAUGAAUCCCUUUUAAAGCACGAUACAACUUACACAUAUAAGCGGGUUUUUGAACUCUUACAGGAUCUGCAUCCUCGAUGAUUUCUUCCUCUUGUUGAUGAUCAACGCCUUGAGGACUAAAUGGAGGAGAGUGACGCUGCUGAGAAUGUUGUGGGCUCUGCUGCUGAUCUGGAGACACUUCUUCCUCGGUGAGAUCGAAGUGUGUAGGCCCCUCACUCAUUCGUCGUGGUCCCCUGCUUGCGAUUCUCGAAGACUUUCUUGAAGACGACAUCUUUCUUAGUUUUUUGGAAGAUUCCUUCCUUGACUUUCCCAAGAAAGAUGACAACUUUUUCGAAGAUUAAACAAGGGAAGAAGAUGGGAAUGGAAGAUCGAUGCUUUCUAGGGUUUUUGAGAGUAAAGUGAAGAGAAAUCAACAGUGCACGAUCGGUUAAAAAGGGAGAUAAACGAACCGUCACAAAGGAAAAUAAAAGAUGCAUUUUCAAAAAAACUGUCUUUUUUCCGCGAAAAUAGUCAUUUCAAAAAUAACUUCCUUUUUGAAAAGGAGACGAUACAAUAAUUACGUCGAUUAAAUAUAGCAAUUUAAACAUAGUCUGACAGUCGUACCUCUUCAAGAUAAGAUUCGAGAGAGAGAGAGAGAGAGAGAGAGAGAGAAUUACUUACAGUCAAGGUCUUGUAUGUCUGAGUUUGAAAGUCUUUAGACUUUGAUUUCCUCAUACCUCAAAAUGUUGAGUCUGGAACGGAUGGUUUCAAAUUUAUUUUUCUCCAAAGGCUUUGUAAAUAUAUCCGCCAGUUGGUUCUUUGAAUCAACAAAUUGAAUUGAAACAUCUCCAUUUUGAACAUGAUCUCUAAUGAAGUGAUGUCGAAUCUCUAUAUGCUUUGCUCUUGAGUGAAGAAUUGGAUUUUUAGCGAGAUUGAUAGCGCUGGUGUUGUCGCAAUUAAUCUCCGUGCAUGAAUCUUCAAUUCCAAAGUCUCUUAGAUGUUGUUUUAUCCAGAGAAUUUGUGAACAACAACUCCCAAGAGCUACAUACUCUGCUUCUGUUGUAGAGAGAGCUACUGUACUCUGCUUUCUUGAAAACCAAGAUAUUGUCCCGCCUCCAAGUAGUUGACAGGUACCCGAGGUGCUCUUUCUAUCAACUCUGCAACCGGCUAGAUCUGCGUCUGAGUAUCCAAGAAGAGUAAAGUCUUCUCUUUUAGGAUACCAUAGACCGAUACUUGAAGUAGAAGCGAUGUAUUUAAUAAUACGCUUUGUAGCAUUUAAAUGAGAUUCUUUAGGAUCUGUUUGAAAUCUGGCACAAAUGCAAACACUAAACAAAAUGUCAGGUCUAGAAGCAAUAAGAUAAAGAAGUGAACCAAUGAUACUCAUGUAUAGCUUCUGGUCGACUUUCUUUCCUUCUUCAUCUUUGUCUAUCUUCAAGGAACUUGACAUUGGUAUUUCAACCUUCUUGCAAUUGUUCAGACCAAACUUUUUGACGAGAUCAUUAGCAUAUUUUUCUUGAUGAAUAAAAGUUCAUUCCUUCAGUUGUUUCACUUGAAGCCCGAGAAAGAAGGUUAACUCACCCAUCAUGCUCAUUUCAAAUUCAUCUUGCAUAGUCUUAGAGAAUUUCUUGCACAGACUUUCAUUAGGAGAUCCGAAUAUAAUAUCAUCGACAUAUAUUUGAACUAGCACAAAAAUUUUGCUUUCUCUUUUAAUAAAUAAAGUAGUGUCUACUUUACCUUUUACAAAACCGUUUUGGAUUAAAAACUUACUCAGCCUAACGUACCAAGCUCGAGGUGCUUGAUUUAAACCAUAUAAGGCCUUUUUGAGUCUGAAUACUGAGUCUGAUUUCCUUGGGUCUUCAAACCCGGGUGGUUGUUCCACAUAGACUUCCUCAUGGAUGAAUCCAUUUAGGAAUGCACUUUUGACAUCCAUUUGGAAUAACCUGAAAUUCUUAUAACAAGCAAAUGCAAGUAAUAAACGAAUUGAUUCUAACCUGGCUACCGGUGCAUAAGUCUCGUCAUAGUCGAUCCUUUCUUCUUGUGUGUAUCCCUUGGCCACGAGUCUUGCUUUGUUUCUUACGACCUUUCCUUUUUCGUCCAUCUUGUUUCUGAAAACCCAUUUAGCUCCAAUAACUGAUUUACCUUUUGGUUUUGGAGUCAAUUCCCAGACAUCAUUGAUACUGAAUUGCCUGAGUUCUUCUUGCAUAGCUUCAAUCCAGCUCUCAUCAGAUAAAGUUUCUUCUAUGCUCUUGGGUUCUAUUUCAGAAAUAAGAGCCACAACACUAGACUCUUCUCGCCUUUUGGAUCAUGUGCAAAUUCCUUCAUUGAUAUCGCCAAUAAUAAGAUCUUUGGGAUGACUGGACUUAUGCUUCCAGUUGCUGGUUGAUUUGUCAGAAUGAUGAUCACUUCCUUCACUUGAAUCUUCAACAGUUACUUGCUGCUGGUCCUUCAAAGUUUGAGCUGUUUCUUUAGACUUUGUAGAGUCUGGAGCAGGUUCUGGAUCUUCAAGAUGAGUCUGAAUAGAUUCAUUUUGUAUCGAAUCCUGGAAUUUGACAUUCAUUGAUUCUUCCACAGUUUGAGUCUUCUUGUUGUAGACUCUAUACGAUUUGCUUGUGGUUGAAUAUCCAAGGAAGAUGCCUUCAUCUAACUUUUCUUCAAACUUACCAACUCGAUCAUUUGGAUUUUUCAAUAUGAAACAUUUGCAUCUGAAUACAUGAAAAUAUGAAACUAUGGGCUUCUUUUCUUUGAAUAGUUCAUAGGGGGUUUUUUCUAGAAUAGGCCUUAAAAAACUCUAUUGAUAAUAUAGCAUGAUGUUGAAACUGCUUCAGCCCAAAACCGUAAAGAGAUAUUGCUUUCAAUUAAGAGAGUUCUAGCCAUUUCUUGAAGAGAUCUAUUCUUCCUUUCCACAACUCCAUUUUGCUCUAGAGUAUAUGAAGAAGAGAACAAAUGCUGAAAACCAGAUUCUUCACAAAAUUUAGCAAAAUCUUGAUUUUCAAAUUCACUUCCAUGAUCUGUUUUUAUACUUGAAAUAACAUACCCCUUUUCAUUUUGAACAUUCUUAGCAAAAUUUUUAAAGUAAGAGAAAGUUUCAGACUUACUUGCCAGGAAAUACACCCAAGUGAAUCGUGAGUAGUCAUCUACGAUUACUAGGCAAUAUUUCUUACAUCCAAUGCUAUGCGUUCUUGUUGGUUCGAAGAGAUCCAUAUGCAAGAGCUACAAUACACGAUUAGUGGAAACUUGAUUUAUUGGCUUAAAGGAAUUUCUUACUUGUUUUCCCAAUAUACAUGGUGUACAUAGAUCAGACUUUUGGUAUGAUAAAUUGGGUAGACCACGAACAAGCUUCUUUGCUGAGAUUUUGACUAUCUGCUUCAUGUUGAUAUGCCCAAGCUUUUUGUGCCAUAAGUUCGCUUCGUGUUGGAUUGAGAUUAGACAUUGCAAUUCAUCUGAUUUCACGUCUAAGAGGUAGAUAUUCCUAUGGCUUCGACCCAUGAAUGUCUGAGUAGAGUCUUUACUGGUUCCUAAACAAAUACCCUCUUGAAAGUUGAUUUUAAAACCGGCAUCACAAAGCUGACUGACACUGAGCAAAUUGUAAUUGAGCCCUUCAACUAAAGAAACAUUGCUUAUUGUGAGGUUCCCAAUCUUUACAGUUCCAAAUCCCACUAUUUUUCCUUUGAUGUUUCCUCCAAAUGAGACUUUUCCACCAUUCACUUGAACAAGCUUUAUGAAACAAUUUGAAUCUCCUGUCAUGCGUCUCAAGCAUCCACUAUCCAGAUACCAUUUCACUUUUUUCUUGAUAGUGACCUGCAUUUAAAAAGAAACUUAAGCUUUCUUUGGUACCCAUAUUUUCUUGGGUCCUUUUGAGUUAGUCUAAUAUACGGUUUUUGCCCAGACUUUAUUGACAGGUCUCCAAACCAUAGGACAUUCUUUCUCAAAAUGUUCUGUACUAUUGCAUUUUGAACAUCUAAGAGCAUUGCGACCUACUGGUUUUACAAAGGUCCUUUCAAAAUGAUUUUUGUAAGCAUUUCUUGUGGGUCUUUGUUUAAUUCUUUCUUUUACUUUAGGAAAAUCGAUUAAAUGAAUGGUUUCAGCAGUCAUUCCUAAACCAGAUUUAUUGAAAUAAGGUCUUUGAACAGAAAGUAUUUUUUCUAGUUUCUCAGAUCCUAUCGAAAAUCUUUUGGAAAUAUUUGAAAUAUCAUUUUUCAAGAAUGCAUUUUCUUUUAAAAGAUUAUCUUUACUUUCUCUGAGAGAAGAAACAUUCUGGUCUAAGCAUUUCACUUUUUCUUCCAAAACAUUCUCUUGUUGUUUUAAAGCAGAAUUUUCCUUUUUGAGUUCGGAAAUUCUUUUAAGAGAAGUCUUAAGACUGAAACAUAAUUCAUCAAUGUAUUUUGAAACUUUAAUAGGGAUUUUGAAGUUACUUACCUCGAAUUCACUUUCUGAGUCUGAAUCAGUCUCGGAGUUUGAUUCUGAAUCUGAUUGUGCCAUUAGACAUAUGUUGGCAUAAUCAUCAUCACUAUCCUCGCACUCCGUAUCACUCCAGGUUUCAGCUUUGAGAGCUUUUCGAUACCUUUCGGGUUUUCCUUUCUUCUUCCUCAGAAGAGGACAAUUGGGUCUGAUGUGCCCUUUUUUCUUACAUUCAAAGCAGACUACAUCUUUAUUUGAUUCAUCAUCUUCAACAAACUUAGUCUGUUGCUUUUGAAAAUUUUGUUUCCUUGGAUUGAAUCUCCUCCCUUUUCUGUUCAGCUUUCUAAAUCUUCUUAUCAUGAGAGCAAGCUCCUCAUCGUCCAUAUCGUCUUUAGAAUCUGCAGCAUCAGAAUCGUCAUUGGAUUUUAAUGCAAUGGAUUUCUUACCUUUAGGGUCUUCGUCUUCAUUGAUUCGUUCCACUUCAUAAGACUGAAGAGUUCCAACCAAUUCAUCAACAGAUAAUGGCAUGAUUCUUUGGGUCUCUCUAAUUGAGGUCUUUAUGUGAUUCCAAUUCUUGGAGAGUCCACGCAGUAGUUUGUUUACCUUCACGGGAUCAGAAAUUGGUUGACCUUGAUUUUCAAAACCAUUCACGAUAUUUGUAAAACGACUAAACAUGUUAGUUAUAGAUUCUCCUGAUUUCAUUCUGAAGGCUUCAUAUUGACCGAGGAGAAUGUUGAUUCUAGUCUCUUUCACUCGAUCGGUUCCUUCGUAAGUAAUGUGUAAUCUAUCCCAGACUUCUUUGGCUGUAUCACAAGAAUAUAUUCUGUUAUAUUCAGUAAGUGAUAAAGCACAAUAUAAAGAAUAAAUAGCUUUUGCAUCAAGAGCUUAUCUCUUGAUUAUCUCUUCCUGAGUCAUUUCGCUAGACUCAACAGUGUCUUUUCCUCUUUCUGAGACAGGUGCAGCUUUAGGAAUGAUUCCUUUUUCUACAACGUCCCAUUCCAGGGGAUCCUUUGAUCUUAAGAACGCCUUCAUCUUGUUUUUCCAUAUGUUGUAGUCCUUUCCAUCAAAGUAAGGCGGUCUGGUAUUGCUUUGCCCUUCUAUCAGCCCUGGAGCCAACAUACUAGCCAUUGAUCUUUAACUCUGAAGUAAAACACUUCAAACAAAGUGAGUACACAAGCUUUGAUACCAAUUGAAAUAGCUAGUAUAACCACCUAGAGGGGGGUGAAUAGGUGCACAAACAAUUUAUAGAGAUACGGAAGCGAUUCUAGGCAACCGAUAGAAAGGAAGUUCUCUAUUGAUUAACAAAAUGAAGUACGAUCAAAGUAAAGAGAGUAAGGAAGAGAAAAUUGAACACAAGGUUUAUAGUGGUUCGGCUUAUUCUACGUCCACUCUUCCGCACUGACAGCCCACCGGCUGGAUUUCACUAUGAACAAAAGAGUAGUUACAGCACAGCUUUUCCUUGAUUCCACAGUGUAGAUGUUCUAUCACACCUCCUCAAGGUUUCUCACAAAUAUAGACUCUCUUUUGUAUACAAAGUUUCGCUCAAAGGAAUUGUCUAAACAACAAGGAGCUUCAGACUUUGGAAUUCUUCUAUCGCGCACUUCUCGAAUAACUUAGAACGUCUUCCUUAUAUACUCCUUUAUGCCAUCAUACUCGUUGGCACUUUCCAAAGGAAUUCCUCCAAUCUACCCAUUGGACGGAAUCAAUUAGGAAGAUUAUUCGAGUUAUUAAAGGAACGUGUCGAUAGCCCACCGAUCAUGUUCGCCCAUACAAUCAGGAUCUCGGUUUCCAUAAAUAGAACCUUCCAAGAAUAUUUAGGCAAUCAUCGAUUCCUUAAUCUUCGAGUCAAUCUCGAUCAAUCAAAGGAUUCCGUUGUGUCUUUUCCAGCCAAGAGAUCUUCUCCGUUGAUAAGGUCAUAUCCUUAAUGAAACAUCCAGUUCUGGAUAACCUUUCUUCAACGGAUUGGAGACUGUCAAUAAGGAUAGACUUUGAGUCUUGAGUCCGGCUGUCCGGAGGUCUUCAGACUAUAAAUAGCAGAGUCUGCAAAUCUUCAGACUAGACUGAUGGAAACGUUUUGUCAGCUUCAAAACACUUCAAGAAGAUUUCUCCAACACAAGGUGUAGUUAGAGACAAAAUUUGGAAACAUAUGAAACAAUAAGUCCUUACGCUGCCAUAAACCGAAGCACACUAAUUAACGAGGAUACAUUCACAUCUGUACAUAAGACCAAAACGAACGUACAAAGUUGAACAUGCUUUUUUAUUCCUAGUCUGUUAUUUAUCCAAAGGCAUGUGCUGGCGACAAUGGGAUCAUUCCAGCAAGUUUAAGUAGGACCCGACAAGAGCAUAUUGAUUUUUAUUUCAGCCAGGUAAAACUUUCAUAACCUACGACAGUGCCUCAAAUUGUACAAUUCUACAAUGUUACAAUGGUCAGAGGCAGAAAUGGGAUAUCACUUCAGUGCAAUAGGUAGUUGAAAUCUGGCUCCACCAAUGGAUGCGAAAAUAAUUGGACAGCGUCGAGAGCUCAAAGGUGAUGCAAUCAAAUCCCUUUGUACCGCUCUAAACACAUCCAGGUAACUCGAUCAACCACUUCCGCCUGAAGAAAGUGGAACGUCAAGCAUUUUCUAUCAUAUAACGCUGGGUAAAAAUGGUCUGAAACUGGAUAAAUAGGUAUUGGCUUGAGUCUUCGGCGUAAUUGUGAGAAGCCAGGGAGUAAGGCCCUCAAAAGAGGACAUGGGUGACGCCUUCUUCACCAGACUCCGUCCCCAUUUCCCUCCACUUCCUUUAAUGUGAAGCUGUAACUCCUGCUACAGAGAGAGAGAAGGCGGGGACCUUGACGUACUUGCAACUGGGGACUGGUGAAGUAGAGAAAGAGACGGAGUUUGCAGCCUCCACAAUCUACACCUGCCUUUCCUCCACAAAAUUGGUCGAUUGGUGACUCACGGCAAAUGUUGCUAGAAUCCUGCGAUGAAAGAAUUUUAGCUUUCUCUGCCUGGAAUUUUGUUGUAAAUUGACUAAUAAAGUCAGAAGGAUAGUAUACUCUCAAACGUCAGUCCAGACCUUCGAAAGGUCUCGUACAACCUUUUCUAUGGGAUUUCUAAUUUAUAUCCUUUUCAAUGGUUAUGAUGAUUUCUCCUAUUCUGGGAUUACAGACUGAUUUAAAACUUACACUUACCACAUCUACGUGUCGUCUGGCCUACAGGUUGGCUCCGUAGGGAAUCGUCGUGCUUGAGGAAGUGCUGAUGUAGAUAGUAAACAAAAGAUUAAUAGUGCAUAGGAAUAUUAAUCCACGUAAAAAGCUGUACCGCGGAGGCUGAACGUUUCUAUAUCUGUCGGAAUUCAGGAACAUCCCAAAUGGAAGAUUAAGAUUAGGUUUGUAUAUUUCCAGAAGGCAAAGGAAUCUGCGCCUUCAAAGGAAAUUGCUUAUCAAUCAGACGUUGGGUUGAGCAAGAGUGUCAGGACGGAUUGUUUAGUACCUGCCGCUCGUGGUGGUCUGCACUAGUAUUUGCACCAUUCAAAGAUUGGUUAUUUUUGUGCUAAUGUGAUCUCAUCUCUUUUGCUCAUUUCAAGAAACGUGAUAUUCUUUCUAGAGCCUGGAACUUCAUUUAAUCAUUGCGAUGGAAUUUAUCUUGGUAAUUCAUGUUGGUACUCAUAUCCUUGUCAUUUUGUUGAACAAAAUGUUGCAUUUGAUCAAUAGGCUAUUUUCCUUGUCUUACCCGCUCGGAAGAAGUAGAUAUCAAAAUUAGUGUUCUCACAUGGAGAUGGACAACUUGGAGAAUGCAUGUGUCACUCUUAAUCAAUCUAACCCCAUGAACAGACCUAGACAAAAUUGAGUUUAACCUGUUAUCAUAGUAGAAUUGACCCUAACCUGUUAUCAUAGUAGAAUUGACUCUAUGCACACUUGAUGACACGUCUUCAUUGGUCAAAGAGUUGUAAGGCAUUGACGUAGGAAUAGGCCAACUAGGUUGUUCAUGUCCAGAUCAAUUAAGUUCUACUUUAGUAGGAUUCAAAUAGCCGUGGCACCGCCUGUGGGCUUGUGUUUACUCUCGAUUGUUGGUAUUCCGAAGCCAUCUUGCAAGAUCCACUUUGGCUAGACAACAUAGGAAAAUCAUAAAAGAUUUUUCUUUAAUGAAAAAUAUUACCUUGCGCCCUAUGCCAGACGUAUAGAGAAUGAAAUUUUAUACCUUGUCAUGUUGCAACAUGGAGAUAUAAUAUUUUUAUAAAUGUUGAGGAAUCACAGUACAGAGGUUAUAUGAUUGGAUGUGUGAUAUGCUUAAAGCGUGUCAAAAGAGGAGAGCUGGAUUUGUGAAAUUAUAGUCAGAAAAGAGGGGGAAAAAGCUAGGGAAAGUUUCAUGUUCCAAAGUAAGUGCUGGAUUUGUGCAUCAAAGGAGUUGUGGUGAUGAUGAAAAACUUAAUCUAUCUCUAUACACAAGAUCUCACGCCUUCAUAGCCAAGUAUAGAAGGGAAAUUGCCAUGACUCUUCAAAUGGCCAAAAAAGUUUUGCCGCUUCUCCACCGUUGGAUGUGCAAGAGAUGCAUCAUUGAUCAGGAGACAACAAGCUAAUCCUCACCAUUAGAUCGACAAGUGGAUUUUGCCCGAUAACUUUGUCAUGCAUAAUUCCACAGCGAGUUAAGAAGGUAUUGCAUCAUACUGAGUGAAAAGGUAGUAAAUCCAAGCCAAGAUUAUAGUCUCUCUCCCUUCACUUAGGCUUCUCAAUGAAGCUGGCUAUUAUUAACUUGUAACAAAAGAAAAUCGCAUUAAUGAAGCCCGAUAGCAUAACUAGUACAAUGGCUAAUGAGAUGAAACAUUUACUCGAUACUUCCAGUUUCUGUUUGCCCGGAAAAAGCGGUAUAUAUAAAGUCCUAAACACCACAAUUCAUUAUUUCUGACUUUAAUUUUAUUUCUUUUGACCGCGUUAUUUCAGUCAUUGAGUAUUAUAGUUUCGAAACUCAUGCAUAAAUUAUCAAUAUUUAUUCAUUAUGUAAUUUGCCCUCUUUGUUCGUUUCAUUUUCCCUAUCAUCCUUGUGGAUUAUUUUGUAAUUCUGGGAAAAAGAAAUCUUUGACUCCUAUUUAAGUGAGGGCUAUUUUGACUUUGUAGAUAGCAAACUUGUAAUUGAUUGAUGAGGUUUAAAAUUGAAGAAGGUACAAAAAAAAUUCAAAAUGAAGGAUUACGCAUGAGUGAUAAAGUGACGGGCGGUUCUAUAAACGAAUGCAGGGAUUAAAAAUUUUACUUUUAAUUGAAUAUUUCAACAAAGUGGACUAGUAAUUUCUGGAAACAAGAAUUAUGGCCCAAUGUAGCUCAUGGAUGGCUCCAAUGUUGCUCAUGGACCUUUCUAGCGAAUUGAUAUUUUGUGGCUUCAGAUUGGUUUCUUGGAGUAAGUUAAAUUAUGUAUCGGCUAAAAGGAUUAAUUAGGUUAUACCAGAGUACAAAUACCAAUUUGGUCAAAAUUCAAUUUCAAAGACUAAUUGAACAGUAAUUAAAAAUUUAGGGGCCAACUUUUAUUUUCCCUCUCAUCCUUGUGGGCUUCAAAUGCGUAAUCUCUCUUUAAUUCCACUGGCAGUAGAGUGAGCUCGUCACUUGCUCGUAGAAGACGCAAAAUUCUUGCGGGUUGCGAGGGGACAAGUGAAGGGCAUGCGAGAGGAGGCGAAGGUGAAUCCAAUGCUUCUCGAAGGACGCUGAUGCAAGACAAGUUGAAAUGAGAGUCAUUGCUCAUGGCAUCGCGUCAAAGUCGAUGCUAAAAAAGGGAAGAUCCGAGUAUUUUCGACUCCCUGCUAGGUUCUUGACAAAAUGCCCAUGUGAGUUGAAACAGUGUUCGAGCUCACGUAAUAGAAGCAGCAUGUUGUUCUGGGUUUGGAUAGUUCAAUUCUUGCGUUUGGAUGAACAAUGACGUGAAAAAUAAACUCAACAAGAAAAAAGAAAAACCGUGAUUAAGAAAAGACCAACUGGCAUUUCCAAUAUAUCUUAAACGAAGGGACGAGCAACAUGGAGAAAGACGACAAAGCAACGGUGGUUGAAGCAUUGAGGCACCUUCUCAGGUCUCUUCUUAGUUCUUAUAAUUUCUUCAGCUCCUGUGCUUUGGUCUUUCUUUUCAAUUUUUCGUGCAGUUGUCCACCAAAGGUACCCAAAAAGACAAAAAAGUUAAAGAGAAAAACAGGAGACAAAGCAAUUGGUGGUCGAAACGUGAAGCGUGAAGCAAGAAGCAACCUCCCUCUUUUUUGGCAAUUCUUUAUAUGAUUCCUAUAAUAAAUUCCCCGUUCCAACUGCUCAUUUCUUUGUCUUUCCUUGACAGAUUCUGUUUAUUGGCUAACCUCUCAUGUGCGUUGGUCUUUCUUUACAAUUUCUUUUCUCACAGUUGUCCGGGCAAAAGUAUUUCCUGUAGAAGUUGUUUCUUCGUCCCUUUGGAUGCUAAUCAUUGAAUCUGGGAAGGGAGAGGUCGCAUCAUAAUGUCAUGGAAAACCUUCUCUAAACAUGUGAAUGGAAGCAAUGAGAGGCAGCGAGGGAAGAGGGACAAUCCUUCCUCCGCCCACUUUCGACAGCUUUUUAUCAAUUUAUUAUUAGGAUCUUAUUAAGGAAUCAUUCCCCAAUACUUAUUAAUCAUACCUAACGGAAAAAAAUUUCAUUUUCAAUGUACUAAUGAAAUGAUACAUAACACAAGAAAACAAUGGUUUGAAAAUGAAAUAUUUUUUGAGUGGAUACAUAACAAGUAUUUGAAGCACUCAUUCAUAAAAUUCAAUUUGUAAGGAGAAAUCUCUUGCAUUUCAUUUCUAAUACAGUGAAAAAUAUGUCUUGUCUUCGUGUUUAUGUCAAGAAUUUUAAUGAAGUUCCCAUUAAGACUUUUCGUCGAUAAAAAUUAUAAAAUUAAAUGGGUAGGCUUAUUUUAUCAAGGCUGACUCUUCCUAUGGUCCCCAGUUGUUACUCUACAAGGUCUUGGAGUUUUUAUUAUAUUUAAAGAAUAAUGCUAGAGAUAUAAUUGAUUUACAAAGGGAUGUAUUAUAUACUCUUGCUGGUGACUUGCAAACGAAAGCUGAGUACUUUGCAUGUUCAUCGAGAAGGCUAAUCAUGUUCAUCCAAUUCUUUCUCACAAACAACUUCUACUUAUAAAGAUUGGUUUAUAAAGAGAUGUAUUGUAUACUCUUGGGGUAUCUCCAUUUUUCUGAUAAAUUCCGCAUUGCCUAUUCAGAGAAGCUGCGAUUAUAUUCUUUGGGGAAUCUAACGACGUUGAGGAAGUAUAUACCCCUGCAUCUAAGGAGGUUGGUCUUGGUCAGGUAGUGGAAUUUACAAGAAAGGAUGUUCGUCCCAACUUUAGGACUGUUCCCGAAGGAUCUGCGUAUGCUAACGCCAUUGGAAAGCUGCACGAAAGGACUGACCUCCUACAAAAAGGGUUCUGUAAAAAAUUUUCUGAACCUAAUCCCAAACAAAAAGUUUCAAUUGCCAAUUAGGAUCAAACUUUAAUAUGUCAAGCUUUUUUAGCUACAAAAUCUUGGUAAUUUUGACAGCUCGCUUGUGCAGUUUGAGCGUUAGGAAAUUUCCACAUCACAAUUGGGAGGUUGCCCAUUAAAUGUCACCAAUUGCAUAUAAAUUGUUUGAAUUGGCUCACCUAUAAUUGUCAAAGGCCUGAACUUAACAGGAUUGGGGGAUUUAUAUAGUGUUUCAUGGGCUUCCAGAUAAAUCAACUUGUAUGCCUAUGCCCUGGAUCAUCAAAAAAAGAAAAACAAAUGCAACGACCUAUCACUAAUUUUUCUUUUUUUUUUGGAUUUUACGAGAAUAGAUAAUACAAAUUACACAUUUCAUCCAUUAGUAUAAAGGAGUACAUAGCAUUUUGCAAUUGCAUGUCAAAGUAUUCAAAAUUGUUUCUCUCAUAAAGCUGUGAUUAUAAACGUGUGGUCCUCCUCCAUAUAACUUAUUACUUUUAAGCUUUUGGAUUAUAAAUUUUAAAACGAUAUCGUAAAAACCAGACUUACAAUCUCGAAUCAAAGCAUCUAACUAUCAAUUAACUACAAAAUGUGUUAAGCACUUUGCUAAAUCUUCAAGUAAGGAGGUUUUCCUUUUUCUCAAAAUUUUCAUUAUUUUCAUGGUGAGUGGUUAUGUGAGAAGUGAAUACAUAGAGUUUUCAAAUUAUAUGAUCAUCACAACUUACCCUUAUUUUGAGGAGUUGAUUUAAUUAACAUUACGAGUCUCGCCGGUUUGUGGGUGCGUCCAUGGGAUGGUACGGACCAGGAUAACACAUCUGUGAUGGUUUGUUUUCCCACCACAAGAAACAAAAAAAGGGUGCGUUUGUUUGUGUUUCUGUUUAAAAAUUGUUCCAGGGAACAGAAAUAGAAAAAAAUGUUUAUGUUUCGGGGAACAAUUUUUGAACAAAAAAACGCGUUUGGUAAAUUUGUUCCGGGAAUAAAAAAUAAACAGAAACACGUUUGGUAAAUUUGUAUAAUUUUUUUUAUUUUUUAAUAUUUUUAUUCUAUUUAUUCUAUUUUUUUUUUCUUAUUUUUCCUUUUUUCUUUUUCUUUUUUUCUUUUUUCUUCUUUUGGCCGGUCGCCGGCCUCGGCCAUGGCCGGCGGCCUCGCCCAGCCACAGCGAGGCUCGCCGACCCUCGAAAUACAAAAGUGUUUCUAAGAUUUGUUUCAGAAAUAAGAAACACAAAAUUUGAUUUUGUGUUUCUUUUUUGUUCCUGGGAACAAAAGAACAAAAAAGGAACAGAAACGCACCCAAACGCGUUUCUGUUCCUUUUUUGUUCCCAGAAACAAAAAAAACAGAAAAAGUGUUUAAAAACAAAAAAAAAGAAACAUAAACAAGCAGACCCAAAGUUGCUAUUAGCAUUAGUCCAUGUCUGACCAAAAAAAAGAAGAAAAAGAAGCAUAAGUCCAUGUCAAACCCAUCUUUUGAGGGCACACUGAACGGAAAUAUGUUCCUUUUGACAGCACAUUAAACGAAAAUUUGAUUCCUUUUGAUGGCACAUAAAACGAAAAAUAUGAUGGUGAACUACCGCGAUUAGCCCAUGGGAAACUAAUCCGGAAGCUGAACUCUUGCUAUCAGCCCAUGUGAAACCCACCUUUUGAGGGCACGCCGAACGAAAAUAUGGUUCCUUUUGACUGCGCAUUAAAUGAAAAUUCGACUCCUUUUGACUUCACACAAAACGAAAAAUAUGAUGGUGAAUUACCGCGAUUAGCGCAUGGGAAACCAAUCCAGAAAAUACAUAUUAUAUAUGAUGCUGAACUCUUGCUAUCAGCCCAUGUGAAACCGCGUGAAAUCAAUUUAAAAAAAAUUAUGAUGCUGAACUGUUGCUAUCAGCCUAUGUGAAGCCAAAAAAGUUUUCGUUCCCGAUGUCACAGGGCGGAUGAAAUAGCAGCUUCUUUUUGAACGGCCUAUUUUAACUCUAACCCAAGACCGACGGCAGCUAGCAAUUGAGCACCCGCAAAAUCUCUGCCAUAAGCUCCACUGAUCAUUAUCGAGUGGUGAAUACCAAUGGCCGAGUCUGUUGUUUCGUUCGCGGUGGAGACAAUAGGAAACCUGCUCAUCGAUGAGGCCAAAUUCUUGAGUGGAUUGGAGGGCAAGGUCGAGGACCUGCAAAGGGAGUUGAAGCUGAUCCAGUGCUUGCUGAGGGAUGCGGAUGCGAGACGAGAGCACAACGAAGCUGUUGGAGAAUGUGUCGCACAACUCCGAGACUUUGCCUAUAAUGCCGAGGAUGUCAUCGAGAGAUACAUCCUCAAAGCCGCGCUGAAGGAGGGACAAAACAUCAUCAAAGCGUAUGCUUGCUUCAUGGCGAAGUGCUCGUGCGUGCAGGUUCAUGGGGUGGGGACAGAGAUUGAGGGCUUAAAAUCCAGAAUUUCCGAUAUUGGAAGGAGGAUGCAGAAUUGUGGCAUACUAUCUGUGAGGGAAGGCGAACGCGAACGAGCGAGAGCUUUGAUGCCGAAACGGACUUAUGACCAUUUCAAGGAGGAUUUUGUUGGGAGGGAAGAUAGUAUUGAGGAAUUGGUGGAAGAGCUGUCGAAUGAUGGAAAAAAGCAGAGAGUUAUGUUUAUAUGGGGAAUGGGUGGUCUGGGAAAGACCUCACUCGCCAAGAAAGUCAUCGCUCAUGACAAAGUGAAGAACACUUUCGAUGGUAUCGCUUGGGCUUGUGUAUCUCAAGAAUAUCAUCCGAAGGAUAUCUUGGUGGUAAUUCUCGUUAAAUUGAUCCCUGAUCAAAGAGAGAAGGUUAUGAAGAUGAUGGAUGAUGAAUUGUUCAAAACUCUAUACGAAAUCCAACAAGAGAAGAGAUGUAUUGUGGUUCUUGAUGAUAUUUGGACCAAAGAGGCAUGGGAUAGUCUUCAAGCCGCAUUCCCGAUUGAGGGCAUGAGAAGCAAGCUAUUGAUAACAACCCGCAAUAGAGAAGUAGCAGAGUAUAUCGAUCGUCAAGGUUUUCUCCAUGAACUUCGGUGCUUAUCAGACGAAGAGAGUUGGGAUUUGCUGAUGAAGAGGGUGUUCCCUGAAAUGAAAAGUAAGACUUCUCUAAGGUCAUUAUCUUAGCAUAUAGUAGCUUCAAGAGAUUAUGUUGCCCGUUUGAUUUUGAUUAAUCGCGCUUCUAUUAUUAUUGUAGGAUUAGCUGUUGAAUUUUCUUAUGUUGGACUUGGAGUUAGUCAAGGUAUUGUUGGGGGCCAACCUAUAAAAGGUACUGCAAGACAAUCAAAGAUGGAGGGACAAAUACCACCAGGUAUUUCAUUGCUUAGUUUUGCCUUUCGAAAGCUUUAGCAAUUUAUGAAUCGAUAGUUACAGUAUAAUUCAAAUAAUUGAAAUAUCGAGUAUUAGGCACCAUAAUUUCAAUAUUUGGGGAAUCAGAUGCCCCUUUUGUUUCUUAAUAGCUAAUAGUUAUAAAACUAAACCAACAUCCAAUACUUUGCUUCUCCUUUCCUCUAAUGAGGUUAAAUAUCAAAGAGGCUUUUAUGAGGCCAACAUAAUAGGCGAUUUUAAUAGGAUUUAUGAAAUAAUGUGAAGCCUAGCUAUGUUACUUCUUCCGUAUGCUUCAUCUCAAGUCCACCAUUUCUACAUUUGUGAAUAGUUGGCUUAACAAUAAAAGUAGGGAUUAAUAAGGAAAAUCAUGAAUCGUUAUGCAACAAAUGAAGAUUUCAUUAGAAUUUGUGCAAGAGUUUAGUAGCACAUUCAAGUUAUGGGAGAUCAAUGUCCUUGUGCUGCUUUCACAUUUCUUCGUCAAGUAGGUUUACUGUUGCUUUAUAUUUGCUUGACUCACUUAAUUCAAGCCACGAAUAACAAAGACGAUACAUUCCAUUUGUUAAUUUAGACUUCUUGAUGUUCUAGGCGUAGAUGAGCUUUGUUGUGGUCCCUAUUUUCCCCUUACAAAAGCAUAAAUGGACCACAUAUUAUAAAGAACUAUAGCAUCUUAUACUUCUAAAAGCACAUAUUCAUCCUUGAAGUAAUCUUCUUAUUACAGUUGCAUCUUCCUAUGAUUGUUGAAUUGCAAUUUGUUGCUUGAUAUUGUGUAGUAAUCACUGAAGAGAUGAAGAAGUUAGCACAUGAACUCCUUAAGAAGUGUUCAGGAUUACCCUUGGCUAUCAUUGUGCUUGGUGGACUGUUGGCCGUCAACGAUUGGAAGACAAUUCACAAAAAGAUCAAUUUGCAUUUUAGUGAUAAGAAUGACGUAUCAAAAGUGUUAGCCUUAAGUUAUGACGAUUUGCCAUGGCAUCUAAAGCCAUGCUUCCUCUAUUUGAGUAGCUUUCCUAAGGAUGCGGAAAUCCCUGCAACCAAAGUUCUUUACAUGUGGAUUGCUGAAGGCUUUGUGAUGCUGAAUGCAUAUGACAAAAAGAGAGAAAUUUCAGUGGAAGAGGUAGCAGAGCAAUAUUUAACAGAGUUGGUUAACAGGGGAAUGGUUCAAGUGCGAUUCAAUUUAAGUGGAAAGAUAAAAAAACUACCACCUCCAUGACCUAAUUCGAGACUUAUGCGUCUCCAAGGCUUUACAAGAGAGUUUUCUAAGCGUUCUUAACAUUCAACAAGACAAUGAGACGGAGAAUUGUUCUGCUUCAAUAGCAAUAAAAGUCGAGUCAAGUUGCAAAAUACGAAGGCUUUCUCUUAAUAGAAAUGUGAUUCCGAGCUUAAAAGCAUCAAGAAGGACUUUAGUCCACCUUCGAACUCUCAUGUCCUUUAGAGGUGUCGAAUGGAAGUUGAAGCAAUUUCAAUCUAUUUUCAAAGACUAUAAGUGUCUCAGAAUUCUGAAACUAGAGAACCUUGAUGUGAUGAGAAGCUUACCUAAAUCAGUGGGAGACCUAGUCCAUUUAAGAUUCUUAAGUUUGGCAGGUAGUAGCUUUAACAGCUUGCCGCAAUCUAUGGGGAACCUUGUAUGUAUGGAAUUCUUGGAUCUACUUGUGAAUUUAUGUUUUGAGGUAACCAUGCCAAAUGUGUUGUGGAAGAUGAGAAGGUUGAGGUAUCUCCGUCUUCCUUACAAAUUUGACAUCAAGGAGAGAUUUCAUGGGGGUCGAAAGAAGUUGCGGUUUGACACUUUAAAGAAUCUACGGACAUUGAAAAACUUUGAUUCGAAGAAAUGUGAUGCGAACGAUAUAGGCAAGUUUACCAAUUUGCAGAUUCUGACUAUAUAUGACAUGUAUGAUCCUAUCGAGUUGGAGAUAUUUUUGCAACUUGCUGAAUUUAAGCUAAAACAUCUUCAAUCCUCGUCUUUUUAUUUUAGAAAGUUUGAUUUUUUAUGGACUGAAGGUGAAUUAAGUAAAAUGUCAAACUAUUCUCAUUCUUGUAAGUUGUCCAUUACUGGAGAAAUAGAGAAGUUACCAGAACAUAAGAGUCUAUCCCAGCAAUUGAGGAAGCUAGUCUUACAACAUUCUCAACUCAAAGAAGAUCCAAUGCCAAUAUUGGAGAAAUUGCCUCACUUGGUUGUUCUCAUACUAGGAUGUUGGGCUUUCAUGGGAAAGGAAAUGGUUUGCUCUGCAAGGGGGCUUUCCUCAACUCAAGCAGUUAAUUUUUUAUGUAUUACCGAAUUUGGAGGAGUGGAGGGCCGCUGAAGGAGCCGUGCCUCAUCUUUCUCGAUUAGGGAUCUUCGGUUGUCCCAACUUGAGGGUGAUACCUUCUCAUGUCUCUACAUAUGACGGUGGGGACGAAUAUUUCAAGGAGUGGAACAAGAGCGUGGUGGGUCCUUUUACGUGGGCUGCCCCCCCACCCAGAAUAAAUAUCUAAUCUCAUAUGUUAUGAGUGAAAAUAGAGAGUAUUAUUUUCCAUGUCGUCUUUGCAUCAUUCAUAAAUCGUCAUUCGUUUCGUUUUCCCUCUCAUCCCUGAGGACUUCCGACUCAGUGGGGGGAAGGGGGGGGGGNNNNNNNNNNNNNNNNNNNNNNNNNNNNNNNNNNNNNNNNNNNNNNNNNNNNNNNNNNNNNNNNNNNNNNNNNNNNNNNNNNNNNNNNNNNNNNNNNNNNUCUACUGUUUCACACUCGCUGUCGAGAGAACCCACCGACUUUGCUUAUGGAAGACCAGCAAAGUUCUCCCGAGCUCCGCGAGGAGGAGGAGCGAAUUCGUUGCUUCUCUAAGAUGGGGGAGGCAUCUGAAGAAAUAAGAGUCGUCGCUUGUCGUGGCAUUGGAAGACAGUCAUCGUUGGAAGGAAGCUGCUGCCUUGGAGAGGGGAGGAGAGGAGAGGAGAUCCGAUCAUUUCCAUAGUGCUGGUCAGGUGUUUGACGAAAUGCGGAUGUGGAGUAGGAACUGGGGUACAUUUAUCUGAAAUGGGCGCGUUGCUUUCGGCUUGUGCAAUUGAUUCUUUGUACGUAGAUGAACGAUGACGAGAAAUACAACCGUGCAUUUUGCAUCUCCCAGUCUCCUACAUGUAAAGACUGCAAGGUAUACUUAAAGAUUCUUUCGUGUGUGCUCACAUUAGUCUUUCCCUUUGAACGACGGUGAUGAAAUUGCUGGAUGUAGCGAGAAAGCAUAUGAUUAUUUGUCAGUUGGUGACGCACGGCAAAUGUUGUUCUUCUCCUGCGACCAAGAACUUGCGGCAUGUAUAAGGAGGUAAAUAUUAUGAAACGAUUUUGGUUUUCUCUACCUGGAAUUCUGUUCUUAAUUGAUUAAUUUAGUCAAAAAGAUAAUAUCCGCUCCUGUAUUAGUUCAGAUCUUCGAAGGGUCUCAAAAUCUGUUCUAUUGAGUUGCUAAUCUAUGUCCUCUUCAAUUAUUAUGAUUGUUUAUCUUCUUCUGGAAUCAAGGACUGAUGUUAAACUUACGCUUACAACAUCUAUGUGUCAUUUGGCCGUUGCUAUCACUCUGCUGAGUUUGAACUUGGCAAGGUGUGUUCAGUAUGGAAACCUUGUGCUUGAAAAAGUUUUUCAGAGUGUGUGUGAAAGAAUUUAUCCACAUAAAAGCUGUAUUGUGGAGACUGAACAAUUAUGUAUGUUACCUGUUGGAAUGCAGGAGCAUCCCCAGUGGCAGAUUAAGAGCAGGUUCAUAUAUUUUCAAAAGGCCAAGGAAUCUGCAUCUUCGAAGGAAAUUCCUUCCCUGCAGCUUGUCAAUCAGACAUUGGGUUACGCAAGAGGGCUGGAGCGGAUUGUUUGGAACCUGCGGCGGUGCGUGGUGGUUUGCACUGGUAUUUGCACACUUCGAAGAUUGGUUAUUUUAUGCUGAUGGCAUCUCAUCCCUUUAGCUCUUUUUGAGAAAUUUGAUACUUAUUUUUAGUAAUCAUAUCCAUUUUGUUGUUGAAUACAAUUUGGCAUUUGAUCAGUAGUAUAUUUUCCUUGGCUUACCUGGUUGGAAGAACCAGAAACCGAAAUCAGUCUAGUCACAUGAAGAUGGACAACUUGGAGAAUGUAUACGUCGUUUUUAAUCAAUCUAACCCUAUGAAUAGGCCUAGAUACAAUAAGGUUUAAUCUGUUAUAGUAGAAUCAAAUAUAUGCACACGUGGUGACAUCAAUUGUCUCCGUUGAUCAAAGAGUUGCAAAGCAUGACAUUGACAUAGGAAGGCCAACUAGGGUUGCUUGUGUCCAGUUCAAUUUUUAGUUCAGUAGGUUGAAAUAGCCACUGGCUGUGGGCUUGUGCUUGCUCCUGAACGAUGGUAUUCUGAAGAGACGGCAUAGGACAAUCAUAUAAGAAAUGUCUUUUCCCCUUAUUUUUUCCUAUACUCUGGAAUGAGCUCUGUGAACAUGUGAUUUCGCUUUCUACAUUUGCUGCAUAAAACUCUCAAGACUGAGCAGAAUCAAUGAAUCUGGGAUUUGCAAUUUGGUGGAGUCUUGAGUGAUCCAUGAUGUAGCCUUUGCAUGGUAAAAUCAUUGCUAAAUGCUGUUGCCCCUCUCUGAUAAAUGAUGUUCCUCCUGCUGCAAAAGAAGAAAGUCAUCAUUAGUUUGCUUAAUCAAUACUUCUGACGGAUUGGGAAAGAGCAAGAGGAAGAAUUUAAUGGGUGGGUAUGCAACAACGGUCCGCCUCUUCUGAAUCAUGGCAUUAUGAUGAAUUAAGUCCUUGCUGUUAGGAUGUGACCAUCAUUGAUGGAUCUCGUCAUAUCUUAUGAUGAUGUAAUACUGAACAUUUGAGGAAUUCCCAACCGCCCAAAUGUUUCCAAUUUCUUAAUACUUAUUUUCUUGUUUAUUCCUCCUUUUUUCAAAAUUAUUGUUGGCUUUUCUUGUUUCUUUUCAGUAGGCCCUUCUGCUCCAAAAUGUAUGUUUUGUUUCCAUCUUUACAAUGUAGUAUUACUUGAUCUUCAAGAUGACGAUACUAAUAAAAAGCUGACAAGUGCAAAGACUUUGCCACCUCACUUUUCAUUGGGUUCACAGGAUCUUUUGCAAAACCGCACUUUCAUUGGAUUUGCAUGCACGGUGGACCAUGGCGAAUGCUUGAGACUUAUGUAGAAGAUGCACAACAUAAGUUAGAGUUGGUUUUGGUGAGAAAGAUUAAAUGUCAUUCAGUUGCUGAAUUGAAUGUGGAAGCCUCACGUCACCUGACUUCCUAAAGAACUCUUCAGUACUUAAUGAGCGUGCUGUUAUUAUAAGUGUGAAGAUGGAAGAUCAAGAUGCCUUUGAG